rnacentral:lncRNA from 1 species
UAUUGUAGGGUACUUCAUUAACAGUUCAUAGAUCUUUGUAUGAUUUUGGUGCUCUUACAUUCAUUAAUAAUAAUCUUAAAUAAUAUCUUUCGCCUUCUUUUGGAUAACAAGUUACAACACGUCCAAUAACAUUACCUUUUUUGUUGAGUCCACAUUUUAUAUUGCACCCACCAUACAAAGUAUUGUGGGAAUUCUUUAUACAAUAGGUUCAGUUCUUUAGCAUCUUCAUUUUCUCUAUUCAUAAUGAAGAAUUCUGUCAACAUUGUUUUUCUAAUCAUCAGAUUAUUUAUAAUUGAAUCAACGCUUGUUGCAAUCUUAAAAGAAAUGAAUUGUUGUCCCUUAAGAUGCAAUUUAAGAUAAUAGAUAGUUGGAUUCAUUUCAUUAAUUGGGAAAGUAAAUAAACGCCACGUAGCUUCUGUUGGAGAUACCCAUCUAGCAAGCGAUACUCUUUUAUUUCAUCGAUUUCUGUUUCGAUAUCAUUAUUGUGUAUGUGAAAUGCAAUUUUGUCAUGUCCUUUGCAGAUAUACUUGUAAAUGUAUUUAACAGCUCUAAUAUCUGAAUAAAUUUCAACAUUUAUAUGACACUUAAAUUUGCUAAGUAAGAAAGGAUUGUACGGGACAACCCAUGAAUUAUCAAGGUAUUUAGUUCUGACUUUUACAAGAUCUCCUAUUUUUUGCCUUCUAUAAAUUGGGGUAUGAAUUAUUGCCUUUUGAUGUUUGAUCGGCAAAAUCUUUUGGACCUUGUUUUUGCAUACAUAAUUUCGUUGGAUAUAAAUUUCCAUUAGGUCCAUGUAUCAUAUACAAUUGAACAAGUGACCGUAAAUAUUCUUGUGAAUUAGCAUCAAGUAAUUUUGUACAACCACAUUAUCAUAAGAUUUUGGAGUCAAUAAUUUAUAGUAAUUGAUAAGUAUAACAAGAAAGUGUGCGUGGGGUAGACCACGUUUUUGAAACUCUAUCAUGUACAUGAAAGCCACAACUUUUUUGAAAAUAUUUCUUUUCAGUAUGUCUGUCUUAAUCUCUUCAAUUUUUGCUCUAAAUUCUCUACUAACUAAAUCAGGUCUAUUUUGUGCUUCAUCAGCUCAUAAUAGAUGGUCUUUUAUUUCUGGCCACGAUGGGUUACAAGUUAUGGUUAUGAAUAAAUCAGGUUUACCAAAAUGUUGUACUAAAGCAGUAGCGUCCAUGUAUCAUCGACGCAUAUCUCUUGGUCCUCCAGUAAAACUAAUAGGAAUGAAUAUUUGUUUUCCAAUAUUAGAAGCAUUUGUUUCCCUAAGUCGUAAAACAUUGAGGAAGCCCUGUAAUAUUUCUGUUCUAAACAAAUCUGGAUUAAAUGAAUAGAAAUAUAAUCUUUGUAUUUUAAGUUUUAUGUAUUCAUCUACUAAAAACUAUUGAAGCAAUCUUCCAGAAUGUAAAGUUUCAUUUGUUUCAUUUUCUCUCAUUUGAAGUUUGGAACAAUAACAUUCACGAACAGAUGUAAUAUCUCUUUUUCGCUUUCCUUUUUCUAAAUUUUGAGCCUCCAUAUCAAGAUAUCCAUCAAUAGAACACAUAUUUUUGAUAUUUGAUAAAUGUUCAUGUUCACAAUAAGCUUGGUGUUCAGAAGUUCCUUUUGGUGGGGGAAUUUUUUUUAUACCACAGUGCCAGCCGCUUUGGCCCUAUGAAAAUAAUAAUGGGUAUUGUAACAGAUCAUAACAUCCAUAAUAGUAGUUCAAUAUUUAAUAUCUACUUCUAGGAGUAUAAAUUCGAAUAUGGGGUGUGGAACUGAUUUCGUUGAAUUAUUUUUCAACCCAUAUUACUUCCACUUCUGAUGUAUUUGGAAGGUUGUAUACCCAUUGAUCUAAACCAGAGCCACUAUUAAGUGCAAUGUAAAAGUUUGAUAGGUCCGGAACAUCUAUUAAGGAUUUAAGGAAAAUAGAAUAUGGAUUAAUUCUCAAUAUGUUUAUAAGCUUUAAAACUAUUGAUUCAUGAAAUUUAGCUGAGCAUGCCAUUCGAUUAGCUAUUUCGUUAUCGGUAUCAUGAAAGUAUAGUUUAAGGUUUUUUGCUAUUUGAUCAGCAGGGAGUAAGUCAUUUAUAAAGUGGUACAUCUGACCCUGAACUCUGAAUGUGUAGAUACCAUCAUUUCUUUUUACUAAUUCUUUGUCAUAAUUUAUGCCAAGUGAUGUAAAUGCAAACAUAUUAUUGUUUGUUCUAAUGUAUGUUCGAAAAUGCACAUAUUUUUCAGUAUUUCCAAAGUAUAAAUGUGAUAGCCCGAGUUUUCCCAUUAAAUAUUUUGAUCCCAAAUGUGUCGAGUCAUUAAAGCCUUUUUAUCUUUCCAAAAGUCCGUUAAGAUCUCGGACAAAAAUGUGUUGAAUUCUAUUCUUUAUCGUGAUUAAUAAUUUUUUUGUGUGGAAUUUCUGGAUAUGCGACCCGUCAUCGCGUAGAUCAUCAAAUAAGAUUUCCAACGAUAUGUGGAUCAUCCAAAAAGGACACUCGAGCGAUGAGUUAUGAUCAUUCCGAUCUAAUCGUGAAUAGUGGUGAACAUGAAUAGUAAAUAUGCAGGAAAAAUACUGAGGCUAGGCGAAUUUUAAGGUCAACUUCAAACGAUCAUAACUCCUUGUACAUAAUGCUAUGGGUGAGCUACUAUAUAUCAACAGAAAUCUCUGAGAGUCCUCUUUCCAAUGAAAUUGGUUUCAUUCAAUUUGUACAUCAGAACAAAAGGUUAUGGUCGAUCUACUUCAGCCUACCAAAACAGUCCACCAAAGGACAGAUUUGACAUUAUUUGAUUUUUAAGGGUAUUUUGGUCAUUCCCACUCCAAUCCAUCCGGGUAAACCAUGGAUUUAAGUCCAUUAAGAGCAUUCAAUAGCUCAUUUUUCUCUAAAACUAUCUAAGGCUCAAACCCCAACCCUACUACUUCAAAUUUCAUCCUUCUAUGUCUCUUGAUUGAACCGUAGAAAUUUCAAAUUAAUUUGAGAUUCGAGUUGAUCAUGUUAAGGGCUUCGAGAAUCACCCUUUAUUUUCGUGAAUAAAGUUCCGGAGUCGAAAGUUCAUAUUCAUCUUUCAUUUUUAGGUAUGCUUUGAACAAGAAUAAUUCUUCCGUUCUUAUGCCCGUAUCUUUAAUUUUUAUUAUGAAUUAUUAUGAGUUUGGCAAAUGAAUUUAUUUUCAAGAUAUCCUACCAUGAGAUUUUGAUUAUGUAUAUAUGUAAAUUGUUCAAGCUUGCCAAUUAUGAUUAUUUAAUGGAUUCAUAUGGUUCUGUAAGUCAAUUUAUGUCUGAAUAAUUCGAUUAUGAACUUAUAAAGAUUUGAAUUGUAAGUUUUGAAUCACAUGAGUAUUUGACUAUUUUCGUUCUAUGAAUUGAGAUUUAAUAUUGAGAUUCUUGGUGUUUCUAUCAAGAAUUGAUAUAUUUUGAACAUGUAUCCACGCUUUAAGUUCAAGAAUGAAUUAUUGGUAUUUUCAAGUGUUUUCGAGCCAUGUGUCAAAUUUUGAGCUUCCUUAUGACAAUUUGAGUUAUUGGGUAUAUUGAUAUCNNNNNNNNNNNNNNNNNNNNNNNNNNNNNNNNNNNNNNNNNNNNAUAAAUGAGAAAGAGAUUUGAUUUGGUCUUUAUGAUAGACCCUUGUGAUGUUGUGGUGGAUUUCCUAAUGUGUUCUGAGCUUGUAGGGGAGUAGUACUUAGCACCGAGAGGGAAAUUUGGUAUUUUCUCAAACCUAUGUGCCACCGUAAGGUUAUUUGAUGAUGAUAUUAUUGGCCAGAGAGCCUGAUUGUGAUUAUUGUAGUUUUAAGGUCGUACUCCCUGACAAAGAGUAUGGCGCUCCUGCCAACGGGGGUUUCAAACGUUGGUAUUCCACGUAGCUCACGUGGGGUUAUCGAUUAUAGGAAACUCCCGUAUCCAUAAGAUUAAGUUUCUUGAAUUACCGAGUCACUCCAAGAUUUGAGUCAAAGAGUUGAGAUGUGUAUGAUGUUUUAUGGUCAUUUAUGAUGAUUUAUAAUUACCUAUGAUGAUUUUUGACGAUAUGAUAAUUUAUGAUGAUUUAGGAUAAUUUAUCAUAAUUUAUGAUUUAUAAUGAUUUACGUGGAUUACGAAAUUUUAUCAUAUGAACUGUUUAUUAUGAAAUUACAAAAAGUAUGAUUUGAUAUAACUCAAGCCAAAUGAGUCAUCAUUGUCCGUAUGCAUGUUUUCAUGAAAUUGAUUAUACUAUUUAUAUUGUUUCAUGCACCUCCACAUACUCAAAAUAUUUCAAAGUGCUGACCCACAUAUUUCCAUGGGCUACAUUCUUACCAAAUGUAGGUACAAGCUGUAGCACACAUAUCAUGUUUAGCUGGGUCGCAGCUCUCGAUCGGCAAGUGAUUAGUCCUUUUGAUUCAGGGACUUGAGUUGUUCAAAUUUGUGGUGUAUUAUAUUUUAUGUAUUCAGUCGUAUUGAUUAGGGGUAGUUGGGAGUCAUGACCCAACUACCUAUAGUCAGUACUAGUAGAGGCUUCAUAGACAGUCAGUAGAAGUUGAUGUAUUCAGUUUAUGUUUGUUGGAAAAAGCAGAGUUGUAAUUUGUAAAUUCAUGUUGUUUUGAGAAAAUUCAUAAAAGAUUUAUAUUCCGCAUUAUUCUUUUAGAUUUAUGUAUUUUAUUCAGUUGCUUAUGAGUUAUGCCAGUAGGAGGGUUAGCUUAGGGUCACUUGUGACCCUAAUCACCGUGUGACGUCUCGGGAUCCAUUUUUGGGGUGUUACGAACUUAGCAUCAGAGCACAGAGUUCAAGUGUCCUAGGGUGUCUAUGAAGCCAUGUCUAGUAGAAUCUAGAGGACCGGUACGGAGACGUCUAUACCUUUUUUUGAGAGGCUACGAGGCAUUUAGGAAAAUGUUCAUUUUCUUUCAAGUCAUAGAUCGUGCUGUGGAAAGGUUCCUUAAGAAAUUCAUACGAGUUCAUACCAUGCAUAAAUUGGGCCAUUUCGCCUUGUUCUAAAAUGCCGGAUAUAGUCAAGCGUAAAUCCUUAUAGAUGGUGCUUUCUUAGAUAAUCUCCUCUGAUAUUAUGGGCUUGUAAGUGAGCUAAAAAAAUGAUUUCAUUAGUGCUCUUGAGUUUCGAAAAAUUGAUAUAUCAUAUGUACGUUCUUGAAGGUUGUGCAUUAAGACUAUGUCGAAAGUGUUUUUGGAUUUCUCCCUAGAAUUCAUUAUGUGAUUUUGUAUUUUCCUUAUCCGUGUACUAAUGUUGAGACAGGGUGAUUAACUAGUUCCAAUUUCCUCUCUUGAUUAUAUUCCUGGGCUUACUAGCAAAGGUUCCGUAGCUUUCAAGAUGUACCCUCAUCCUUCUUGAGUCGUUCAGUUGAGGUAAAGCGAGAUACAUCUUCUCAGAUCCUUGAUUAUGGUGUACCAGGAUUUUAUUUAUUGAAAAUAUUUUCUGAUCAUCUUUUGUUGAAAACUUGAAGUCUAGUGAAGCCGUGUGAGGCUUAUUUCGAUUCACUAGCAUAAUUUUUUUGAUAUUUAUUGCCUUUUUCAAAAUACAAAACUAAAGUCUAGUGAAGCCGUGUUAGGCCUGUUUUGAUUCACUAGCAGCUAGCUGUUUACUCUGUUGUUCUUGUAUUGGUUGGAACCAGGGGGUUGGAAACGUGGUGGAAGGCGGUGUUAAUAAACUAUUAUGGCAUAGGCCAUAGAAUUGUGGAUGAUUAUUAUCGUUAUGAGGUUUUGGUGGACUAGUAUGUUUGGGGUGUUUGAUAUAUGGAAAUGGUUGUUGAGAUUGUUGUUAAUCGUAGUCAGAGUGAGUUGUUAAGUUUGUAUAGCGGGUGAUGAGAAAAAUGAAUUUAAUGAUUGAAUUGCUACAACGUUAGUGAUAGGGAGGAGAUUUAGUAGGUUUAAACCAUAUGUACGGGAUCUUAAGUCUAUUUGUUUGUGAUCAAGUGUGAUAUUGUGUGUUGAGGUAGUAGUAUGCUCAAGGUGUUAUGGGGAAUUUUUUUAAGUUAUUAAAUGUUAAGCGGUUAGUGUUAUCCUUGAUUGAGUAAGUAUGAAUGAUGAUAUGUGGUAUAAGAUGUAAUUGUGAGUUAACUUGGGCAUUAGAGGUUGACGAGGGUGUUAGCUUGAGAUGUGAUGUUAGUAAAGCACGAAUAAGUUAGUAUGGUUUAGCGAAGGUUUGAUGUAUCCAUGGUAAGUGCUAGAAUCUAAGCUGCNNNNNNNNNNNNNNNNNNNNNNNNNNNNNNNNNNNNNNNNNNNNNNNNNNNNNNNNNNNNNNNNNNNNNNNNNNNNNNNNNNNNNNNNNNNNNNNNNNNNNNNNNNNNNNNNNNNNNNNNNNNNNNNNNNNNNNNNNNNNNNNNNNNNNNNNNNNNNNNNNNNNNNNNNNNNNNNNNNNNNNNNNNNNNNNNNNNNNNNNNNAAGUCUAAGGGGGAGAUAGUAGGAAAAAAAAUUAACUAAGUUAAGAUUGCGGGAUUCAGGUAAGUGUAUCAGUGGGUUGCAAGUUGGUGGUGAGAAGGAGUGGUGUUGAUCCUAUUUUACCUCAGCCUUUUCAAUGACUUCGAUAUUUUCUCAUGGCUUAUGUUUCAUUCCCCAAAUCAUAAUACAUGUUCAUGCAUAUCAUGGGAAAUCAUGUAUUCUCCUAACUAUUGAAAUAUGGAGUCUCAAUAUUUCUAGCAGGCAAAAUCGACAUUCCAUAAUCUAUAAACUCCAAAAUCAAGUUGCGCAGUUCAUAAUGUAUGUGCUUAAGUUUUAUUAUAUUUUCAAGUUCAGUCCACCGGAAACACCCUUAGCGACCAAUAAGAUUCAAUUUAUGUCCUAGGUGUCCUUAAUCUUUAAUCUUGAUUCUAGUUGAAUUCAUGCAUUUGAUGCCCUAGUUCUCCGGCCUCAAUAACAACACCAAGUCAUACACAAUAUCCCUUUAUAUUCUACCCUUUCAUGACUUUCCAUUUGUUGAGGGAGUGUGGAUGAACAGUGGUGACGAUAGGAGAGAGUGAGCAGGUUUUUGUUGAUAAAGAUAGUGGCAGGUUCAUUUUAGCUAAGGUGGAAAGUGUGGAGUAAGCUUGAGGCUAGGAUUUUGAUGGAUGUCAUGGUUAUUUGAAGCAUUUCGUGUUGUGUUUGUGAAAGUGGUUGUGUGAUGGUUUAUCUAGGUUUGUAGUUGGGGAAUUGUUGAAGUGAAGUCUUGUGCAUGGCUUAGUUCAUUGGAAAAGUUAGUGAGUGUUUUCUUAAGAAUAGUGCCCGGAAGUUGUCUUAAUAAAGGAUUGUAGAAUUUGAAAAAGGUGUUUUAUGGGUGUUGAUUAGGAGUAUAUACAUAAUUAUAAGGAUAGGCUUGAACAUCAUGUGUGUAUAUAUGGACAGAGAUUAAAGUUUAUAUUAUCGAUAAGUUUUGGUGUCUAUGUUGAUUUAGAAGUCUAAGCUAAAAGCUCUUGUAAAUUGAUCUUGCAUAGCACUCAUGUCUUGUGAAUAUAUCUCCUGUCUGAGGAUAUUAGUUGCAAGCCUUGUCCUUGCUAUAAGUUGAAUUGCGUAUAUGUCUAUGAAUAGUUCCCUAAGCUUCAAGACUUGUUAAUAUGAAUAUGAUGCUUGAAAAUGGAGAGUAUUAAGUGGAUUAGUGUUGAUUGAGUGGUAAUAAGAAUUAUCUGUGAGAUGAGGAAUUGUAACAAUGUGGAUGUGUGUAAAUUUAUAAUUCGAAAUGAUUCUAUGUUACGAUGUUAGGUGGAGGAAUUGGUGACUCCAAAUUAAGCUUGAAAAUAAGGAGAGAGAGUUUGGCUUAGUUAGAUUUGAAUAGCCAAGAUUGAAAAUGCCUUGUGAGAAUUAUGAAUUGAAUCAAGUAAGUAUGGUAUUUGGGGAAAAUAGUAUUGAGGAGAAAGGGUGUGCGAAGCAUAUUGAUAAGCUUGAAAGUAAGGAGUUGUACUGUGUGGGGUCUAGAAAACUAACCUGAUGAAGCCAUUGUUGCAACAAAAUCCAGGAGCCUCAUAUUCGAAUCUUUUUGCACCGCAAAAUUUACAAAGAAGAACAAUCAUUAAAUGGACGUUUUCAGAUAACGCUUCUCAUAUAUUUACAUGGCCUGUGUUUCAUUACCUGUGAGCUGCAUAUUUUUUUUCAUUACAUAAUUAGAUAAAUAGAAUGAAGUUGCAAGUAGAAUAUGAUAGUAUUACAACAAAUGAUUAGGGCAAACCUUUAUGUUGAAUAAUUUUUGAAGCCACAUCACAUUCCAAGUUAGAUGCAGCAGGUGUUGAGCCUAACACUAGAAAACAACAGGUUAAUUUUGUGUAAUAGUUACAGCACAAGAGAAUAAAAAAAUUAUUUUGGUCAUAGCACUCAGCUACUUGAUUCAUAGAGAAUGAGUAAGGUAUGUUCUUUUGCUUAUCACAGGUAGCGGGUAAAGCCAUAAGAUGAGAUUUAUUGGUUAAAACAUUUACCAUAAUGUAUUUUUAUGGACAGUUAGUUAUAAUCAAUUGUAAAACAGAAGAAUGAAGCAUUGUAAUAAAACCUGUUGUUGAAAUAGUGGAGAAGUCCAUUGAAACAAGAUUUUGAGAUACAAAGGUAGAUGCACCAGAUGUUGAGCCUAAUGCGCAUUGAAAGUUAGUUUCGCACAACAAUUGUAUUGGAAAUGAAAACAAUAUUAGAUCUGUUAUCCACUUUACAUAAUUAUAGAGACAAAGUUACCGGUUUCGUGAAUCACAAAGGGGAUGCAUAUAUCUUUUCCUUUUUCGGAAUUGUGGAAAAAUGCGGUGACUUGUAUUUGAGGAAGGGUAACUGAUACAAAGAACAGACACGACAACACACAUAAAUUGGAUAAUAUUAAUAAAUUUCAUUUUUUGUAAAAUGAAAAAAGGUAUGGUGUUUGGUAUGAUAAUACCACCUAUUUCAGUAAGAGGAGUCGAUUCUCGUAUGAUCAAAGGAGUUUGUUUCGGGAGUUUUGAAUUGUAACAAGAUGAUGUGGUUGGUCGGAUGUGCCUCCUUGCAUGAAAACAAUUAAAUGCCAAAGAAAAUCUCACAAUGUGUCAGAAUGAAAAGAUCUAACUUAACUACAAAAGAGUGAGAUUUAAUAGCUUAACACAUAUAAUGGAUUGCAUAUUUACUAUCUGGAAUUUUUAGUCGAAAGCUGAAAUAUUUCAAUUUAUUUGAUAAAAAAAUGGAGGACAAAGUUUGGUGAAGUCAACUGUUGUUGUAGAAAUAGUAUAAAUAUAUGUUGGAGAAGGAUUGGUAGACAUGGAGCAAUGACAAUCUCCAUGAGCUCCAAAUUGAGCUUGUACAUGUAACAGAGAAGGCAUUUACUGUCAUGCAAUUAUAACUGAAAAGCGAGAUUCUUCAAUUUAGUUUUGCAAAAGUGUUGAGGAGAAAAGUUUGAUGAACUUACCCGUCGUUACGAAAAUAGCAGAGAACUCUAUCAAAAGAGGAUUAUUAGACAUGGAUUGACUGCAAGUCAAGUGACCUGCUUGUUGAAUUUGUACAGGAAAACCUCCAACUUUAGAAAUAGUAAUUUUCUUUAACUCUUGUCUGUUUGCUCGGCGCUGCGGCAAAAACGCUUCUUUUUUUCCUGCAGAAACUUGUUUAUAUAUUUCACAUCAUCGAAGCUUCAUCCCAGCAUCCUUUUUUGCUGAGUAGGAUUGGUUAUUUUUAUCACAAGUCAUUACACCUGCGGGUUCAGCGAUCACAUCAGCCUUAAUUUGAUGAAAAAAGAACUUUCACUGCACAAGUUAUCUUAAAUGUCAACAUACUGUAUAUAAUAGGUAUGUAAAUCUUUCAAGCAAUGUUAAGAAGUCGAAGAGAUUAGUAUGUACAGUAAAUAAGUGAGAUUCAUCUUCAGAUAGAAUCCCACAUUUUGGAUAGAGUUAUUUUUCACAUUGUUUGACCCUUGUAUUCUAACAACAGCAAAAGGAAUUUCAUCCAAGAAGAAAAAAAAAAGAUACCAGCCUUUUUGAUAUGCCACAAUCUUUAAGCUUUGAUAGUGACAUCUGCAGUCAAGAAAAUACUUCUUGUCGUGAUAUAGAUACAUGCAAAAAGCAAAAGAAAAUAUGUUUGAAUUUAAAGACGAAAAAAACUCAAUCUGUUCAGAGUGAUUGCUUCACUAGUGCAUGUCAUUCAAAUCAGGACAUCAAAGGUAUGCGCUUGAAAUUACGGUAGCAAAAGGAAAAUUCUUAUUUCUUCAAUGAAUAUUGAAUCACCCCAGCAUUAAGAAGCUUUUCAGGAUACCUUUUAAUAAAAAUAAACUUAUCAAGAAAUGGCCAUCCACUACCAGCACCAACUUACCCGCCCAACUUUUUGAUUUUCUAGGGCAUAUCUAUUUAGGAUGUAGCAUACAAAGAUCUGGAUCUUAAUCAAAAUAAAUAUUAGUUGUAUCUAAUGUUUAUUUAGAUAUAUAUCCUUCUAUAUAUAUAAGACUUUGUUUGACUCCACAAGAUUAAAGGGAAAUUGUAAAUAUUUUCUGAAAUCUUCAUCUUUUUAUUGCCAUCUUCUUUCAUUUAGGCAUUUCUAGAUUCUCUUCGGAAUUUUCCCCAAGAAGUAACAACACCGGUAGAAACACCUAACAAAAACUCACCACAAAAUUCAAAUGAAUAGGUGUACACCGAUCAACAUUUCGGAAGGCACAAAGGAAUCAUCAAAUACAGUAGAUAGAUUCUUGAUAUCAUUCUAGUAAAGGUUAAAUCUACAAGUUCUAAUCAGCCAGUAUACUAUACAUUACUUUUUCUUUUUUUUUCUUUUUAACAACCAUGGUGUCCAAGACAGCUUGCUCGCAUCUCAACUAAUUUCAUGAGAUACCUGUCAUCUCUCACUCCCACCAGCAGCAACAACAGGUUCUAACUCAGUCUGCCAAGACUAAGACAGAUGGGAAGAAAUCACCUAAUUUUUUUGUCUCCAUUGAUAUUUGAAUGGAUAUUAGCCAAAAAUGAUCUUAGUAUGAAACUACCAAAUUGUGAAGUAAUUGUGUGUUAACUGAUAAUUUGUGACAUCUAUAAAAAAAUUGAUAUUUUCUAAAAAUUAUAAAACUAAAUACAACAACAACAAAGCCAGUGUAAUCUCACAAGUCGGGACUAGGUAGGGUGGCGUGUAUGCAAUCCGAAAUAUGCUUUCUUUAAGAAGUAUACCUACACUUUACAUACAUACAAGACAUUGGUCCUUUCUUACUCAUGAUUUCUUAUGUUUUAUAUCAUUCAAGAUAGUUUUGUUUUUUUAACAUAAUCUACUACUAUGGCUAAGACAUUGACAUUUUAAAAAUAAAAGUCUCAUAACCAACAGGCAAAUAAAAGGCACAGUUAAAUCAAUUCGUAGGGCAUGGACAUUUUAAGAAUAAACGUCUUAAUUUUAGUGCGCUUUCAUAUCUUUCAUUAACUAAAAUGACUCUCAUUACUCUUUACAGGCUAUUAGUUAUUACUGUAACCGAAUGCAGACUGUAAGGUUGGUGUGAUAAAGUUGGCGAUGAAGGAGUAGUGAAUUUGACUUAUGGUUGUCGUAAUCUCAAAGCCAAAAAGAGUCAACACACAUCCAGAAAAGUUGACAUUACGAAAAUAUAAUUAUCAAAAUAAGAUUAUUGUGGAUUUAGAACAAUACAAAUACACGACAGGCAAUUGUUUGUUCAAAGUUUACAUCAAUAAUGCCUAUGAUAGGUAUUGUCAACAACAGCCGGAAGUUUUCAAAAAUGAGGAAUGCUUAAUCAACAUCAUCAAAGGCUUUAGCAUUCCAGGUGGCUUACCUUGGCAUUUAGUCGAUGAAAUGUACAUCCUAAUCAAUUAUGGUGAUGAGUUCCAUUGGGUGUUGGCUGUCGUCGUUCUAAAAGAGAGGUGCAUCCGAUUUUAUGACUCAAUGUAGCGAAGGAGACGUUUUGGACCGUCGUCUGAGAUACAAAAGUUGGCCAAAAUAUUGCCUACUUACCUUGAUAUGAGUGGUUUUUUGGACGAAAAGGUUCGUACUGAUUGGUCGAUGAUUAAAGCAUACCGAGAUAAAAUGGCUAAUCCAUUUGAUAUACAAUAUAUUGAAGGAAUUGCUCAACAAAUCAUUAGUAGCUUGUAAGUACAAGUAUCAUGAUUUAGUUUCAUUUCACAAAUUUCACAACGCUUACAUGAACUGCAAGAUAUGGAUUAUCUGCUUUUUAAAACACAAGGAUUGUGGUCCUUUUGUUGCUGCUUACACUGAGUAUUUGAGCAAUGGAUUACAAGUACCAAAUGAUGGCCUUGAUUUCGGAUUACUUCGCAAAAGAUAUGUUGCUCUUUUAUCAAAAUACGGAGAAUCAAAAGCUUAGAAAUCAUACACAAGCGACAUUAAAGAUCCACGACGACCAAAGCCGAAUUUCGUAGCACCGAAUGAAGAACAACUUGUCCAUAUUAAGUAGAUCUUUAUAGAUUGGUUCUUUCAAUGUAAUAACCUAUCCUCCUUAGUUUAACUUGUGGAUUUACUUACAGAGUAGAUCAUUUGUACCCACAAUGAUUUUUUUAACAUUUCAUUUAUUUAGUGAGUUAUUUCAUGUAAUUUCCGAAGGCUUUGAUUUAUUUUAUGUUGUCUAUGAAUAUAAUUUAAUCCUUAGGUUGAACAUGUUAAUUGAAAUGGAGUACUAGAUUAAAAUAUCGCAACAGAUAAUACAUCUGCUACAACAAAUGAUAUAUCUUAUCAAACAGAUUUAGACAUAUGUUGCAAUAUGUAGGUCAUCUACUGAAAAUUAUAUAACAGGCCUUUCUAUUUUUUUGAUUUGUUCCAAUAGAUUACCUAUCAGUUGCAACAGAUAUAUUAUAUGUUGCGAUAGAAUGUAUGUCUGCCAUGACAGACAGGCUGGGAAACAUCUGCAUAAGAUAAUAGAUGACCAACUUAUUCCAACAGAUAAUCAAUCUGUCACAACGGGUAUUAUAUUUGUUACAACAGAUAGAUAAUUUGUUGCACUAUAAAAAUUCAACUUUUGCCAGACAUAAAAAUUAUUGACACUACAUGUAAUAUAAACUAAGUGAAGUGGCUUGAAAUAAAAAAAAUUAUCGUGUUCGUCUCUAUCUUUGUACAUAUUCUUCUUUAUACAGGGGCUCUAACCAUUUAGUUAGGUGAUCUGCUAGAAAUUAUAUAACAGGUUUUCCUACACUUUUUGAUUUAUUCUAACAGAUUACCUAUCAGUUGCAACAGAUAGAUUAUAUAUUGCAACAGAUUGUAUAUCUGUUGUGACAGACAACCAGGAAACAUCUACAUAAUGCAUCAGAUGACCAACCUAUUCCAAUAGAUAAUCAAUCUUUCACAAUAGGUAUUAUAUCUGUUACAACAGAUAGACAAUCUAUUGCACUAUAAAAAUUUAACUUUUGCCAGACAUAAAUAUUAUUACCAUUACAUGUAAUGUAAAGUAAGUGAAGUAGCUUGAAAUAAAAAAUUAUUAUCAUUUUUGUCUCUGUCUUUGUACAUAUUCUUCUUUAUAAAUGAGCACCAACCAUUUAGUUAGUACUCCAUAAUCUCAGACCUCUUGCAUCUUUCCCACAAUGGCAUCGCACAUAUAGGAUAUUUCUAUGCCGGUCAGCAAAUACUCGAUGUAUGCAUGCGAGUCCGACCAGCACGCUACACGGGUUUUAUUUUUUGGGAGUUGGAUGUUAUUAUUUCUACCUUCAAAAUCCCAUAAUUUCUUCAUCAAGACUUCCACCGGCAAAUGAUCCAUCAUCUUACUCUGCGUCAACAACUUGGGGAACAACUUCAAGAGUGGUUGCACGUGGGUUAAAAAUGUAUCCUCGUUGAACACAGAUAAGUUGCAGUCAUAAACCUUAAUGUUUCCCUCAUCGAGUAAUAUCUCAACAAUGAGAAAAUAUUUGACUUCCACGUUCAUGACUACAAGGAUUCUCUUUGCCUUGGUCCAGCUCUUGUCGUAUGGAUAUGGCCUCUUCCCUCUAACAUAUUUAUCAUGUCUUUAUCCCAUUCGAAUAUAAAAACUAACUUAUCAAAUGUCCGACCACCAGUACCAGCUCGCCUACGGAGAUCAUCAUACCUAUCCUUGAAAUUGUUAUAGAAGUUGAGGUCUAUUAUCCUAUAGAAAGUAUCAUAAGCAUCUAGGUACAUUAAUUGCCUGCCCCUUAUGAGGCAGAGAAUUUUAUCAAUAUAUUAUGGUAUAAGAAGGUAAUUUUUAAAUAGAUUAGCAAUUGUAAAGAAGAAAAACAUAGUGAAAAGAUUCUGUUGCAGAGGGUUCUCUGAAUCAGUUCAUAGAUUACCCAGCUGUAACGCCCCAGAAAAUGGGUCACGAAGCAUCACACGGUGCUUGAGACUAUGAAUAGCCCCAAGCUAACCCUUUGAGCCAUUUUCAUUUAGUUCAACACAAAUCAACGGGUUUCCAUAAAUAACCCUCAAAUAUCAAUAGAGUAAUCAUCAUCCAAGAAUAAAAGAAUUUCAAAAAGAUAACAAAAUACGACUUAUUAGUCAACUUCCAACAUCUAUACUAGUCUGACAAGCCUCUAAGAAAAUCAAUAAAACCAGCGAGCCAUUGAGACAUGCCCCAACUGACUCAUACUCAGUUAUCAAAUGUAAACAAUUCCGUGAAACCAACAUCAGACAUCACGUCCUCGGAACAUGAGGACUCAUCACAACAGUUAAUAUAGAACAGUGUGCCCGAAGAAUCACUGUCGAACCUGGAACUGAGCACCUAAACCGACAUUCGGAGAAAAUGCAGCCCACAUCCGAAGAUGUGGGACAGUACCAUGGAAAAGAACUGAGUAUAUAGGGGUGUAUGCAGUUGUAUAAACAUCAUCAUCAUAAAUAUUUAUAAGAAAUAUGCAGAAUGUAUGAAAGACUCACAUAGCUCGAAGAAAAUCAUCAUAAUCAUAAGAGGAUAAAAUAAGUACAAUAACACAUGUGAGUCAUCAUAUAAUUUGUCAAUCACUUUCAGUUCAUCAAGAAUAUCAAUUCUCAUAAUGUAAAUAUCAUUUAAAUCUUUCAAAAGAAUAACUUUCACAUCACUUCACCAUUGACACAAGGAAACACACAUACACUGGGAGAUCCUAUAACCGACAUAAACCAUGUGAGCUACGUACAACCCACGUUGGGGAGAGCCGUCCUAUCCUUGCCACCGGAGUAGGACUAUUGAUAUCAAAUUCACACAAACUAGUGAUCACUAUAUAAAUCAGCCUCAGGCUCACUCCUACGGGGGCACAUAGUUCUAGGGAAGUAAGGUUGCUUUAUACCUUUCACUCGGUGCUAAAGAUUUCUCCCGGACUUAGCUUAGAUCAUUUCAAAGAUAAUCCACAACAAAACAAUUUCGAUAAUAUAUAAAUAUACAUCGGGAGCCAUCAUGCUUCCCAUCUAUCAAAAUCAACCACGUUGUAGAUUUCUUUCACACUCGAGUUCAAAAAAACUCCAUUAAGACCAAAAGGUCAAAUCAUUCAAAAUAUCUCAAAUAUUCAAUAUCAACGUGCUUAUAACACACACUUUCUAAAAAACAAACACAAUUUCUAAUGGGGAUUCACAACCCAAAUAUCAAAAUCAUGAUAAAUAUCGUUCAAGAUUUCAUGCUUUAUAUAACCACACAUGCAAAUUCAUCUUUCAAAAUCAUAAACAUCAAGAUUUCAUAAUAAUCAUCAUAAGAUAUGGGUUCAUGCUUCAAAUUUAUAAAAAAACAAAUAAAAUCAUGCCUUUGUAAAGAAAAUUACUUUGGGCACAAGAACGAAAGAGAGUUCUUAUUGAAAAACCCCACAUACCUUGAAUGAUAAACUUUAGAUCAAUAAUCAUUUUGAGAUGUUAAUAAUGCCUUUGAAUGAUGGUUCUUGGAGUUCUUGAACUAGGAACUUGGAAUCUUGAAUAAAUUUGCAGAAUUAAUGGUGAAGGAGGUUCUUGAAGUUGGAUGUAGGAGCUUAGAAUUUUCUUUUUGAGGGAGUUUGAUUAAAUAUAACAUAUAAUGCUUCUAAUAGGCUUUAAUAUAGGGUUUGGACAGAUUUUGGGUGAGGGGGAAUGACCAAAAAACCCCUAAAAAUAAAAAAAAAUUCUCGAAUCUGUCCUUUGGUGGACUGUUUUGAUAGUCUAAAGUAAAUCAACCAUAACGUUUUACUUCGAUAUUCAAAUUGGAUGAAACCAAUUUCAUUAGAAAGAGGACUCUCAUAUAUUUCCAUUGAUAUGUAGUAUCUCACCCAGAUCAUUGUGUACAAGGAGUUAUGAUCNNNNNNNNNNNNNNNNNNNNNNNNNNNNNNNNNNNNNNNNNNNNNNNNNNNNNNNNNNNNNNNNNNNNNNNNNNNNNNNNNNNNNNNNNNNNNNNNNNNNNNNNNNNNNNNNNNNNNNNNNNNNNNNNNNNNNNNNNNNNNNNNNNNNNNNNNNNNNNNNNNNNNNNNNNNNNNNNNNNNNNNNNNNNNNNNNNNNNNNNNNNNNNNNNNNNNNNNNNNNNNNNNNNNNNNNNNNNNNNNNNNNNNNNNNNNNNNNNNNNNNNNNNNNNNNNNNNNNNNNNNNNNNNNNNNNNNNNNNNNNNNNNNNNNNNNNNNNNNNNNNNNNNNNNNNNNNNNNNNNNNNNNNNNNNNNNNNNNNNNNNNNNNNNNNNNNNNNNNNNNNNNNNNNNNNNNNNNNNNNNNNNNNNNNNNNNNNNNNNNNNNNNNNNNNNNNNNNNNNNNNNNNNNNNNNNNNNNNNNNNNNNNNNNNNNNNNNNNNNNNNNNNNNNNNNNNNNNNNNNNNNNNNNNNNNNNNNNNNNNNNNNNNNNNNNNNNNNNNNNNNNNNNNNNNNNNNNNNNNNNNNNNNNNNNNNNNNNNNNNNNNNNNNNNNNNNNNNNNNNNNNNNNNNNNNNNNNNNNNNNNNNNNNNNNNNNNNNNNNNNNNNNNNNNNNNNNNNNNNNNNNNNNNNNNNNNNNNNNNNNNNNNNAGAGGAAUCUACUACCACAGCAUCGCUAAUAUGCUUUCUAAGCAUGGAGACAUGGAAUAUUGCAUGAACAGAGGACAACUAGGAAGGCAACUCGACUUCAUAAGCUACCUUACCAACAUGGCUAAGAAUUUUGUAAGGUCCAACAUAACGAGGACUAAGCUUCCCCUUCUUUUCGAAUCUCUUUACCCCCCUUAUGGGUGAAAUUUUCAGAUACACUAGGUCACCAACUUCAAACUCAAGGACUCUUCUUCUAACAUCCGCAUAUGACUUCUGAAGACUCUGCGCAGUUUUCAACCUUUCCCUAAUCAACUUAACUUUUUCGAUAGCCUCAAAUACCGAAUCAGGACCACUCACAGCCGCUUCACCCACCUCAAACCAACCUAUGGGUGAUCUACACUUCCUCCCAUAUAAGGCUUCAAACGGAGCCAUGCCAAUACUAGAGUGGAAACUGUUAUUGUAAGCAAACUCUAUCAACGGUAAGUGAUCAUCCCAACUACCCUAAAAGUCAAGUGCACAAGCUCUCUACAUAUCUUUUAAGGUCUGGAUGGUCCGCUCAGCCUGACCAUCGGUCUGCGGAUGAAAAGCAGAACUCAAAAGCACUUGGGUACCAAGACCCUUUUGAAAAGCUUUCCAAAAUUGCGAAGUGAAUUGAGUACACCUAUCCGAAAUAAUAUACAAGGAAACUCCAUACAGUUUGACUAGCUUUCGGAUAUACAAUUUAGCGUAAUCUUCAGCAGUAUAUGAAGUAUGAACAGGCAAGAAAUGAGCAGAAUUAGUCAACCUAUCAACCACAACCCAAAUAGAAUCAUGAUGGCGUCGGGAAAGAGGUAAACCAAUCACGAAGUCCAUAUUUAUCUCUUCCUACUUCCAGGUAGGAAUACUAAACUCUUGCAUUAUACCACCAGGUCUUUGGUGUUCAACCUUAACCUAUUGGCAUAUUGCACACUUAGCUACAAACGCUGCUAUAUGUUUCUUCAUACCACUCCACCAAUAGAUUUCCCAUAAGUCUCGGUAUAUCUUAGUGGCACCAGGAUGACUAGAACAUCGCACCCCUGUGCUUCAGCCAUAAUCCUCUAUCUUAGAUCAUCAACAUUCGGGACACACAAUCUACCCUGCAAUCUCAACACACCAUCUCCCCCUUGGGAGAAAACCUCUACUUUUUGGUCCUUGACCGACUCCUUCAGUCUGACCAAACUAGCAUCUAAGUAUUGCUUUUCCUUCACUUCCGAAAUGAAGGAGGAUUUGAAACUACUCUGAACCCCUAUACUACCUUUAGCAGUGUCAAACAACCUAACCCUCAAUCUAUCCAAAUGAUGCACAUCACGAGCCAACUCUUUCUUACCUUCUACCACAUGCGAAACACUACCCAUGGACACUCUACUUAGGGCAUCCACCAAAACAUUGGCCUUGCCCAGAUGGUACAGCACACUCAUAUCAUAGUUUUUUAACAAUUCUAACCAUCAUCUCUGCCUAAAAUUCAAUUCUCUCUGGGUAAACACAUACUACAGAAUCUUAUGAUCAGUGAAGACAUCAACAUCGACACCAUACAAAUAGUGUCUCCAGAUUUUCAAAGCAAACACAACAGCAGCCAACUUAAGGUCAUGGGUGGGGUAGUUUUUCUUAUGGGGUUUCAAUUUUCUAGAAGCAUAAGCUAUCACCUUACCCUUCUGCAUCAAUACGCAACCCAAACCAACUCUCAAAGCAUCACAGUAUACCACAAAACCAUCAACACCAUCAGGCAAAGUCAAAACAGGGGCUGAAGUGAGUCGAGUCUUCAACUCCUGAAAACUCUUCUCACAAGAUUCGGACCACAAGAACUUCACUUUAUUUUGGGUCAACCGAGUCAUAGGAGAUGCUAUAGAGGAGAAACCCUCAACAAAACGGCGGUAAUAGCUAGAUAAACCUAAGAAACGUCAAAUAUCAGUAGGAGAAAUAGGUCUAGUCUAAUUUUUAACAGCUUCGGACUUUUGGGGAUCAACUCUAAUACCCUCAAAAGAAAUGAUAUAACCCAGAAAAGCAACUGACCUUAGCCAAAACUUACACUUACUGAACUUGGCAAACAACUUGUGAUCUCUAAGGGUUUGCAAGACAGUUCGGAGAUGAUCAAAAUGUUCAUCCUCACUACGGGNNNNNNNNNNNNNNNNNNNNNNNNNNNNNNNNNNNNNNNNNNNNNNNNNNNNNNNNNNNNNNNNNNNNNNNNNNNNNNNNNNNNNNNNNNNNNNNNNNNNNNNNNNNNNNNNNNNNNNNNNNNNNNNNNNNNNNNNNNNNNNNNNNNNNNNNNNNNNNNNNNNNNNNNNNNNNNNNNNNNNNNNNNNNNNNNNNNNNNNNNNNNNNNNNNNNNNNNNNNNNNNNNNNNNNNNNNNNNNNNNNNNNNNNNNNNNNNNNNNNNNNNNNNNNNNNNNNNNNNNNNNNNNNNNNNNNNNNNNNNNNNNNNNNNNNNNNNNNNNNNNNNNNNNNNNNNNNNNNNNNNNNNNNNNNNNNNNNNNNNNNNNNNNNNNNNNNNNNNNNNNNNNNNNNNNNNNNNNNNNNNNNNNNNNNNNNNNNNNNNNNNNNNNNNNNNNNNNNNNNNNNNNNNNNNNNNNNNNNNNNNNNNNNNNNNNNNNNNNNNNNNNNNNNNNNNNNNNNNNNNNNNNNNNNNNNNNNNNNNNNNNNNNNAGUCUCAGACUUAGUGUCUUUGACUCUAACUAAAUGGUAAAUACACCUCUUGGAAAUAACCUUUCUAGCUUUGAGAUAAGAGGUAAAAUAACUCUUAGGUGACACAGAAUUCCCAGACUACUCAAACACGGAUGCACCCAAAAACUGAAACUUGACCACUCGGGUCCGACAAUCAAUAGAGGAAUAAAAAGAAUAUAGCCAGUCCAUACCCAGAAUCACAUCAAAAUAUACCAUGUAUUACUUAAUCAGAUCAGCCAACAAGACCCUAUGAAGAACAGUAACAGGACACUUUUUAUACACUUUCUGUGCAGCAAUCGAAUCACCCACUGGGGUAGAAACUAGGAUAGGCUCAGGAAUAAUCUCAGGACUCAUUUCAAAAUUCACAGCAAUCAAAGGUGUAAUAUAUGAGAAACUGGAUCCAGGAUCCAACAAAGCAUACACAUCAAACUGAAAUAUACGAAGCAUACCAGUAACAAUAUCGGGAAAGUCCUCUUAUUCUUGGCAGGACGGUAAAGCAUAGAAUCUAUUCUGUCGCUGCCCGCCAGCAUUGCUAGAGUAGGUGCCUUGAGCUGGGGCUGGGCGAGUUGUUGGAACCGGAGCACUAACAGUCUGAGUCUGGGUCUGAGAGCGAUAGUCACGAUGCCCUUGUCCAUCCUAUGGAUAAUCUCUAACUCUGUGACCCAUGUCACCAUACCGGAAACAACCCCUCUUCUCACCCCAAAACUCACCCGAAUGAGCCCCACCACACUUAGGACACAGGGAAUGAUUUGGCUUACUGCCAACACUGUACUGUGACCUGGAUGCAUAUGACCUGGUACCUUGCUCCUGCCUACCUCUAGGCACGGGAGCACUAGCAGAUGACGGUGCUGGCAUAGACAAAUGAUCCUGAUAUUGAAGGCAACUCCCUCUCUGUGAUCUAGUCUGACCUUGUCUGUGCUGCUCGAACUUAGCUCUCUUAUUCCCUGUCAUUCUAUCUCUCUCUUUAAUCUUGUCUGCCUUAACCUGUUGGGCAUGAUUCAUCAGCCUAGAAAGAUUUAUAUCACUAUUCAGCAUAGCAGACCUACACUCCUUAACCACAUAACUAGACACUCCUGUAACAAACUUACUCAUACUAGCUCGAUUAUCUGCCACUAAGUCAAGAGCAUACUUGGUCAACUGAUUGAACUUUAGACAGUACUCCCUAACAGACAUAGAGACCUGUUACAGGUUCAUAAACUCUUCCACCUUUGCCUCCCUCAUCUCCAAAGGGAAAAACUUAUCCAGGAAUACAUCUUGGAACUCUUGCCAAGUUGUAGGGACAGCUACCUCACCUUUACCUUUUCUCCAAGUAAAAACCUAGUCACAAGCAAGGUCUUUCAACCUAUACGCAACUAACUCCACACUAUGUUCCUCAUAUACAUACACUACCUGAGUAAUCUUCCACACCUCCUCUAAAAAUAACUGUGGAUCUUCAUCAGACUUGGACCCAUAGAAUUCUGGUUGAUUCAUCCGUAUGAAGUCACGGAUCCUAGCAGCAGCUGAAUCACCUCCCUGCUGCUGUAGAGCCGGGGUCGGGUUGGCCUAAAUAUUUGCAGUAACAGCUUGGGCCAGCGCCUGAAAGACUGCCCAAAAUUCAGCAUGAGACACAUUUUCAUUUAAUGGGUCAGCGGGAUGAGGUUGCUGACCAUCAUUAUUUUAUCUCGCUCAACGUAGAGGCAUAUUUUUGAAAGAGAAGAGCAUGAAUCAAUAGAUGAGAGAGACACUUUAAGCACGAUAGACUUCUGAAAGAAAGAAUUACACUUUUCCCUAAAACGUCUUGUAGCCUCUUGCUCAUAGAUGUGGCGCGUUACACACCGAUGAUCAAGACUCUACUUAACGCAGCUUGUCAGACUCCCUAGGACACCUUAAAACCUUAGGCUCNNNNNNNNNNNNNNNNNNNNNNNNNNNNNNNNNNNNNNNNNNNNNNNNNNNNNNNNNNNNNNNNNNNNNNNNNNNNNNNNNNNNNNNNNNNNNNNNNNNNNNNNNNNNNNNNNNNNNNNNNNNNNNNNNNNNNNNNNNNNNNAUCAACAGAGUAAUCAUCAUCCAAGAAUAAAAGAAUUUCAGAAAGAUAACAAAAUACGACUUAUUAGUCAACUUCCAACAUCUAUACUAGUCUAACAAGCCUCUAAGAAAAUCAAUAAAACCAGCAAGACAUUGAGACAUGCCCCAACUGACUCAUACUCAGUUAUCAAAAGUAAAUAAUUUCAUGAAACCAACAUCAGACAUCACGUCCUCGAAACAUGAGGACUCACCACAACAGAGGAUGUAGUACAGCAUGCCCGAAGAAUCACUAUCGAACCUGGAACUGAGCACUUGAACCUACAUUUUGAGAAAAUGCAGCCCACAUCCAAAUAUGUGGGUCAGUACCAUGGAAAGGAACUGAGUAUAUGGGGGCGUAUGUAGUUGUAUAAACAUCAUCAUCAUAAAUAUUUAUAAAAAAUAUGCAGGAUGUAUGAAAGACUUACAUAGCUCGAAGAAAAUCAUCAUAAUCAUGAGAGGAUGAAAUAAGUACAAUAACACAUGUGAGUCAUCAUAUAAUUUGUCAAUCACUUUCAGUUCAUCAAGAAUAUCAAUUCUNNNNNNNNNNNNNNNNNNNNNNNNNNNNNNNNNNNNNNNNNNNNNNNNNNNNNNNNNNNNNNNNNNNNNNNNNNNNNNNNNNNNNNNNNNNNNNNNNNNNNNNNNNNNNNNNNNNNNNNNNNNNNNNNNNNNNNNNNNNNNNNNNNNNNNNNNNNNNNNNNNNNNNNNNNNNNNNNNNNNNNNNNNNNNNNNNNNNNNNNNNNNNNNNNNNNNNNNNNNNNNNNNNNNNNNNNNNNNNNNNNNNNNNNNNNNNNNNNNNNNNNNNNNNNNNNNNNNNNNNNNNNNNNNNNNNNNNNNNNNNNNNNNNNNNNNNNNNNNNNNNNNNNNNNNNNNNNNNNNNNNNNNNNNNNNNNNNNNNNNNNNNNNNNNNNNNNNNNNNNNNNNNNNNNNNNNNNNNNNNNNNNNNNNNNNNNNNNNNNNNNNNNNNNNNNNNNNNNNNNNNNNNNNNNNNNNNNNNNNNNNNNNNNNNNNNNNNNNNNNNNNNNNNNNNNNNNNNNNNNNNNNNNNNNNNNNNNNNNNNNNNNNNNNNNNNNNNNNNNNNNNNNNNNNNNNNNNNNNNNNNNNNNNNNNNNNNNNNNNNNNNNNNNNNNNNNNNNNNNNNNNNNNNNNNNNNNNNNNNNNNNNNNNNNNNNNNNNNNNNNNNNNNNNNNNNNNNNNNNNNNNNNNNNNNNNNNNNNNNNNNNNNNNNNNNNNNNNNNNNNNNNNNNNNNNNNNNNNNNNNNNNNNNNNNNNNNNNNNNNNNNNNNNNNNNNNNNNNNNNNNNNNNNNNNNNNNNNNNNNNNNNNNNNNNNNNNNNNNNNNNNNNNNNNNNNNNNNNNNNNAACACAAUUUCCAAAGGGGAUUCACGACCCAAAUAUCAAAAUCAUGAUAAAUAUCGUUCAAGAUUCAUGUUUUAUAUCACCACACAUGCAAAUUCAUCUUUCAAAAUCAUAAACAUCAAGAUUUCAUAAUAAUCAUCAUAAGAUAUGGGUUCAUGAUUCAAAUUCAGAAAAAUCAAAUAAAAACCAUGCCUUUGUAAAUAAAAUUACUUUUGGGCACACGAAUGAAAGAGAGUUCUUGUUGAAAAAUCCCACAUACCUUGAAUGAUGAACUUUAGAUCGAUACUCAUUUUUGAGAUGUUAAUCGUGCCUUGAAUGAUGGUUCUUGGAGUUCUUGAACUAGGAACUUGGAAUCUUGAAUAAAUUUACAGAAUUAAUGGUGAACUUUGGAGGUUCUUGAAGUUGGAUGUAGGAGCUUAGGGUUUUUUUUUUGAAGGAGUUUGAUGAAAUAAAACAUAUAAUGCUUCUAAUAGGCUUUAAUAUAGGGUUUGGACGAAUUUUGGGUGAGGGGGAAUGACCAAAACACCCCUAAAAAUCAAAAAAAUUCUCGAAUCUGUCCUUUGGUGGACUGUUUUGAUAGUCUGAAGUAGAUCAACUAUAACGUUUUACUCUGAUAUUCAAAUUGGAUGAAACCAAUUUCAUUAGAAAAAGGACUCUCAUAUAUUUUCAUUGAUAUAUAGUAUCUCACCCAGAUCAUUGUGUACGAGGAGUAAUGAUCGUUUGAAGUUGACCCAAAAAUUCACUUUUGAUAGGCUAAAGUAUAUCGACCAUAACUUUUUGCUUCGAUAGACAAAUUAGAUGAAACCAAUUUCAUUGGAAAGAGGACUUGAAGAGAUUUCCGUUGAUAUAUAGUAGAUCACCCAAAUCAUUAUGUACAAGGAGUUAUGAUUGUUUAAAAUUGGAGAAAAAAUACGCCAUGCAUCAGUACUUUUUCCUGCACGUUUUACUGUUUACUACUAUUCACGGUUCGAUCGAAAUGUUCAUAACUCGUCACUCGGGUGUCCGUUUUGGAUGAUCCACAUAUCUUUGGAAAGCUUAUUUGAUACUAUACGUAAUGGUGGGUCAUAAUCUAAGAUAUUUUACACAAAAAAAUUAUAAUUCAUUAUAGAAGAUAGAACUCAACAUGUUUACGCACAAAAUUUUAACGAAAAAAUUUCUCAGGGUAUUACACCAACUAACGUAACUUAUGCAACAGAUGUGUAUUAUGUUGCAACACAAUACCCAGCUGUUGCAACAGAUUAGACAUCUAUUGCAUAGCUUCUUCUUCAUGGAGUAGAUUGGAAGGCUAGGUUAGCAAAAGUAAACUUACAUUGUCCACGUACCACUCACGCAUAUUUGUCAUACUCAUGAAGUCUCUAGCGUCAAAUAAUUACAUGGUGUAUUCUUGUGGAGUUUUCAUCUUGUCAGUCAUGAUUUUCCCAAGUUUCUCUUUCUCCUCAUCGCCAAGUGUUGCGUAUAUGUCCACCUUCUUCAGUGGCCCCUAAACUUCAACAACUCUUGGUGUAUGAGGAGUUGUAAUUUUUUGUAUUUCCAGAAUGGAGAGUAUUUUUCUAAUGUUUCUUCUCUUUCUCCUAAUCGCCAUUGCAGGAGUGUAUGGCUCUCUUACCUUCUUAGAUUUUAUGACACCCUUUUCGGAUUUCAACUCCUUGACAGCUUCAGCAAUAGCCUCUAAUUUUUCAAGGAGUUUAUCCUCUCUAUCCUACAUACUUUGCAUUUACAAUGAGAAUAUAAGGGUGAAGAGGGGUGAGAAGAACCACUAUAAGGGUGGGAGGGUCCAGUGUAGGGGUGAGAGCGACCUGUGCAAGGGGCAUUUUCAAAUGUAUUUAUUUUUUCCUGAGUACUAACAUGCUCAUAAUCAUGACUGCAGUAGCAGCAACAUCAGAAUGGCUACCACUAUCAUCAAAAACUCCACUAGAAACACCCUCAGAAGAAGCAUCUAGAUCUAUUGUAGUGGUUGGUCAUAAAGAUCUUCAACAUUAGGUUGACCUUGCCUAACUGCUCUUCUUAUGGUUGUUGCUCCAGCCAAUUCCUUCUUUAUUAACUCCACCGUUGGGUCUGCUUUUAUAUCAACACGACCUAGAGUAAUAAAAAAAGUCAUCCAUAACUCAUGCUCAGUAGGCACGAUCCAAGGAUGCACAACCUAUAAAAAGAAGACAGGAGACAUUUAAAUCAUAUAAUAAUAAUUUACAGUUAGUUGGGUUACAUGUUAACACAGCCAACUUAUGCAACAGACGAUCUAGCUUCAGCAAUAGCUGAUUUGUUUGUCAUGACAGAUUGACAAUAUAUUAUAUCAGAUUACCCAUUUGUUGCAUAAUUUGUAGUAGAUGGGUAAUCUGUUGAGUCGGGUUCAGAGAACCAGAUCAAUAGAUGGUUAAUACAUUGUAAAGCAUGGAUCGUCUAUCAUAAUAGAUUACCUAUCUGUUGCACCAAUUGCAAUUGAUAGGUAAUUUGUUAUAACAGAUGACUCAUCUGUUGCAACAGAUGGCAUAUCUAUUUCGAUAUCUUUCUUUAAGGUAAAUUAUUUUAGUUGAAAGAAGACGUACUGCAUCAUCCAGAGGGUUAAAGAGAUCAGCCUCCUUAAUAUUUUUUUUGCUGCUCUUUGCAGUCAACCACCUAAGGAUCCUUGGAUGAGAAACCUCAUCCGGGUAAUCCUUGAAUUGCUUUCAGAGGGGAGGAAUGGCUUCACAUGCCCAAGCCUAAAAAAUGUAAACAAGAAACAAGAAAAAAAAGUCAUAAUAACUAUAUUCAAUAUAAAUUAAUGGAUGAGUAAAAAUAGUGAUCAAUUUUACCAUGAAAGCCAUAUAAUGUGAUUGUCUUUGAUGAUAGCUUUGUCAGUAAAUAUUCGACAGUCAAGUAGUAGUUGGCAUAUCCCCAGGGAUAAUCAUUGAAUUUCUCAAAAUCAUCAACAAGCUGUAACACCCAAUAUUUCCCUAGCAUAAUCUAAGUCCUAGUGCAUGAGUAUUCGUAUAUAAAAUUUCUAAAACACUUAUUAUUUUUUAGUUUAGAGCCAGUCAUUGUGUAGAAAAUUCAAUUAACUUUCCAACAAUAUAACAUUUGCCCAAAUUCAAUAAUCGGGUGAGCAGUUAUGGCAAUUUUAACUUUUAGUCAUUAAACACCGUCAUUUUAACCCUCAAUGCAUUGCGUAGGCAUCCCAAAUGACAAUUGUUAAUUUCCAGUGUAACUCCAAAAUCAUAGUGCAUCGCAGAGUAGGCCAAAUUCCUAUUUGUCAAUUUCCAGUGGGUUUCCGCGAUGUUGGUGCAUCGCGGAGGUGGCCAAAAUGGCAUCCAAAGCUUUACCGCGAUGGCACACACGCAUCACGAUAUUUUUCCAGGUCCCAUUUUUUCAUUUUCUAGUGGCUUGGCACGAUAGUGGCACGUCGCGUCAAGGCCAAGAAUUGGAAUAGUCAGUUUUCAACUUUCAUUUUUAAAUUUGUUUAAGGGUAUUUGGGUCUUUUUCCAUAGCCUUAAUUAACCUAAAACACUAAAUUUAACCCCUAAACACCCUAAGUAGUCAUCAUUAUUUCAAUUCCUCUAACAAUCAAAAAUCCCUCUUUCAAGAACAAGAAAUCCUAGCUCUCAAAUUCAAGGCAAUUUCUCAAGAACUCUCCAUCAAUCCUCCCAAAUUCAUUAUCCCAGGUAUGUUAGAUGUUCAUCCAUGGAUUCCUUUCAUCCAUGGAGCUUAAUUAACCUUUUUAAUUAUAAAGUUAUGAUCUUUUUAAGUUAUUUAAUUUUAAAUCAUGAUUUCGUCCAUUAAUCUCCAUGAACUUUGAUUUAAUACCAUGUUUUAAUAAAGUUAUUAUUGUUAUUCGAUUCCUCAUGUUUUAGUGUUAUCAUUUGUUGAAUUAAAUCAUGACUUAGUGUUUUCCAUGAUAAUUUCAUGGCAAUUAAGCCAGUUUUUUAGUAAUUUUAUGAUUAUUUUAAACCACGAACUAUAAGUGUUUGAUAAAAUGCCUACAAGAGCAAUUGUUUUAAUAAGAGUCUUCAUGCUAUGUCCUUCAAUGUUUCAAUGUCAUGCUACUACUAUUGUUUUGAGUCCUGGGGGUAUUGAAUACCCAAAACCAUAGAUUUUCAGUUAAUGUUGUCUCGGUAUCUUCAGAAUAACUUCAAAUUAUAUCAUGAUCAUUAUCAGAACAGUCAGUUAAAUUUAGAAUAGUCUAGUAUUUUAGUGUCAUUCAGUUGGGAGUAGGAUUUAGCACCGAGCGAGUGUAGGGAUAGCGGCUUCCUCGUCAAAUAGGUAGAGUCAUUAGUAGCAAUCCUUAUACUCCAGAACUAUGUAGCCAGCGUAGGAUAUGAGUAGUCACCAUCAGAUUAGGCUUGACUAUCUCCCAGGGGUCACCUGUCAGUUCAGGCUUGACACCCGUAGUACUUUGGACAUGAUAUCAGUUUAGUGGAUCCACAUAGCCAGCGUUAGUACCCGUGGCAUGAUAUUAACACCCUUCCAACUAGGGUUACAGGUUGGACCCCGAUUAGCUCAAAUUAGAGAAUAUCGGUUAGAUAAUACCUCCCACAGUUUUUGAUAUAGUCUCAGUUACAGUCUCAGCUUAGUUAUUUAGUCUUAGUGUUGUUUGACCAAAGCAUACAGAUUUAAGUUUUUAUUAAUAUUUUAGUUUGCAGAUUUCAUUCAAUUCAUGUCAUAUGCUUGGACAUACAUCCUCAGUGUCUACAAAUUUUUACAUAUUUUUAGUAUUUUGCAAACUUCCAUGCAUGUUCAGUAUCUACAGAUUUCAUGUUCUCUAUUUAGUAUUCUAUGCUUUAUAUGAAUAUUCAGAUAGAUCAUUACUUCUAUUCAUGAAACCUUGCAUGUUGGCCUACCUCAUUUAGGAUACCAGUACAUUUAAAGUACUAAUUGCAUACCUUUCUUUUGCGUUAUGAUAUCUCAUAUCAUAGGUGUUGAAGCUCAGUUCUUGGAUCGCACUUAGUCUCUCAAAUUCUCAACAGUACAGUAGCAGUAGUGAGUCUUCAUCACUCGAGGAUAGGCUAUCUUAUUUCAUAGCUUUAUUUCAGCAGUCAGUAGAGUUAGUUUGGGCCUGUCCCAUCAACUCUCAGUCAGUCAGUCUUAAAGGCUUUUCAGAUAUUACAGUCAGUUAAUUGGUCAUUUUAUCAAUACUUUAUCAGAUUUAGACAGUCAUUUUCCUAGAUUUAUAUUUCAGUUUGAAUUUAGAUAUUUAAAAUCUUAUGGAACUUCAAUUAUUCUUCCGCAAUUCAUGAUUAUAUUAUCUAAUGCUCACAGUAGGUAUGAGCUCAUGGGUUUUCUUGUGGUCUCUCAGGACUGUAAGCAUCGUGUAAUGACUAGGAAGUAGUCUCGGGUUAUUACAAACUUGGUAUCAGAGCCUAAGGUUUUAAAGUGUCCUAGAAAGUCUAAAAACCGCGUCGAGUAGAGUCUUGUGUAUGGGUGUGAGCACACCACACUUAUGGAUGAGAGGCUACAAGGCAUUUAGGAGAAGUUUCCCUUCUUUCAAGUAUUUAUGUCGUGGGAUUGAGCAUGAGCUCGAGUUAAACUCUCAAUCUUAUCCGUUUCUUCCUUUUGUUUACAAAAUAUGCCUCUUAAGAAGAAUGAAAGAAGAAUAGGAACUCAGCCAGCCCAUCCAGGCAGAUCCUCUAGAUAAGUAUGUCUUUCAUGUAGAAUUCAGGGCUAUAUUCACUACUCUAGCAAACUCUGUGCAGCAUAAAAUGAACGGCCAGCCACUUUUUUAGAAAACUCAGUGGCCAAUACAGCUACAACUAAAAUUCAGGAUUUCACCCAGAUAAAUCCUCCUUCUUUCAUAGGAUCCAAGUCUGAAGAGGAUCCAUAAGAAUUCUUAGAUAUGGUUCAGAAGGUAACGGAUGCUAUGGGGGUGACGUCUAGUCAGAGUGCCGAGUUGGCUACAUAUCAAUCUUAGGAUGUAGCCCUUACUUGGUUUAAGAAGUGGAAAUUUAAUACAGGUGUUACUGCAGGGCCUAUAGAAUGGGAAGUGUUUGCCACAGCUUUCUUGGACAGAUUUUUUCAUUAGAGCUGAGAGAGGCCAAAGUAUUAGAGUUCAUUAAUUUGAGUCAAGGCAGCAGAAGUGUGAGGGAAUAUUCUCUCAAGUUUACUCAGUUAGCUAGAUAUACUCCUCAUGUGGUAGAUAAAAAUAGGUACAAGAUGAGUAAGUUUAUGUCUGGCAUGUCUGAUAGUAUGGUCAGGGAGUGUAGGACCGCAAUGUUGAUUAGUAAGAUGGAUUUUUCUAGGCUGAUGGUUCAUGAUCAAUAGAUAAAGGAACAGAAAAUUAAAGAGAGGGAGAUAGGAAAUAAGAAAGCUAUGAUGGGUAGGUUUAAUUUUAAUCAGCCAAAGUCAGAAGGUGGUAAUCAUCCUCAGUUUCAUCAGAGGUCUUCAUCCCCAGUACCUUCUUCAGCCAGUGCCCUAGUACCCAAAUUCAGAAAUAACAAUAGGGAUAGGGCACCAGGCCCUAACUCCCAGGUCAGAGUUAGUAGUGUUCGUACCAAUCCUUUAUGUUAGAAAUAUGGUGGACCCCAUUAAGGUCAGUGUAGAGUGGUUAGUGAUAUGUGUUUCGGGUGUGGAAAUCCAGGCAAUUGAAUUUGAAAGUGUCGGGUAGUUGCUCAGAAGGGUAGGGAUGUAUGCCAACAGGGCCAGUCCCAUCAGUCGUCAGUUCCAUCCGAUCGCUUGACUCAGCAGGGUGCCGCUUUCAGUGCUACCAGUAUUCAACGUCCGAAUAGAUUAUAUACUCUUCAGUCCUACCAAGAUCAAGAAAAUUCUCUUGACAUAGUUAUUGGUACGUUGCAAGUAUUUCACUUACAUGUUUAUGCUUUACUUGACCUUGGAGCUUCUAUUUCUUUUGUAACUCCAUAUAUAGCUGUCAAUUUUAGAGUCAAACCCAAAACUCUAGCAGAGCCCCUUUUCAGUGUCUACCCCAGUAGGUGUUUCCAUUGUAGCCAGGCAGGUAUACAAGAACUGUCUAGUCACAAUAGCUCAAAAAGUUACUUCAGUUGAUCUUGUGAAGUUACAGAUGACAUAUUUUAACGUCAUUCUCGGCAUGGAUUGGCUCCACUCAUGCUAUGCCUCAAUUGAUUAUAGAAAUAGAAUAGUUCAUUUUUUAUUUCCAAAUGAACCAGUCCUUGAAUGGAGGGGUAGUGCUACAGCUCUUAGGGGUCAGUAGAUUUCGUACCUUAGAGCCAGAAAAAUAAUAUCAAAGAGGUGUAUUUAUCAUCUCGUGCGAGUCAAAAACUCUAACUCGGAAACUCCUACUCUUGAGUCAGUCCCAAUAGUAAAAGAAUUCUCAGUUAUGUUUCCAAAGAUCUUCUCAGAGUUCCUCCCGAAAGGAAAAUAGACUUCGGAAUAGAUCUUGUCCCAGAUACUCAGCGUAUAUCUAUUCCACCAUAUAGAAUGGCUCCAGCUGAACUCAAAGAACUGAAACAACAGUUAAAGGAUCACCUAGAGAAAGGAUUCAUCAGAUAUAACAUCUCCCCGUAGAGCAUAAUUUUUCUAUUUGUGCAUAAGAAAGACGAUUCUCAUAGAAUGUUCAUAGAUUAUCGUCAGUUGAACAAGGUCACAAUUAAGAAUAAAUAUCCACUUUCUAGAAUCGACGAUUUGUUCGACCAACUUCAGGGUGCCCGUUACUUUUCUAAGAUAGACCUCAGAUCAGGCUAUCAUAAGCUUAGAGUCAAAGAAUGUGAUAUUCCAAAAAUAGCUUUCGAAACUUGGUAUGGUCACUUUAAAUUUCUAGUCAUGUCUUUUGGUCUUAUGAAUGCCCCAGAAGCCUUCAUGGACUUGAUGAAUCGAGUGUUAAAGAAGUACUUGGACAUGUUCAUUAUAGUCUUCAUUGAUGACAUUCUUAUCUAUUCUCAUAGAAAAAGAGAUCAUACAGACUAUCUCAGCAUAGUGCUUCAGACUCUUGAGCCCAUCAGUUGUUCGCUAAAUUUAGUAAGUGUGAAUUCUGGCUAAGAUCAUUAGCAUUCCUUGUUCAUAUUAUUUUCAGUGAUGGCAUUAGAGUUGACCCUCAAAAGACUGAAGCGGUGAGAAACUGGCCUAGACCCAUCUCUCCAUCAGAUAUCAGGAGUUUCUUGGGUAUAGAUGGCUAUUACCAUUGGUUUGUUGAGGGGUUUUCUUCUAUUAUAUCCCCCAUGUCCAGAUUGACUUAGAAUAAAGUUAAGUUUCUGUGGUUAGAUUCAUGCUAGAAGAGUUUUCAGGAGUUGAAGACUCGACUCACCUCAGCCCAGUCUUAACUCUACCAGACGGUUCAGAUGGUUUUGUUGUGUACUGUGAUGCAUCCAGAGUAGGUUUGGGUUGUGUCCUCAUGCAGAGAGGUAAGGUCAUAGCCUAUGCCUCCAGACAGCUUAAGCCUCAUAAAAAGAAUUAUCUGACUCAUAAUCUUGAGCUAGUAGUUGUAGUGUUUGCCUUAAAGAUUUGGACGCAUUACUUAUAUGAGGUAUAUGUACAUAUGUUCACAGAUCGUAAAAGCCUUCAGUAUAUGUUCUCUCAGAAAUAUUUGAAUUUGCAUCAGAGAAGACGGUUAGAGUUAUAUGAAGGAUUAUGACAUGAGCGUUCUGUAUCAUCCGGGCAAGGCCGAUGUAGUGGCUGAUGCUCUCAGUAAAAUGUAUAUGGGUAGUGUAGCUCAUGUUAAGGAUGGUAAGAAGAAGUUAUCUCAGGAAGUUCAUCAGCUUGCCCAACUCGGUAUCUGUUUACUCGAUUCAGCAGAAGGUAGUGUAUGGGUGCAAAGUAGCUCAGAGUCAUCUCUAGUCUCUGAGGUAAAGAAAAAGUAGGAUAGAGAUCCUAGUCUAGUUAAGUUGAAAGAUUCAGUCAGAGGUCAUAAAGUAGAGGUUUUCAACUAAGGGUGAGAUGGUGUUUUGCGUUGUCAGGGUAAAUUAUGUGUGCCUAGUGUAGAUGAGUUACAGUAAUGAAUUCUUGUAGAAGUGCAUAGUGCGAGGUACUCUAUUCAUCCAGGGGCCACAAAGAUGUACUGUGAUUUAUGGGAGAUCUAUUAGUGGAGUGGGAUGAAGAAAGAUAUUGCAGAGUUUGUAGCUAAGUACUCUACAUGCCAGAAAGUUAAGGUUAAGCACCAAACUCUUGAGGAUAUGCUGAGAGCAUGCGUUGUUGAUUUUAAAAGUAGUUGGGAUGACCAUUUUCCUUUGAUUGAAUUUGCAUACAAUAAUAGCCAUCAUUCCAGUAUCCGUAUGGCUCCAUUUGAGGCUUUCUAUGGUAGGAGAUAUAGAUCUCCAAUUGGUUGGUUUAAAGUAGGUGAGGCUGCAGUAGUAGGGCCUGACUUGGUGUUUGAUGUGUUAGAAAAGGUUUAGUUGAUCAGAGAAAGACUUAAGGCUGCCCAGAGCCGAUAGAAAUUGUAUGCAAAUGUGAGAAAAAAAGAUCUCGAGUUUGAGGUUGGUAAUCUUGUUUUCUUGAAAAUCUAUCCCAUAAAGGGAGUGAGGAGAUUCGACAGAAAGGGAAACUCAGUCACCGAUAUGUCGGUCCCUUCAGAAUUAUCAGUCAUUUCAAAAAGGUAACUUACGAGCUUGAGUUGCCUUCAGAUUUAGCCUCGGUACACCCAAUGUUCCAUGUCUAAUUUUUGAAAAAGUGUAUUGGUGAUCUAGCUGUAGUUGUUAUCUUAGAAAGUGUAGAUAUUCAAAACAGUCUUUCCUUUGAGGAAGUUCCAAUCGAAAUUAUUGAUCAUAAAGUUCGUAGACUAAGGAAAAAAAAAGUUCCACUAGUCAAAGUUCUUUGGCGAAAUCAUUUUGUUGAGGGACCAAGUACCCGCAUCUCUUCUCCGCGAAUCCAAAUUUAGUAUAAGGUACCAAAUAUUCUAAAGAUUUUUCUCUAUCAUACUCAGUUUCAGUUACACAUCAUGUUCAUGCCAGUCUUGCAUUCGUGAAUCAAUUCAAUCAUGCAUUUCAUGCAUCAGAUAUGCAUAUUUAGUGUGUAAGCUCAGUCCAGUAGUUUUCCUUAGCUUAACUAGUUUCAUUCGGGGAUGAAUGAUCCCAAGGGGGAGAUAUUGUAACACCCCAUAUUUCCCUAGCAUAAUCUAAGUCCCAGUGUAUGAAUAUUUGUAUAUAAAAUUUCUGAAAUGCUCAUUAUUUUUCAAUUUAGAGCCUGCCAUUGCGUAGAAAAUUCAAUUAGCUUUCCAAUGAUAUAAAAUUCGCCCAAAUUCGAUAACCAGGUGAGAAGUUAUGACGAUUUUAAGUUUCAGUUCUUAAACACCAUCAUUUUAACCCUCAGCGCAUCGCGUAGGCAUCCCAAAUGAUAAUUGUCAAUUUCCAGUGUGACUCCAUGAUCAUGGCGCAUCACGGAGCAUGCCAAAUUCCUGUUUGUCAAUUUCCAGUGGGUUUCCGCAAUGUUGGCGUAUCGCAGAGGUGGCCAAAAUGGAAUAUAAAGCUUUACCACGAUGGCAACGCAUCGCAAUGUUUGUACAUGUCCCAGUUGUCCAUUUUUCAGUUUCUUGGCGCGAUAGUGGCGCGUCGCACCAAGGCUAAAAAUUGAGAUGGUCAGUUUUCAGCUUCCGUUUUUAAAUUUCUUUAAGGGUAUUUGGGUCUUUUUCUAUGGCCUUAAUUAACCAAAAACACAAAAUUUAACCCCUAAACACCCUAAGUAGUCAUCAUUAUUUCAAUUCCUCUCACAAUCAAAAAUUUUUCUUUCAAGAACAAGAAAUCCUAGCUCUCAAAUUCAAGGCAAUUCCUCAAGAACUCUCCAUCAAUCCUCCCAAAUUCAUUAUCCCAGGUAUGUUAGAUGUUCAUCCAUGGAUUCCUUUCAUCCAUGGAGCUCAAGUAACCUUUUUAAUUAUAAAGUUGUGAUCGUUUUAAGUUAUUUAAUUUUAAAUCAUGAUUUCAUCCAUUAAUCUCCAUGAACUUUGAUUAAUACCAUGUUUUAAUGAAGUUAUUGUUGUUAUUCGAUUCCUCAUGUUUUAGUGUUAUCAUUUGUUGAAUUAAAUCAUGACUUAGUGUUUUCCAUGAUAAUUUCAUGGCAAUUAUGCCGGUUCAUUAGUAAUUCUAUUAUUAUUUAAAACCAUGAACUAUAAAUGUUUGAUAAAAUGCCUAUAAGAGCAAUUGUUUUAAUGAGUCUUCAUGCUAUGCCCUUCAAUGUUUUAAUGUCAUGAUACUACUAUUGUUUUGAGUCCUGGGGGUAAUGAAUACCCAAAACCAUAGUUGUUUACUUAAUGUUGUCUCAGUAUCUUCAGAAUAACUUCAAAUUAUAUCAUGAGCAUUAUCAGAACAGUCAGUUAAAUUCAGAAUAGUCUAGAGUUUCAGUGUCAUUCAGUUGGGAGUAGGAUUUAGCACCGAGCGAGUGUAGGGAUGGCAGAUUUCCCAUCAGAUAGGCAGAGUCGUUAGUAGCAGUCCUUAUACUCCAGAACUACGUAGCCUAUGUAGGAUAUGAGGAGUCACCCAUCAGAUUAGGCUUGACUAUCUCCCAGGGGUCACUCAUCAGUUCAAGCUUGACACCCUUAGUCCUUUGGACAUGAUAUCAGUUUAGUGGAUCCACACAGCCAGCAAAGUACCCGUGGCAUAGUGUUAACACCCUUCCACCUGGGGUUACAGGUUGGACCCCGAUUAGCUCAAAUUAGGGAAUGUCAGUUAGAUGAUACUUCCCACAGUCUCAGAUAUAGUCUUAGUUACAGUCCCAACUUAGUUAUUUAGUCUUAGUGUUUUUUUACCAAAGCAUACAGAUUUUAGUUAUUUUCAGUAUUUCAGUUUGCAGAUUUCAUCCAGUUCAUAUCAUAUGCUUGGUCAUGCAUCCCAGUGUCUACAGAUUUUCACAUAUUUUCAAUAUUUUACAGACUUCAAUGCAUGUUCAGUAUCUACAGAUUUCAUAUUCUCUAUUCAGUAUUCCAUGUUUUACAUGUAUAGUCAGAUAGAUCAUUACUCAUAUUCAUUAAACCUUUCAUGUUAUCCUACCUCAUUUAGCAUACCAGUAUAUGAUAUCUCAUAUCAUAGUUGCUGACGCUCAGUUCUCGAAUCAGACUUAGUCCCUCAGAUUCUCAGUAGUACAGUGCAGUGGUGAGUCCUUAUUAUCUGAGGAUAGGCUAUCUUAUUUCAUAUCUUUAUUUCAAUAAUCAGUAGAGUUAGUUGGGGCCUGUCCCAUCAACUCUCAGUCAGUCAGUCUUAGAGGCUUUUUAGAUAUUACAGUCAGUUAGUUGAUCAGUUUAUCAGUACUUUAUUAGAUUUAAACAGUCGUUUUUCUAGAUUUAUAUUUUAGUUUGAAUUCAGAUAUUUAAAACCUUAUCGCACUUCAGUUAUUCUUCCACAAUUCAUGAUUAUAUUAUCUAGUGCUCACAGCAGAUACCAGCUUAUAGGUUAGCUUGUGGUCCCUCGGGACUGUAAGCAUCGUGUAACAACUAGGGGGUUGUCUCGAAUCAUUACACAAGCUCCAACAAAUCAUCUUCUAUGACUUUCCUGAUGUCUCUUGCUAAUAAAAUGGAAUGGACAAACCAAACUAAGUAUAAUUUCUCCCAGUAGUGCUUUGGCAUAUUUUUAUCCUCGAGAUCUACCAUCAAAUCAUUCGUUUUGUAACUAUGUCCAACAAUGCCCAACAACCUAUCUUUUUUUCCUUGCGUUUGUUGGACCCUUUGUGGGGUGUUUUCUUGAUGAGAAGUUCUUCUGGACGGUCGUAUCUCAAGCCCAUCACUAUGGGAAACUCUUUCAAUCCAAAACAAACCGGCAUGCCACGGUAAUUGAUCCAGAUUUUAUCCAUCUUUUUCUUUCCCUCCUUCAAAUGUUUAUCAUCCCCCGCAUACUUGAUCCUGCGCUUGAGAAAACUAUAUACCAUGCUCAUUAGGAAACGGAGAGUGCGGUCCACAUGCAGCUUAAGAAAGUAUGCAAAGUAGCACUUGUUAAAAAGUCCGUUUAUUUUUUUAUUCUUCAUAAUACUCCUAAGUUCAUCAAAACAUUUCCCCAGCUGACAUUUAAGUACAGGAUCACCAGUUACUUUGUUAGAGCAAUCUAUCAGCAUCGCAACUCGAAACAUGUCGAUACUAAUGGUUUUGAUAGGAUAAUACUGGGAUUUUGAUAUUAAUUCACACCCCAUUGGUGAGAAGGAAUUAUCACUUUCCUCAGCUUCAUUUUGCCCUGACUGAGAUUGUUCAGGAAGUUCCUCUGAAUCUAUUUGUACUCUAGCCUUUUUUGUUGGGUGGUCAGAAGUUGAUCCACUUUCAGUUUCUUUUCUUUUGGGAGACAUCUUUUAACUAAAAAUAAUAAAAAACAAAAAAUACAUUGCAUUUGAUGUCUGUGUAAUUUUUUAAAAAAAGGUAAGACAAAUUUUAAUAAAUUAUUCUACGCCACAUUACAAAAAAAUACUGUAACGGAUAACCCAUCAGUUGGAACAGAUGGGGAAUCUAUUUGAAGACCUAUUUAAUAUCUCCCAACAGAUCUUCCACCUAUUGCAACAGAUGGACCACCAAUACCAAGAACAAGACCACCGAUACCACCACCUAAAAUACAAAUACCGACACCACCAACAUCAGCCACCAACAAUACCACAAACACCAUCUAACAAUACCAUGAUAGUUAACAAAACACUGAGAUAAAAACUAGGGCUUUCUCAGGUGCUUCCUACUUUUUUAGUAUCGAAACUCAAAAUUGUUAACCUAUUCUCGAAGAUGAUACAACUAAAAGUCUUUUUUUCAUCAUUAACUAAAAAUCCCUAAUUUUUAGAAUAAAGAACAAAUGUAGAACUCUUCUCUAACUCUGUUACCUGCGAAAACAUAGAAAUAACAGAGAUAAGCGAGAAUAAAGUCAAAAAUAACAACUAUGUGGUCGGAAAUGAGAAGAAAAUUGAUCUAUUUUAAAGGCUUGAGCAAUAUAUUGAGUAGUUGUUGUCUGUAUUAUUAAGAGAGAGAGAGAGAGAGAGAGAGAGAAUAGAGAGAACAUCAUAUUUGAAAUGAGGAAAAGUUUUUCACAGAAAUAGAUGAUUUGUAUAGGUUGAUUUGUAAUUUUGGAAAAGAAUGACAAGUUUUGAAAUUGUUAAUUUGGUUCGAAUUGAUCCUAAUUAAUUUUUAAAAUUUUAAAAGAUAUAGUUUUUAAAAUAUUAAGUUAAUGAGAACUCAUUUAAACUCAGAGUGAUUGAUCAACGACUCGGGUUAGGAUGAACACAAUACCAACACCAUGCAAUUGCAAAGACUCAAUUGAAGUUAUUGUUGACCCUAUGAACUUAUUCAUCCCUAGUUCCACCUAAAUCAACUAAGGUACUAUCUUAACAUUAAGUUAAUGAGAACUUAUUUCAACUCAGAGUAGUCAAUCGUUGACUCGGGUCGGGAUAAAUGCAAUACCAAUACCAUGCAAUUAUAAAAACUCAAUUGAAGUUGUAGUUGACCCUAUGAACUCAUUCAUCCCUAGUUCCACCUAAAUCAAUUAAGGUAAUAUAUUAAUAUUAAGUUAAUGAGAACUCAUUUCAAUUCAAAGUAAUCGAUCAUCGACUCGGGUCGGGAUAAAUGCAAUACCAAUUGCAAAAACUCAAUUGAAGUUAUAGUUGACCCUAUGAGCUCAUUCAUCCCUAGCUCCAUCUAAAUCAAUUAAGGUACUAUCUUAACAUUAAGUUAAUGAGAACUCAUUUCAACUCAAAUUAAUCGAUCGAUGACUCGAGUUGAGAUGAAUGUAAUACCAACACCAUGCAAUUUCAAAGACUUAAUUGAAGUUGUAGUUGGCCCUAUGAAGUCAUUAAUCCCUAGUUCCACAUAAAUAAAUUAAGGUUCUAUCUUAAUAUUAAGGUAAUGAGAACUCAUUUCAUCUCAGAGUGAUCGAUCGAUGACUCGGGUUGGGAUAAAUGCAAUACCAACACUAUGCAAUUACAACGACUCAAUUGAAGUUGUAGUUGACCCUAUGAGCUCGUUACACAUAAAUUAAUUUAGGUACUAUCUUAACAUUAAGUUAAUGAGAACUCAUUUCAACUCAAAGUGAUAGAUCAAUGCCUCGGUUCGGGAUAAACGCAAUACCAACACUAUGUAAUUACAAAGAAUCGAUUGAAGUUGUAGUUGACCCUAUGAACUCAUUCAUCCCUAGUUCCACCUAUAUUAAUUUAGGUACUAUCUUAACAUUAAGUUAAUGAGAACUCAUUUCAUAUCAGAGUGAUCGAUCGAUUACUCGGGUCGGGAUAAACGCAAUACCAAUACUACGCAAUUGGAAAGACUUGAUUGAAGUUAUAGUUGAUCCUAUGAACUAAUUUAUCCCUAUUUCCACCUAUAUCAAUUUAGGUACUAUCUUGACAAAAAGUUAAUGAGAACUCAUUCAUCCCUAGUUCCACCUAAAUUAAUUUAGGUACUAGCUUAAUAUAAAGUUAAUGAGAAUCUUUUCAACUCAGAGUGAUCGAUCAACGACUCCGAUCGGGAUAAACGCAAUACCAACACCAUGCAAUUACAAAGACUCAAUUGAAGUUGUAGUUGACCCUGUGAACUCAUUCAUUCAUCUCUAGUUCCACCUAAAUCAAUUGUAAUAAAAUAUGUUACAUCAAACAGAUAUUCAUAUCUUUUGCAACAGAUGACAUAUCUGAUUUAAUUAUCAAAUAGAUAUUUGUAUCUGUUGUGACAGGUGACUGAGUUUUUGAAAAUUUUCAAAUAGAUAUCGAUAUCUAUUGUAAUAGAUGACAUAGAAGAUUUAAUUAUCAAAUAGAUAUUUGCAUCUGUUGUUACAGAUGACUAAGCUAUUGGAAUUUGUAAACAGGUAUUGCUAUCUGUUGCAACAGAUGACAUAUUUGUUUGAAAAUCCUUUUUUUUAAUUUUAAAGGCUUAUUUCCGAGUAGAUAAAGAAGUACAACUAAAGGUGGUAAAAAUGUUUCUUGCAUAACUCAAAAAUGAGUUCAUUGAGUAGUCUUAUCUUGUCUUUUCAAUGUCACUAGUCUUCCCCGUGUCCCUCAAAUUAUUAAUGAAUAUUAAUUAAUGAAUACUAAAAUCCACGUCUACGUACACAAUACAUCUAUAAUUAUCUCAUUUCUCCUUCAGCAUCAGCCCUAAAUUUAUUUUAUUUUUCUCCCAUCUUUUCCUUUCUCUCCUCUUUGGGGUUAUCACAACUUUUUUCUCUCUUUUCUCUUCUCUUUAUCAUAAAAAUCCUUUCAAAUCUAAACCGAUCCAUAUUUUUCCUCGACUGAAAUUGUUGUUUUGAUCCCCUUUUGAUAUUAAGGUAUGGUUCACUAUUGCUCUUUCAUUCUCAUCUUCUUCUUUGCAAGUUAUUUACAUCUAUUUUUUUAUUUAAUUAUCAUUUACCCAUAUCAUAUUUAUUUAAAAAAUUUGAAGGAACUUUUAAGUGUUAAAUAAACGAAUCGAGAAUUUUUAUUACAAUAUGCGAAAAAAGUUAUCUGUUGGGAGAAGUUUAAAAGUCUUGUUGACAGUAUCAUUUUUUGUAUGUAUUUUGUUUGUUUCUUUAUUGUUGAUGUUGUUGGUGGGUUUGGCAUUGUCGAAACUUGUGGUGUGGUGUUAUUGAUGGUGUUGGAAUAAAGAAUAUUGCUUCUUUAUUGUUGAUGAUGUUGUUGAUAGUGUUGGAACAAAUGUUGUUGUUUCUUUGUUGUUGAUGUUCUUAUUUGUUGUUUCUUUGUAGUUUAUGUUGUUGUUAAUGUUGCAACAUACGGAGAAACUAUUGGAAUAAAUCAAACCACUAGCAAGGCUAGUAUGAUGUAUUCCAAUAAACUCCACAUUUAUUGCAAUAGACUCCACAUCUAUUCAAUAGACUCCACAUCUAAUGCAACAGACUCUACAUCUGAUACAACAGAUGGAUAAUAUUCUUUUUGUGACAUCAAUUUUUUUCCUCUUCUUUGUAGAUAUAAGGACCUAAAAGUUGAUCCACUUUUGCCUGACCAACACAAGAGGCUGCAGUAAAGAUGGGUUCGGAGGAAUAAAUUGCAUACAGAUGGAACCACUUCAUAUGUGAGAGGUAUGUAUUACUGAUAAUGUUAUCAUGGAAACACACAUAAAGUACACUAAUUUUGUAAAUGUUUUUUUUACCGAUUAGUCAUUAAUCAUUCAAACAAGAUAUCUGCAAUUUUAUAGUUAAGUUUGGUAAGUCUAAACUGAUAAGGCUGAGGGACCAUGAAUAUUGUUCUGAUACCCUGUUAAUAUUUAAUGUCGAUUGUUGCUCAUGUUUAUAUGUCAAGCAUUGUGGAGGGAUCUAGUUUUGGUGGCAUUGUAAAGAGAUUUAAUAACGAUUGGACUAACUUUUAGGGUGCAUUAGACCCUAAGAGGGCCUUUGAAGCCUCCAGAUACUUCAACCAAGAACAAAAUCAAUAUAGUUAUUACCUUAGACCAAAUUUAUAUGGUUGGGUUGCUGAGGGUGAUGAUUAUACGCCAGAAGGUGCGAUGGGAGAAUGCCUUCGAGGGAAAAUGGGUGGUUGAUGAAAGACUAUAUCAUUUGAGAGCUAAUUGAAGAGGAAACAUAGGGUAGAAGUAACUUCUAGCGAAUAUGACCGAUGAAACUAUCUUAAAACAUGAGAAAUCUGUAUAAGCGCAAAUAUAAAAUUGUAUCUGCUGAUGAAAAAUCCGUCUGUUGUUUCUCUAAGAGAAAAUAGUGCAGAUGCUUAUUUUUUUAGGGAGUUGCGUCUAGGUAGCGUGGUCAGGAUUAUCACCUAGAUUCUAGAUAAUAACAGAAGACGAAGAAAGCAGCUUUAUGGGCAUCGAGGGUUGAAAUAACGUACAUUAAAUCUAGAAAACUUGCACCAACAGCAACUGUUAAAAUAAGGAAUUUAAGCAAAGGCGGCAAUUUCUGAAUUUUAAAUUGCAUCCCAUGCCUUCUUGUUUGUGGUUUCAAUUAGGUCCACUGUUGUUGACCUAAUCAAAACCACAAACAAGAUUAAAAGACAGUUUGAGUGUCAUUACUUCCUUAGCAAUAUGGUUAUAAUUGAUUGUAUUUUCUAGCCUUAGCAUGCUUUCAACAUUUCUUGGAGAAGAUCAGAGGCUUGUUGUAGUAUGUGAAUUUCGAUAAUUUUAAAGCUUGCCUCCAACUUGCUGAUUUGGUAUUCAAGCUUGUCGUUGUCGUCUUUGAAGUUGGUAUAGAGUUUCUGAUCUCUUGUGAGCUCGAUCAGGAACACUAUCUUCAAAGUUGUGGCAUUGUAGAAGCCCUUCAAAACACUUUUUUCAGAAGCUUUAAAGGAUACAUGUAGGGUCGUUAUGUAUGAUUGUAGGUCAAAAUGUGUUGAUGCACAGUCAAGAUGUGGUCCCAACCGUUGAAUAUCUUACUUUUAUCGAGCGUUGCUCAAUGCAUCUUUCAACCAACCUUCAAGGGAUUUGAUAAAUUAAUAAGAAAGGAGUUAUGUAACACUUGAUCUAAACCUAAUGUAACCUUGAUCUAAACCUACUCUACCAAGCCUAUCAAAUGUUACGUAACUCCAGGCUCAUUACUCCAUCAAAAAACUUUGCCUGAGUUAGUGGACAAAUCAAACGAGCUCAAUCUCUAAGCCUUUCUGCUGAUCGAUCUUCUCUGAUAUAGAUAACAAGAUAUCCGCCAUGUAAAAGUCUAUACCGUUAGCAAAAGGCAUUAUUAGUAAUGUACAAGGGCCACAGAAGAAAAAUUAUCAACUCCUCUGUUUCGCUCAAGUAUCCAAAAAAAAAUUUUCAACUCAUCUGUCUUGCACUGUUGAGCAAUGUACAAGCUUUUCAUACAUUUCAACUCCUCUAUACAUUACUCAACAGUACAAGACAGAGGAUUUGAAAUUUUUAUUUUUUGGAUACUUUAGCAAGACAGAGGAUUUAAAAUUUUUCUUCAAUGGCCCUUGUACAUUACUAAUAAUGCCUUCUGCUAAAGGUGUAGACUUUUGCAUGGCGGAUAUUUUGUCAUCUAUAUUGGAGAAGAGCGAUUAGCAUAAAGGCUGAGAGAUUAAGCUUGUUUAAUUUGCCUACUAACUCGAGCAAAGUUUUUGAUAGGGUAAUGAGCUUGGAGUUACGCAACGUUUGAUAGGCUUGAUAGAGUCGGGUUAGAUUAAAUGUACAUAACUCCUUGCUUAUUAAUUUAUAAAAUCCCUUGAAGGUUGGUUGAGCAAGCUGCAUUGAUCAACACUCGAUAAAAGUGAGUUAUUCAAUGGUUGGAACUAUAUCUUGAUUGUGCAUCAACAUAUUUUGACCUAAAAUAAACACAGUGAUCCUCCAUGUAUCCUUUAAGGCUUCUGAAGAAAGUAUUCUGAAGGCCUUCUUCAAUGCAACAACUUUAAAGGAGAAAGUGUUCCUGAUCGAGCUCACAAGAGAUCAGGAACUCUAUACCAACUUCAAAGAUGGCAAUGACAAGCUUGGAUACCAAAUCGGCAAGUAGGAGGCAAGCUGGAAAAUUAUCGGGAUUCACUUACUACAGCAACCCUCUGAUCUUCUCCAAAAAAUGUUGAAAGCAUGCUAAGGUAAGAAAAUACAAUCAAUUAAUUCAUAUUGCUAAGGAAGUAAUGACACUUAAUUUGUCUUUCAAUCUCAUUUGUGGUUCCGAUCAGGUCAACAGCAAUGGACCUAAUCGGAACCAUAAAAAAGAAGGCAUGGGAUGCAAUUUAAAAUUCAGAAAUUUCUGCUUUCGCUUAGAUUCCUUAUUUUAACUACAGUUAUAGUUGGCAUAAGUUUUUUAGACUUACUGUACGUCAUUUCAACCCUCGAUGAUUGUAAUGCUGCUUUCUUGGUCUUCUACUAUUUUCUAUCUAGGUAAUAAUCCCGACCACGCUACUUAGACGUAACUCCCUAGAAAAGUGUCCAUCUGUAUUAUUUUCUUCCAGAGAGACAACAGACAAAUUUACAUUAUCGGAUACACUUUCAUAUUUGUACUUGAUACAGAUUUCUCAUGUUUUAAGAUAAUUUCAUCGACCAGAUUCACUAGAAGUUCCUUGCUACCCUAUGUUUCUUCUUCAAUUAGCUUUCAGAUGAUAUAGUCUUUCAUCAACUCCCCUUUUCCUCACAGAAAUUAUCCUUCAGCUUUUUCUGGCGUAUAAUCAUCUUCUCGAACAACCCUUCCAUAAAAAUUUAGAUUAGGGGAAUUUUUAUUUAUUUUUGAUUCUUAUUUGAUAUUGUGCGAGGCUUCGAAGGCCUUCCCAGAGUCCAAUGCACACUUAAAGUUAAGUUUAAUCACUAUUGGAUCUUUGCAAUGACACCAAAUAUUGAACUCUUCUCAAAAUUUGACAUGCAUAAACAUGAGCAACCGUCAAUAAUUCGUAAUAGGGUAUCUGCACCAUCUUCAUAGGUCCCUCGGCCUUAUUAAUUUGAACCCAUCAAACUUAACUGUACAAUACAGGAUCUUGUUUGAAUGAUCAAUACCUAAUCAGUUAAAAACUGCAUUCACAAAACAUUGUACUUUAUGUUUGUUGUCUCGAUGACCUUAUCAGUAAUAGUUAACUCCUACACAUAACAGUGGGUCCAUCCAUUACACGCACCUUAUUCUUGCUAGCCCAUAUAUGGCUUAAAUUGAAUAAAAAGAUGACUAACAAGUUGCAAUAGAUGCCACAUCUAUUUAAAUUGUCAAGCAGACAUCUGAUACAACAGAUUAUCAGUCUGUUGCAACAUAUGAUAUAUCUAUUGGAAAAAUCAAACAGAUAUACCCAUCUGUUGUGAUAGAUUAUCAAUAUGUUGUAAGUUAUCUAACAGAUGGAAUAUAUUUUUCAACAGAUUACCCAUCUAUUAGAUUUAUUUUAAAGCAAUUUCUUUUCUUUUUGAAAAAUAAUAAAAGAUAAAAUGUUGUAUUUAGAUCCAUUUUUUUAAUUUACAUAUUUAAAAAAUUACCAGUUUUAUUUAAUUAAGGGAUAUGAACAGUCGUGGCUUUUUGACUAACCCCUUCCAAUUCAAUCAUUUACAAAUAUGGUUGAUCCAGAUUCGUAAAAGAAGAUUCAUAUCGAGUCCUUACAGGAAUUUUAAAGGCAGUUUGAUGAACUCCAAAGGGAUUUGACCGACUUUGGAGCAAGGCUGAGGAGGGCCCUGCUACUGCCGGAUAAAAAUUGUCUGAUUGACAAUAUAAUAGUAAUAAUAAUAAUAGUAAUGAUAAUAAUAAUAGUAGUAAUAAUAAUUAGGUUAUGUUUUUUAUUUUAGCAUAUGUAUUUUCCUCUUUUUGUAUAUCGGAUCUACCCAAGGGAUACAAAAAUCUAUGUUUGAUGGUCGACUUUGAAUUUUUAAUUCUUAUUUAGUAUUUAAUUAUUAUUUUUUUUAUUCCUUAUUCUCAACAUAUCGAUGGUUGGAGGUAGGGAUUGAGCAUUUUUGGCAACAGAGGUUAAUUUGAUGCGACAGAUCGAUCAUAUGUCGCAACAGGCAGUUAUUAAUAAGAAAGGAUUAUUGUUGUUAUUGAGAGGGUCAAAAAGAUAUGACUUUCCGAUUAUUAAAUAUGAAAAAUGGUUCGUAAAUAAAUAAUAAGGAAAUAAAUGAUAAACACAAUUUAUAAUCGUAAAAAAAUUGUUAGUUAAUUUUAAUAACUGUUCAUGACUUUUCACCAUUUUUGUUUUUGAAUUUAUUUUUUAAAAUUAUUUAUUUAUGGGAUAAUACUCACAAAAAUACAUUAACUUUGACCGAAUUUUCAGUUGAGCAUACUGAACUUUAUGGGGUUCCUAUUAUCUCCCUAGACUUUUUUUCGUAUUUUAAUAGCAUAUAUUUGUCCACUUGGACACGUGUAAAUAUGAGGUUGGCGCGUGUAUUACACCGCCAUCUGUCAAAAAAUACAUGUGUAAAAGCGAGAUUGGCGCGUUUAUUACAUCGACAGCCGCCGAAACUAGGUAUAGCAUUUCGGGGGGGGGGAUUAAAUCCACUUUAAAAAGUCUAGGGGGGUAAUAGGACCCCCGCAAAGUUCAGUAUGCUUAACUGAAAAUUCGGUCAAAGUUUAGAUAUUUUUGUGAGUAUUAUCCCUUUAUUUGUUAUAUAAUAAAAAAAGUCGUAAUAUUGGAUUAAUUAACUUAUAUGAUGAUUGUUAAGAAAAAGGUGAACAGUAGUGACUUUUUGUCUAAAAUACAUUCAACAAUGUUGUUGAUGCAUCAAAUUCCCCAUCUGUUGCGACUGAUAUAUCAACUGUUAGAAGAAAUCAAAAAAGUUAUUAAAACAAACCAUCGAUUUGUUGCAACAAAUGGUGUAUCUGUUGCAACUGAUGGUUUAUCUGAUGCAACAGAUACUGUUGCCAGAACUCAAUAAAAAUGGUUAUUAUUUUAUUAAAGAAAUGAUUAUUGAAAAACUAUUUUUUUUAAUUUAUAAAUAAAAAAGUCAGCAAAUUUGGAUUAAUGAUAUGAUGAUAAUUUUAAAAAAAAAAAAGAUAGAUGAUAUGUUGCAACAGAUAGAUUAUCUGAUGCAACAGGUUUUCUAUUUAUUGCAACAGAUGAUAUAUUUAUUGUCACGGAUGAGUUAUUUGAUGCAACAGAAAUAGAAUCUGUUCUCACAACUCAAUAAAAAUGAUUCUUGGGAAGAACUAAUCAAUAAUAAUAAUCUGAAAAGUCAUGACUUAUCACAAUAUUUCUUAAUUUAAUUAAGUCAUAACUUUUCACAAUAAUAAAAAAAUAUAAUUAAUAAAUAGAGGUGAACAGUUAGAUUAUAUAUUGCAACAGGUUUUCUAUUUGUUGCAACGGAUGAUAUAUCUGUUGUCACAGAUAAGUUAUCUGAUGCAACAAAUAUAAAAUCUGUUGUCGCAACUCAAUAAAAAUGGUUCUUGGAAAGAACUAAUUAACAAUAAUAAUCUGAAAAGUCAUGACUUAUCACAAUAUUUCUUAAUUUAAUUAAGUCAUAACUUUUCACAGUAAUCAAAAAUGUAAUUAAUAAAUGGAGACGAACAGUUAGAUUAUAUGUUGCAACAGAUAGAUAAUCUGAUGCAACAGGUUUUCUAUUUGUUGCAAUAGAUGAUGUAUCUGUUGUCACAGAUGAGUUAUCUGAUGUAACAGAUAUAGAAUCUGUUGUCACAACUCAACAAAAACGGUUAUUGAAAAGAACUAAUUAAUAAUAAUAAUCUAAAAAGUCAUGACUUAUCACAAUAUUUCUUAAUUUAAUUAAGUCACAACUUUUCACAGUAAUCAAAAAUGUAAUUAAUAAAUGGAGGUGAACAGUCGCACCUUUUUGCCACUCAUUCAAAUUUAAUCUUCUAUAAAUAGGUCCCUCCUUACUAAACGUUCAUUCAACUACACUCUAUUUAUUUAUUGCAUCUUGUCUUUCAUAUUACACCUUCCACCACUUUCUCUUUCCUGACUCAGAUAAGUUUUUUUCUUACCAAUUUGUAGUAUAUGUUGUAUUACAUUCGGAUAUUCUUUUCUUUACUUUUGGUUUUACGUUUUUUGUUAAUUCAUAUGUGUUUUAGCUAUGGCUGAUCCAAUGUGGGACGUUGCUUUUCUGCAAGACAUCGUGAAUGAACUUCGGAUGCAAGUUUGUGACCUGCAAUGGGAACUGGGAGCAGUUAGAGCAAGGAUGCUUCAUGAGAUCCGCAGGCUAAGAAGGGUCUUGCUGCUACCGGUUGAAGAUUGGUCGGUUGGCAAUAAUAAUAAUAAUAAUAAUAAUAAUAAUAAUAAUAAUAAUAAUAAUAAUAAUUAGAUUAUUUUUUUCCUUUUAGUCUAUGUAUAUGUAUUUUUAUUUGUUUUUGUUUAAUAAAAAAAUUAUGUUUGAUCAACUUUGACGUUUUAAUUCAUAUUUAAUUUUCAUUUUGUCUAUUAUCUUCUCAACAAACAUGUGGAUGAUUGGAUAUAAGGAAUAAUUUUGAAUCCAGUAGCUAUAGCAAGAGUUGAAUGUAAACAUAUUGGUUAUUUGUUGGGUUUGUGGCAGGGGCUGAUUUGUAUUGUUCCAAAAACAGAUUACUUAUAUGUUGCAACAGAUAAGCAGUCUGAUGUAAUAGAUAAUCAGUAUGAUGCAACAGAUAACUAGUCUGUUUCAAUAGAUAACUAGUCGAUUGCACGGCUUUGACAUUUUAAUUCAUACUCCUUCUGUCUCAAAUUACCCAUCCCAAAUUGAGAUGGCACAUUGAUUAAGAAAAAUAAUUAAUAGCAUGCCUAAUUUACCAUAAUAUCCCUAUUAAAUGAUGUUUACAUUUUAAUUUGAAGAAAAAGUAAUUAAUGCAAAGGGUAAAACAUGGAAUUUUUUAUCUCUUCUUGAUUAAUGAAAAAAGACAAGUAAAAUGAGAAAUCAAAUUAGAAAAUUUGGGUCGGGUAAAUUGAGACUGAGGGAGUAUUUAAUUUUCAUUUUGUCUAUUAUCUUCUCAACAAACGUGUCGACGAUUGGACGUAAGGAAUAAUUUUGAAUCCAGUAGCAAUAGCAAGAGUUGAAACAUAUUGGUUAUCUGUUGGGUUUGUGGCAGGGGUUGAUUUGUGUUGUUCCAAACAGAUUAAUCAUCUGUUGCAACAGAUAAUCAAUCAGAUGCAACAGAUAACUAGUUUGAUGCAAUAGAUAAUCAGUCUGAUGCAACAGAUAACUAGUAUGUUACAACAGAUAAAUCUUCUGUUGCAACAGAUUACUCAGCUAAUGCACCAGAUGAGUGAUCUAUUUAAAUUAUGGGCAAUCAUAUUGGAUUUAUGAUCGGAUUCUAUCCAUUGUUGGAAAAAAUAGCAGUAACUGUGUACUCAGAUGACAAAUUCGAAUAAAAAUCAUAAUUUUAUUUACCUAAGUCACCUAUAAAGUAAUGCCAAAGUAGAAAGUGAUGUAGGAAAUAAAAUUUGACCUAAGAAAUUGGUCAGAUAGCAGCAGUAGCAGUAACAACAACAACAACAAUGAUCGACAAGAAGAAGAUGAAGAUAAUAAUGAAGUAGAAGAUGAUGAUAAUGAAGGAGAAGAUGAUGAUAAUGAAGUAGAGGAUGAUGAAUAAAGCAGCAGCAAUAAUGAACAACAAUAAUCAUGAAGAGAGAAAACAACAACAGGUGAGAAGAGAGAGAAACGUGCCUUUUUCCCUCUAUUUUCUGUUUUAUUAACUAACAUUUGGAUCAAAGUGUAAAUUAAAAAACUUGUGGGUUAUUUUAAAACUUCUCCAACUUUCUUAAUCCAUAAUAAAGUAAUUGUCACGUCCACUCAAUAAUUAAGACUUGUAUCACCUACACCGCAUUUUAAAACUAUUUUGUUACCUACAGCCCAAAUCCCCAUCUUUCCUAAAUCUCACUUUUAAAAUUAUACUUGAUAUGUUAUUAUUGUUAAAUUAUUAUAAAGACAAAUACGUAUUUACAAUGAUACUAACAUCAGAUCAAAUAAUAUAAAUUUAAUAACUAAAAUUAUAAGACAAAAUGGCCAGAGAAAAUGAUCAAAAGAACCCCCAACCUUUACCCUAAAUCCCAACUACACACCUAUACUUUGCGGGGGUCCUAUGACCCCCCUGAACUAUUUUAAAGUAGAAUAUUUACACCCCCGAAAACUGACGCCCAGACAUUGUUUUAGGCAGUGAGCUGCACUUGUUGCCACGUAAUUCCACGUAAUAUUACUUUUUAAUAUAAAAAAUUAAUUACUUUUAUUUAUUAUAUUUUUUCCUUUGUAUUCAAUUUCAUUAAUUUUUUCCAUUUAUUUCAUGUUCUUCCACAAUAAUGAUUCUCCAUUCUUUUGUUCUUCUGUUUUUUUCCUCUCUUCAUUUGAGUUUCUUCAAUCUCAAACCUUUGUUAAAUCUCAAACCUUUGUUAAAUAGUAAAUUCAAAGUUGACUAUUAAACUCAAAGUUUAGAUAAAAAAUUUGCUUCAAGAACGAAAAUUUGCACGGCUUCACAUAUUUGCUUCAGGAAUAAAAAAUUUUAUUUCUGUAUUCGUUAUGUCAGUUCAAUUGCAAACUCGUUGUUCAAUUGGAACUCAAGAACUACUAGUUUUUUCAAGAAAGAUGAUGUUGAGGAAGCACACAAAUUAUUCGACAAAAUGCCCCAAAAAGAAUGUAGGAAUCGUAUGAUUUCUGGGUAUGUAAGAAAUGGGAUGUUAGAUUAUACUCAACAAAUGUUUGAUACAAUGCCGAGCAGAAGUGUCGUUUUUCAAUCUUGUUCCUUUUUCUUUCUUUCUUUUUUUUCAUUUCUCAAGUAUAAAAAUUGAUGUUGAAUUUAUGAUUGUGAAAAAAAUUGGUGUUGAUUUUGAUUAUGGUGUUGAUUUGAUUGUUUCAAUUUCAAGAAAUGUGGAUUUGAAUGAUGAUUUAUGGUUUGAGAUUGAAAAUUCAAUCGAUGUAAAGUUACAACAUUUCAAGAUUCCACAAAAUGUGUAUAGAGCAUUGUUGCAAGUUUAUGUUUCAUUUAAUGAGAACGAUGAGUCUUGGUAUGGUAAUUCGAUUAAUGAGUAAGUAAGUUUGAAUAAUCUUAGUGUUCCGAGGAAUGGAGCUUUUAGGGAGGUGAUUGUUAGUUUGGAUGAAAUGGUAGUUGGUGUAGUUUGAUCGUUCACUGUGAUUUAUAUCGGAGGAGAUGAUAAAUUAGUUUUGGAUUGGAUGUCAUUAUUGAGUUCUUGAAGAUGUCAUUGUUGAGUUCAAGAAGAAGAAGAGAGAAAAUGAAUAAACAAGAAUAAUAAUUAAAAAUAAAUAAAGAAAAGAGUAAAGAAAUAUUAAAAAUAAAUUUUUAAUAAAAAAAAUCGUUCUCACUGUCUUUAAAUAGAGUGAAACACACUCUCUUGCCAUGUUAGCGUUCAGGGGGUAAUAAUUCCACUUUAAAAUAGUUUAGGGGUCAUAGGACCCUCCCCCCAAAGUAUAAGUGUGUAGUUGGGAUUUGAGGUAAAAGUUGGGGGGCAUUUGACCAUUUUCUCAAAUUAUAAUAAUAAGAAGAAGAAGAAGAAGAAACAUAUAUGUCCCUCCGUUUGGAUUUACUUGUCACUAUUUUUCUAAUUUAAUUUUUAUUUUUACUUGUUAUUUUUUAUAUAUCAAGAAAAAAUAAAUCUUUUUUAUGUUUUAUCCUUAGCAUUAAUUACCUAUUCUUCAGAUCAUGAUAAAAUUAUUAUAUUAAUUAUUUUUUUUUAAUGAGUGUGCUAAAUCAAAAUGUGAUAAAUAAUAUGAUAAAGUCACUAUAUUAAUUAUUUUUUAAAAUGGAUAGUUCAAAUUUAAGGGGUCGUUUGGUAGGGUGUAUUAUGAGAAAUAGUUCAUGCAUUACAUAUGGUAUUAUUUAGUACUAUCUUUGGUAAGAUUUUGGACCUAUGUAUAAUUAAUACAUAUUAGUUAUACACCCUAAUUGUCAUUAUAAGAUGUAUAAUUAAUACCUCUCAUUUGGUGGUAUUCUUAAUACAUAGGAUUUAAUAUCAUGGGAUUAAUAUAUGUAAUGACAAAAAUAUCCCUCAAAUUCUUUUAAGCAUUUUUUUUUCUGAAUUUUUUUUUAUAUUUAUACUAAUAAAUUUAUUUAAAUAAAUUAGCUUAAAAAAUUUAUUAUUUAGAAAAAGUUGUUUGUUGCUAAAUAAAAUUCAAUAUCAAUCGAUACAAUAAUUAAAAUAUGAGUUGUUUAACUUUUUUGGAGGGGAUAAUACUCACGAAAAUACCUGAACUUUAACCGAAUUUUCAGUUGAGCAUACUGAACUUUGUAGGGGUCCUAUUACCCCCUAGACUUUUUAAAAGUAGAAUUAAUUCCCCCCCAAAACGCUAUUUUCAGUUUUGGAGUAGAAAAUUCAAUACACACGCCAAUCUCGCAUUGACACGUGUAUUUUUUAUUUCAAAUUAAUUUUUAUUUAUUUUCUUCUCCAUUUAAAAUUAAUUCUUCUCCAUUUUGGUCCGCAACAGUAGUAUCUCCAUUAAGAAUUUUAAAAUUCUCCAUUCUUCUCCACUCACGAUUGUUUGUAAACUCAUAUUUUUAAUAAAUUCAUAUUUGGGUUUGUAAACAUGGUUUGUAACCCAUGUUUUUAAUACAUUUUGUCCUUGCAUUUUUUACAGAAAGCAAAGUUUAGAAUUUAUUGCCGGAAAAGCUCAAAAUUCAGGCGACUUGCAAGGUUCCGAUGAAAUCGCAAAUUCUCAACGCAAAUUAAUAGCUGGGGAUGCAGGGAAUAAUUCUAUGGCAAAAUCCCCAAUCAUUACAACUCCUACUGAUUUCAAUUUCAAAAUUCUAAUUUGGCGAAUUCAAAGGAAAUUGAUAAUUUGCCGGCUUUGAUUCAAAAUUUCCAACAAGUUUUAAUCGAAAAUGAUGUUGGAAAUGUUAGUAAGUCAAAAGCCCCUUCAGAAAAUGAUCAUAAUUCUUCCAAUUGCUAUUUUUUGAUUACUACUUCAAUUAAUUUGGUCGGAGAUGGUGCUCAGGUGAUCGUAAAUCAAAUUGGUCAAAGAAAUUCAAUUGGAAAUGAGAUGGGGAAAUUGAGGACCAACCUGUUUUCCUCUCUUGUUUUCUCUCAAUUUCUCACUGUCUCUCUUGAUUCGCUCUCCCUCUCUCGAUUCUCCUCACUUUUGAUUCUCUCUGAUAGUGUGUAUCACUGUGUGUGUAGUGUUCUCCGGUAUGUGAGUGUGUGCGUUCGUUUCUCGAUGGCAGUGUGUAUGUAUGAUCAGUGUUUUCCGAUGGCAGUGUGUGUAUGGAAGAGUGUGUAUAUAUAUAUGAUUAUGUGAGUAUUUUAAUGAAAAUAAAAUAAAGGUUUAUAAUGAAAAUUGAGGGGCUAUUUGACAAAAAAAAAAGGUUUAUAACAUUUUUUUAACACUUUCACGCGCCAAAUGGGCGUGACUUACACGCAAUGGUUCAAGUGGGCAGAUAUAUGCCACUAAAAUACAAAAAAAUAAAAGUCUAGGGGGGUAAUAGGACCCCCGCAAAAUUCAGUAUACUCAACUAAAAAUUUGGUCAAAGUUCAGAUAUUUUCGUGGAUAUUAUCCUUUUUUUUUAAAGAGAGGUGGAGGGAAGGGGAAGGAGGGGCGGAGUUAUUAUCGACUUUUAUUUCAUUAUCAAGAGUAAAAGUUACAAAGCAGUAAGUUUAACAUAACUUGCUUAAACUAGAACGGAUCACCCCAUAAAACACUAUCUAAUAACUCUAUCGACUUUUGUUUUUAAUUAAAAUUUCACUUUUUGUGAUUAAAUUAAUUCAUUACGAUGAUAACCCUCAAAUAAUUUAAGUGAGGUAUGAAAGAAUCAUUUUUGAGAAUAAAUAAUAGAGCUUCGAAAAGAAAAUAUACGAAGAUAUAAAAUACACAAUUAUUUAUAUCGUAUUAUCAAAAAAUUUUAUCGUGACACAUCAUACUUGAAAAUUAAUAAUAAAUUUUUAUUCAUAUUUUAAUGUUUAACUUGAUUGAUUUAAUGAAAUAGAAAACUCCAUAAAAAUUUAAGAGUAUUAAUUAUAAAGGAGAUUUUAAUAGUGUUUUAAAUCGAACAUAAUAUAUAAUAUAUUUAAUUUUUAAUAUAAUAAAUUAAAUAUUUAUAAAAAUAAUUUAAACACUAUAAUUUCUUCAUUACUAAUUCCUAUAUCAUCACCAACAUGGUUUGUGGUGCAAUGGAUGUUCCACCCUUAACAAAAGGUCAAAAGUUCAACCUUGAAUAUGAAGAAAAUUCUGUUGGGAGCACUGCGAAUUAGUCGGGGUUUUAAUGUGGGCACCAAAAAACUCUAUUGGGAGUACUGUCAUUUUAGUGGAUCGUGCAAAGCGUGAUCUGAAUUAACCGAAGCUCCAAUACAAGACACUGAAUGAAAACCAAAACAAAAAAAUUCCUAUAUUUACUUGUCUUCGUAUGGAAUGAUCCCAACAUGGUAAGUAAAUUCGAAAUAAGGAAUUAGUAGUUUGGUGUAAAAGGAAAACAGAUUUUGGAAAACGGUGAUGAUUCUUGAUUUUUCUGUGUCUAUCUCACCAGAAACCAACAAAUCUACCCCCCACCAUAGCAACCCCAUCUUCCUACCUCCUCCUCCAUUUUUUUCCUUCUCUCUCUCUCUAAAACCCCAUCUCUCUUUUUCUAUCUCUAUCUCUCUCUACCCCUUUGUGUGUAUAUGCGUAUGUAUGACGAAUUCUUAACAAAGACUCACUUAGAUAAGGUAAGAGAAAUAUGGGGUUGCUAAUUAAUUUUGCUUCUUCUUUCUUUCUUGUUGCUGCUGCUGCUUCUUUAAGGUAUUCUUCUAAAAUCACUUCAGAUUUGGUCCUUUUCUUGGGCUUUGGCUUCAUUGAUUGGUAAUAUGUCACUAUUUCUCCUAUAAAUCCACUAUAUUUACACUUUUAUUAUUAAAAAAAAAUAAAGAAGAAGAUAAAAAGAUUUUUUUUUAUACUAUAUAGUUUUCUUAGCUAGUGGUAAAGAUUCAAUUUUUAUAUUGUUGUCUUUGUGUUGGAAAAGUCUGUGCACUUUAUUGGGUUGAUGUUCUUGGAUUUGGGUUGAAUUUGUCAUCACUGUAUUAAUAGGGAUUUAUACAUUUCUGCUUCCUUUUUUUUUUUCUAUUGUAGUUUGGUAGUUUGUUCCUAGCAUCUCAUUCUUUUGUUGCAUUAUAAUUUAGGGCCUAGUGGAUCUUGUUGGUUUCCCUUUUGCUCCAAAAAAAAUUCUAAUUUUAUUUUUGAUUUUCCAAUCUUGAGUUUAGAUAUAGGUUUUGGUGUUAUAGGACUAGCAUGGUUGAUGUGUUUGUAAAGAUUUAGUCUUGUGUCAAGUUGUUGUUUGGUUUGUUAGUUUUGAAGUUGUCAUUAGCAAUUGUCUCAAUUCCUAGGUAGAAUUUGUGAGUUAGUAAACCUUGUUGUCUCCCCAAGAAAAGGAAUUGUGAGAUAGAAGAUACUAUUUGGUACUGUACUGUAUUGUUGAUGGAGAAUCAUCACCCUUCAACCCGUUUGUCCAUGGAUUCGAGUGCAUCUUCUUCACAUGAUGAAUUAGACCUCGAGAUGAAUCGACAAGUAGUCAUAACUUGUCCACCUGACAUUAAUUUGCCUUUAUCAGCUGAGCGUAGCCCUCCUCUGCAGCCAUGGAACUCAGAACAUUGUGAUAUUCUUGAUGUUGGGCUUGGGACUCAGGUUUAUGAGACUGAAAGUUCACUUAGUGCACCUAAGGUUGGAAGGAAAUGUGCGAAACGGUUGGAUAGUAUUUGGGGUGCUUGGGUUUUCUUUAGCUUUUAUUUUAAGCCUGUUCUGAAUGAGAAAUCCAAGGCAAAGAUGGUACGGGAUAGUAAUGGAUAUUCCGGGUUUGAUAAGUCUGAUCUCCAGCUUGAUGUAUUUAUGGUUCAGCAUGACAUGGAGAAUCUAUAUAUGUGGGUUUUCAAGGAAAGGCCUGAGAAUGCAUUGGGUAAGAUGCAGCUCCGGAGUUACAUGAACGGGCAUUCUCGUCAAGGGGAGCGUCCGUUUCCCUUUAGUGUUGAAAAGGGUUUUGUUCGAUCUCAUAGAAUGCAGAGGAAGCACUACAGGGGUCUAUCAAAUCCUCAGUGUAUUCAUGGGAUUGAAGUCGUUCCAUCUCCCAGUCUCAUGGUUCUUGAUGAAGAGGAGCGCAAAAGAUGGAUGGAACUAACAGGUAGGGAACUCAACUUCAGUAUCCCACACGAAGCAAGCGAUUUCAGUUCAUGGAGGAAUCUCCCCAACACUGAAUUUGAGCUUGAGAGACCACUCCCACCGCCAAUUAAGAGUAAUCCACAUUCCAACCCAAAGAAGCUGGCUAAUGGAUCAGGGCUUAAUUUGUUAACUCAGCCAUCCAAUCACAGCAAUGGGGACGCAAUGGAUCUACUACCUGCCAAUGGCAAAAGGAAAAAGGAUUUCUUCCCUCACGGAAAUGAAGAGGAGUGUUACCUACAAGUAAAUCCUCCUUCCUAUCAAACGCCGGAUCUUGAAAUUCACCCAACUGAACCGCAUUGGUUACAUGACUUUACUGGGGUGAUGAGGGAUGUCUACGGGCCUGUCACAGCUGCAAAAAGCAUAUAUGAAGAUGAACAAGGUUACUUGAUUGUACUCAGUUUGCCAUUCGUAGAUCUUCAGAGGGUGAAGGUUUCCUGGCGAAACACGCUUACACAUGGUAUAAUAAAGGUGUCUGGUUUAAGCACAUCUCGGAUGCCAUUCAUCAACAGACAAAACAGGACUUUGAAGCUUGACAAUUCAUCCUCAGAACACUGCCCUCCGGGUGAGUUUGUCAGAGAGAUUCCUCUCUCAACCAGAAUUCCUGAAGAUGCCAAAAUCGAAGCAUACUACGACGAAACAGGAACUGCACUCGAGAUGUUGGUACCUAAACUUUGUGAAGGGCCUGAAGAACAUGAAGUUCGUGUUUGCCUCCGUCCUCACCUUGGGGGAAAUGAUCUCAUGUUGACCUAAGCGGAGAUGUGAUGAUACCUGUUAGGGAGGGUGCUUUAUUACAUGCACCAACUUAGUUUUCAUAUAAUGUGGUUUUAUGCAACUGUAUGAUCUUGUAUUCGAUUUGCACACAUUAGAUGUUGUUGGUAGGUUUUUUAAACUAGCCUUAGCUUUUGUUACACCACUAUUUGCUUAUGACAUUUGAUACCUUUUUUGGCUAUAUGGUAAAGUAAUUGAUAUUUGGUAGGCUCUAGAGUUGUUUGAAACUCAAUUCUAAGUUGAAUAUUGGUAUUCAAGAUUUGAUUUCAGAUAUGUGGAGAGGGAGGGAUAGAGUGAAUGCAGUUUUAGAUAAAACACCCCAACCACAAACCUGUAUUGGCAAGGUAAAGAUAUGAAGAGCCGUCUAAGGACGAUUACUUAAAUCUAUUUGUGAUCUCGAGUUUGUGGGGUUACACUGACCUCACUGCACUAGUUAAAGCAUUCAAUUAUCUGUCAGUGAAGUUAAUUGGGAAAAGAUGAGCUUGAUGAAAAUCGUGUUCGGACGAUGUAUUAAUUCACGUAAUAUCUUGAAUUAAAAAAAAAAAGAGCUUGAAAAACUCAUCCCAAUACUGAAUGAACCUCAAUCAAUGACGAGAGCUUAUCUUGUAUCUGAAGGACCACAAAACCCAAGGCAGUGGAGUGGAGCCAUUGGUCAUGCCCGUCCCAAUAUUUGAGUACUUGUGGAUUGGAAGAUCAAAAUGAAAGAAGCUGAGUCAAAAUUUGCUUGCUUACUUUUAGGUCAAGUGCAUGUCAUCAUCAACUUGCAAACAUUGUGGUCAAUGGUGGCAACUGUUAUCCACUGGUUUUUGCUGGUCCCCUUUUGAGCCUUUCUUGAUUGCUUAGAUGAAUUGCUUUUUCUCUUUAAUAUUUUGAUUUUUAAAAUAAGGUCAAAGUCAUCCUCAAAUUUAUUUUGAAAAUUCACUUAGACUCCUCAAUUGAGACUUGUACCUAUUAGGCACCUCAAGUACUAAAAUUGAUACCUAUCGACGCCGACGGCACCUUCAUCAUCGUUCACAACAUCUUGCACGCUUUCCAAGAACGAAAUUUCUUCCUCCUCCUAUUCCGCCAUUUUCGGUAGAGAUCGUUACAAGUUUUGGGCUUUUGUUGCUAUCUUAUUGUUAGCUUUUUAUGCUCGACAACUUCAUGAACUAUUAACAACAAUUACAUUAUUUCUCCAUCAAUUACAGAAAAUCAACUGCAGAAAAUAGAGAAGAAGAUGAAAUUACAUUGCUUCAUCAAUUAUAUUAAUUGCAUAUAUACACUGUUCUAUCAAUUUUCUUUGCAUUUGUAGAGCCCAACAAUUUGAAGUAAGCUUCAAACCAAAAUCCACCAAAUCAGUUGAAAAUCAGAACUCCACUAACAACAACAAAAUCACUAAUCAAUCUUUCGUCAUUGAAGGCAAAAUCAAAGAACGGAGAAACUCCAUUAAGCAUAAAAUGAGUAAUCAUUUUUCACCAUUGUCAACAUAAAAACUGGAAAAAAAAAUCUUUCUUUUUUUAUAAAAUCAGUAUGUGUGUGUGUGAAGACGAUGGCAUCUGUGUGUAUGUGAAGACGACGGAGGAGGGGGCUUGUGAAGAAGGCAACUGCGUGGGUUACGGGUGGUUUUUUUCCUUUUUUUUUAAUUGAGAAAUUAUUAUUAAAUAGGAAAGGAGCAAAAUCAGAUAUUAAAAGAAAAAUGCCACCUUUUUUUUUCUAAUUGAACAUUUUUUUCCACGCGUUCUAAUUGAACAUUUUUUCCACGUCAUCACGUGUAUUACACACAUUUAAGAUUUUACCUGAUUGAACAAAAAAGGCUCAAUUGGAUCAAAAUUUGAGAGGUUUAGGGACCUGAAAGUAUAAGUCUUAUUUGAGAGAGCUACAUGGAUCUGCCUUUAAAUAAUUGACAAACUGUCAACAGAACUACGUACUAAUUUCAUUAUGCCAGUUUUCUUGGGACAGUAGAAAACGGGUUGAAACUGGUACCGCAUCCUUGAAUUAAAUAACGUCACCUCUAAGAACAGCAAUCGUCCAAUUAUCAUAAGUGAACAUUCCGUCUCAAUUUUAGAAGUAAGCAACUUAUCAACUAAUAUACUUGAAAAGAGCCACAAUAAACAAAUUGUGAACUCAUGACGUCAAGAACAAUUAGGAUUGCCAGAGAAAAUGUUCUCAUAUGUGUUCCUUCUAUCUUCCAUACACAAAGGCCUCUUACCCAAAGAGAGAUCCAUUAGGCCACGAAGCACAAACAUAUCAUAAGACUAUCAGAGACUACAAAUAGAAGAGCAGAAAUUUAAAGCAUAUACCAAAAACAGGCUAGCCAAACUUUCAGCAAAAUCUGAAAUUAUAGAUCCAAAUAUGAAGUAUACUUGAUAAACAAGCCAAAAUACGCAAAAGUAUCAUUAACUAAAAACUACAAUGCAGAAACAAUAAAUGGAGUUCUUGGGGAUAAAAGUAAUUGAAACCAAAACAUGAGGAACAGAAAACAGCUUAGUCGACCUCCUCGAUCUUAGGACCAGCACCACUGCCACCACCAGGAGCAGGGCCAUCAUCAUCGCCCAUGUCAGCACCCAUGUCACCACCAGCACCUUGGUACAUCUUGGCAAUAAUUGGAUUGCAGAUGCUCUCCAACUCCUUCAUCUUGUCCUCAAAUUCAUCGGCCUCAGCAAGCUGGUUGGCAUCAAGCCACUGGAUGGCCUGCUCAAUAGCAUCCUCAAUCUUCUUCUUGUCAGCUUCAGUCAGUUUGGAUGCAAUCUUCUCGUCCUUGAUGGUGUUCCUCAUGUUGUAAGCAUAGUUCUCCAAAGCAUUCUUUGCCUCAACCUUCUUCUUGUGCUCUUCAUCUUCAGACUUGUAUUUCUCUGCUUCUUGAACCAUCUUUUCAAUCUCCUCCUUGGAGAGUCUGCCCUUGUCAUUGGUGAUGGUGAUCUUGUUCUUUUGUCCAGUAGUCUUGUCCUCAGCAGAUACAUUCAAGAUACCAUUGGCAUCAAUGUCAAAGCACACAGUGAUCUGAGGAACACCCCUGGGAGCAGGAGGAAUACCAGAGAGCUCAAAUUUACCAAGCAAGUUGUUGUCCCUGGUCCUAGUUCUCUCACCUUCAUAGACCUGGAUCAACACACCUGGUUGGUUAUCUGAAUAGGUUGAGAAGACCUGCUCUUUCUUGGUUGGGAUAGUGGUGUUUCUGGGAAUCAAGACAGUCAUGACACCACCAGCAGUUUCAAUACCAAGGGAAAGAGGGGUAACAUCCAACAGCAACAGGUCUUGCACCUUUUCGUUACCUUCACCACUCAAAAUUGCAGCUUGUACAGCAGCACCAUAAGCAACAGCUUCAUCAGGGUUAAUGCUCUUGCAGAGCUCCUUCCCAUUGAAAAAGUCUUGCAGGAGUUGCUGAACCUUGGGAAUUCUAGUGGAGCCACCAACAAGUACAACAUCAUGGAUAGUGCUCUUGUCCAUCUUAGCAUCUCUCAAACACUUCUCAACUGGUUCCAUACACUUCCUGAACAGAUCCAUGUUAAGCUCUUCAAAUCUAGCACGGGUAAUGGUGGAAUAGAAAUCGAUACCCUCAUAAAGAGAAUCAAUCUCAAUUGUGGUCUGAGCAGUGGAUGAAAGGGUCCUCUUUGCCCUCUCACAAGCAGUUCUCAACCUUCUGAGUGCCCUAGGAUUACCGCUGAUAUCCUUCUUGUUCUUCCUCUUGAAUUCCUGAACAAAAUGGUUGACCAUCCUAUUGUCAAAGUCCUCACCUCCAAGAUGAGUGUCUCCGGCGGUAGCCUUAACCUCAAAUAUACCUUCCUCAAUGGUAAGGAGAGAGACAUCGAAGGUACCACCACCAAGAUCAAAGAUCAACACAUUCUUCUCACCAACACUAGUUGCCUUCUUAUCCAAACCAUAAGCAAUGGCAGCUGCUGUAGGUUCAUUGAUAAUACGCAUAACAUUCAGACCAGCAAUAACACCAGCAUCCUUAGUGGCCUGACGCUGAGAGUCAUUAAAGUAGGCUGGAACGGUAACCACAGCAUUCUUGACAGUCGAACCCAAGAAAGCUUCAGCAAUCUCCCUCAUCUUAAUAAGCACCAUAGAAGAGAUUUCCUCAGCAGCAAACUGCUUCUCUUCACCCUUGUAGUUGACAACAAUCAUUGGCUUAUCACCAGGUCCAGAAAUGACCUUAAAUGGCCAAUGCUUGAUGUCACUCUGCACUGACACAUCGCUGAAUCUCCUACCAAUCAACCUUUUUGCAUCUGCAUUAUAAAUAAUUUCCAGUUAACACAUAAAACAUUAAAAAAAUAACAAGAAAAGAAAAUUUUCCUCUAAUCAUUACGUACUAAUUACUUAAAGAUUCAAACUCCACUACAUUAUUUGCUAAAAACAGGGUUCUCCAAUCAGAACUUCUUAAUAAACAAAUGACCAUAUCAGAUUAUGCAAUUAUUCCAGAAAACAGAAAAAUGCAAGCAAAACUAUCCACUAUAACAAGUAGACAAGUAAUAGAAGACACUAGAAACAGCAAUAAGCUAAGUAAACAAGCAAGCCUUUCUUUACUAUCUUCAAAUGUACACAUCAAUCACAACACAGGCUACCAAAAUAGUUCAAUCUUCAAAUGUAAAUGUCUAAGACAAGUUAAAAGAUAGUCUUAUAAUAUCUAAACACCAAAUAAUUUUUUAAAAAAGUUUAAUUUAAAAGCAGAUUCCUAUAUAUAAUAGCAGACCUUUAAUAUGAAAAGCAAAUUUAUCAAGUCCAUAUUUUAGCUCAAAUCACCUCUCUAUAAGCACAAGCAAAAUUAGAGCUCUAGUACAAAAGCUGUUAAGCAUCUUCAUAAACAUCUGAAGAUCUACACUAGCUAAACUUACAGGGGCAAGAUAUUUCAACUAAGACACAAAUUUACAAGAUCUACCACCAGACUCAUCAACAUAACAACACUAACUUCCUCAAUCAACAGAUCAGAUAUAAAAUUCAAGUUAAGUAAUGACCGUACACUGCAAAACUACUUACAGCAAGUCUUGUCCAAUCAAUCAUGGAAAGCUAGGUACAAUGAAUAGUAAAAAGCAAAGAACAAACAAGACUUUAUUGAACAAAUGCACAUGAACUAAACUAACUAUAAACAACCGAAACAAAUCCAACAAAUUAGAAUUAGCAUACCAACUUCACAGUAAAUCUAGUCCGAUCUAUAAUGAAAAGCUAGCAAAACUAACUAUUAAUAAGUGAAGUAGUGCUCUUAUCAAUUUUACAGUAAAUCUAGUCCGAUCUAUCAUAAAUAUUUAGAUAAACUAACUAUUAAUAGCAAAAACAUGCCCCAACACACAAGUAUUAGCACCAUAUAUUACAAUCCUCUAAUCAGUUUUACAGUAAAUCUAGUCCGAUCUGUUAAAAAAUUAAGCUAAACUAUCAACAAGCAAAAAACUUAAACAAAUUGGAGUUAGCAUCACAGAAUACUCUUCUAGCAGCCUCUAAAUAUAUACAUUUAAAUUUUACAGUAAAUCUCCGAGUCAAUGAAACUGGAACGAGCAUCAUAGGAUACUCUUAUAGCAGCAUCUGAACACAUAAAUUUCAAUUUUACAGUAAAUCUAGUCCGAUCUAUGAUCAAACGCUGACUAAACAAACUAUUAAUAAGCAAAAAUACUCCAACAAAUUAGAAUGAACAUCAAAAAUACUCUUAUAGCAACCACAGAACAUAUAAAUAUCAAGUUUUCAGUAAAUCUACUCCGAUCUAUCGCAAGAAAUACGCGAAAAAUUCAAACAAAUCAGAAUGAGCUUCAUAAUCAGAUAUACAAAACUUGUACACAAAGAACAGAUCUCGAUCUUACCAAAAACAGUGUUGAUAGGAUUCAUAGCAACCUGAUUCUUAGCAGCAUCACCAAUAAGCCUCUCAGAGUCAGUAAAUCCAACAUAUGACGGCGUCGUCCUGUUACCUUGAUCAUUAGCGAUGAUUUCAACACGAUCAUGUUGCCAUACACCAACGCAGGAGUACGUUGUUCCUAGAUCGAUUCCGAUUGCCGGACCUUCACCCUUUCCCGCCAUUAUUGUUACUGUUUCUCUCUCCUUCGUUUAGUGUCGGCGAGUGAAGAAAAAGGAGAGGCAGCAAAGAGGUUUGGAGAACUAGGGUUUGCAAGGAGGAGGUAGGGGGAAAAAGGGGGAGUUUAUAUAAGGAGUGGAGUUCUAGAAUGUUCUGAAACCCUAAGAUUGAGAGUUAGUUUAUAGCCGUUAGAUCUCUGAGAUGAGACUUUGACGGUCGUUCUUCUUUCUUUUUUUUUUUCCUUUGUGGGGUCGGACUUUCCCCCCACUAGCCAAAUUUGACUGGUUUUUGUUCCACUUGCCUCGAGUAAUUUAUGCUAUUUUUGGGAUCGUUUGGAGAGAAUAGAGUGUAUAAGAAUAAUGUUAAAUAAGGUGUAUUAGUAAUACUUGUAUUAUUAAUGCAAGUAUUAAUAAUAUUGGUAUUAGUUAUAUAUACAUUAAUUUUGCAUAUUGCUUGGUUUAAUAUAUUAAAAAUAAUAUAUAUUUUAUAUAAAUUUUAAAAAGAAAUACUCAUUUACUGAAUUACCCUUCCUUAAACCCCUGUACAAUUUGUUUUCAAAACAGAGAUCAACUAGCAGCAGCUUCGAUCCUCCACUUCAAUUUGUUAACUCAAUCACUGUUAACCACAACAUCAGACAAGGAGAUAAAGAGGCGGCAAUGAGGAGAAAAACAUAUGGAGUAGACAUACUCCUCUCGAUACUCCACUUCAAAUUUCCAACCCAAUCAAUGUUACCAAAUAUCAUCUCUAUGAAAAACAUAAUCAUUAUGAAUACCCAUUUGAGAACUUUUGUGAAUACCCAUUAUAGAUCUGAAAGAAGCAACUCUGAAAUGGUGAUAUAGUGGGAAAGGACCAAAGAACCAAACAUGCGCUCUAGGUAGAAACCAACAACACCAAGCCUCGACCAAGCUGACGUCUGAAAAUGGGGUCAAUUGUUAAAGGUUUCUUGCUAUAAUCCAUGUGAUAUAGUGGAAAAAGAAAGUAGGAAAAUAAUUUUAGGAAUAAUAAUGUCAUUUAAUAAAUUAAUACAUGUGUUCAAAGUAUUGCAUUACUAAUACAUAGAAAAUGGUGUGUAUCACUAAUACACACCUUAAUACACAAUAGAGUGUAUAACUAGUACAAAUAUUAGUUAUGCAUAAUUUGAAAAAUGAUACCAAACAAGGUAAUGCUAACACACAAAAAUUAAUGCAUGCAUUAUAUGUUUAAUACACUCUACCAGACGACCCCUUUAUGGCUUAUCUAGAUGUCAAAGGUCGUGUUGUCACGGGCCCAAUAUAUGUUAUUUUUUAGUCGUAUUUAUGUGACAUAAAUAAAAUUUAGAUAAUCAAUUAUAUUUUUAACAUGCUUAAGAUAUUCUAAGUUGUUAACUAUCAUAAUUUAUAAUACUUUUUAUAUACUUUUUAAAUAAUACAUGUUACUCUUCUUGUUCAAACUUUUGUGGCAUCACUAGCCAAUUAUAUUUUGUAAAAUAAUUUAAAUUUGUAAUUAUUAAGAUUUAUAAUAAUUUUUUGUAUAUUCCAAUUUAAGUGACACUGAUAUAAUUUCUAGAGUCAAUCAAAUAUUUUAUAUCUUUAUAUUUUUUAAGUUAUUAAUUAUUGUGAUUUAUAAAAUUUUUUUUGAAAUAUAUGGUUUUACAGCAUUAUGUGGUUGAAAAUGUAUAGAUUCUACUUUUGUUUCCCCUGGGUUAGCAAGUCUCUCUUCCUCUCUCUUAACCCCUUCCCCGUAACGUUUUUUAACAACACCUUUGACGUGACCCGGGCAGCUCCAGCGCCGACUCCGGCUUAGAAAUGUUGGUGACAAAUAAGUGAACUCUUUCUUUCUCCCCCUCCCCCCCCGAUUCUCUCUCUUCACUGUUUUUUGUCUCUUCCCCCUUUACACUUUUCACUGCUCUUGUCGACGUGAUAAGGUUUUCGUCGGUUCGCCCCCGGCGACGUGUCAGUGUGCAGCACCGGACUCAGGCGAUCAAAUCUGAUUCCGUGUUUCCAUAUUACUAGACCCUGUUCAACCGGAUCUGAUUUGGACGAUAUUUUGGCAAAGCUCCGACGAUAAUAUUCCUGCGACCAAUUUCUGCAUCAAUUCGCCGGAAUCCAACAUACCACGCAAGAGAAGAGGACCUGGUCUACAAGCGUAACUCGGUGACUUCUAUCCUUUGUUAUUUACUUUCUCUUAUUAUUUUUUGUCGCUUGACUUAUUUUUAAUUUAUUGGGAUUUGGUGACUUUUGUUUUGUUGCUCUUGGUGUUAGGCCAAAUAGUGUGCUUUGCGUAUGCCUCCUAUUUCUCACUGUUGUUUUUGUUUCUAUCUUUGUUUGUAUUUUUUAUUCUAGUAGUUGCUGUGGGGUUUGAUGGUAGGAUGGGUUCAUGUCCGAGAGGGUUGGGGUUUGGGGAUGGUUUGAGGGUGGGGGAAGAGGGGAAGGCUGGUUUGGAAGUGGGGACAAGGUCUGGUGUUAGGACAGGUUUGGGGUAUAGAGUGAGGGGUGGUAGAGGUAGACGUGACCCAAGAGUUGAUAGGUUGAGGGUGGGUCUUGAAAUAUAGGGACCCUUCAGGGUAAGUCUAUAGAGCUUGUAAAAAUUCUUAGAAAGAGGAGGAUCAAUAUUGCGUGUGUCUAGAAAAACAAGUGGGUAGGGUCUAAGGCUAGAGACGUAGAUGGGUACAAGUUGUGGUACUCAGGAAGUGAGAGGUGUAGGAAUGGAGUAGGCAUCUUAGUAUAUGAAAACUUAGAGGGAAAGUAGUGGAGGUUAAGAGGGUUAGCGAUAGGUUGAUGACUAUUAAGUUGGUCAUUAGGGGGUUUACUCUGAAUGUGUGUAGCAUUUGUGCGCCACAGGUGGGCUUGAGAGAUGAGAAGAAGAGGUUUGGGGAGGCUUUGGACGAGGUGGUGAGAGUCAUGCCUAGCUCUGAGAAGAUUAUUAUAGCAGAGAAUUUCAAUGGGCACAUUGGGGUGUUAUCGGGAGGCUAUGGCGAUAUGCAUUGAGGUUUUGGUUUUGGGGUGAGGAAUGAAAAUAGAGCUUGUUGACACCCAAUUUUGUCCCGCCUUUUUUUCAAGUUAUCUCUUUGCGCUUCUAAAUAAUUUUGAUAGAUUAAAAUUAAAAUAAUGAUAUAUAUAUAUAUAUAUGUGUGUGUGUGUGUGUGUGUGUAUGAUAUUCCUAUAACUAGGAUUUUAUAAAAUCAUCGAUAUUAUUAUUAUUAUUAUUAUUAUUAUUAUUAUUAUUAUUAUUAUUACCAUUUUGGUUAUAUUUUAAAUUACUAUCGCAUUUCCUAAACUUUCACAAAAAAGACAUUUUUUUUAUCGAAUAAGUAUUUUGCAACUUUUUUUCCUUUAUAAAUUUCAUCGUUUUAUCAUGAAACUUUGUUUAAGUUAUUUAUAUUUUUUUUAGAAUCAAAUAAUUUUUGUCAUUUAUUCGAAUAUUUAUAAUAUGUUCUUGUUAAAAGUGUUAUUUAAUUUAAUUUAGAAAGCCCAAAGAACAUAAGAAAGGAGAUAUUUUUAAAAUCAACCCAUUUUAUAACAUUCUUGAAAUUUGGCCCAAUUUCAAGAUAUGACUCAUAAAGCCCAUCUUUCUCAUCCCUUUUCCACCUCAUUGCCACAUAAAUGCCAUGUUUGCACCACACAAGGCACCAAAUAGUCAUAGCACACACCAAGCACACGCUUGUUGCACUCUCCUACACCCUUGCAUACGCCUAGCACCCCCCGCCACGUGCCUUUUCCCUAUUAGCUAGUCAAACUCAGUUAAUUCUCAAGUAUAGCAUACUACCUAUUUUGUCCUCAAUUAUUAUGCUUAAGAUACCCAUAAUACCCUCAAGACCUCAAAAUCAGGCCUAAAUUUCCUCUCUCUCAUAUGCAAAACACGAUUUUUCCUUUCUAAACAUAUCUCAACGUUUCUUUUUCCUCUUCUAGCAAAGUUGCAGACUCUUUUCUCUAUGGACAGAGCUUGUUUCUCUACUCUCAUGUGAUGGCCAUAUCAGCCACAUGAGGCACUAAAUCCAUAAAAAAUUCACAGCUUCCAACUCCAAAGAUGGUGGUUGACUGGAAUUUAAAAUUCAAAACUCAAAGAUCCCGCCUAAACUUGAAGCCCUAAUGUUUCUAUAUUAAUAUUGGAGUUUGGGAUCCAUAAGGGGAGGUUUUUUUUGGCCGCACACCCCCUACAUAAAGUUAGUUUUUUUGGCCACUUAUUCCCUCUUGAACCUCGUUGUAUUAUAUUUUCUUGUAUCUCUCUUUGUCUCGGCCUUUCGGAAUUUGGACUCGACGAAGCUUUUCACCAUCGAGCGUGUUCCGAGUUUGCCCGUCGCUUGAGUUCGAGCCUAGAUCGGUGGCCAAAGCACCCUAAUUCACUGCCCCAUAAAAGUUCGAAGCAAAUGGAGUCUUAAUUCAAGACUCUAGCUAAUCGAGUCUCAAAAUGAGACGACGUUACCUCUCCUCUGCAAAGACGUCAUAUUCUAUACUCGCAAAUCAAAUUCGCUAGCAAUUUAAAACCUCUUCCUUUCUUUCAAUCUCCAUUUCCUUUGUAUACAUAUAUCCUAUUAUCCUCAUUACUUUAUUUUUGCACAUUGUUGUUUAGAAUUGGAGUUUUUGUUUGCUUAUGUUUGAACUAGUAUAAGCUUAUUAAAAUGGAUGAUAAAUUUAUCUAUUAUCCUCCUCACCCUUGGAUUAGAUAGUAAUUUUAAACUAAUUACUUGGCUUAGGCGUAUGACUAGUAUAGUUAAAGAUUAAAAUUUGAUAGAAAAAAAUAUAUCUUUUAGAGUUUGAUGGCCUAAUUAUUAAAAAUUCAUUUUCCUUUAGAAUCAAAUUAGUUUUGACUAAUUAGUAACUUUGAUUUAGUCAAAUAUAGGUUUUGGUGGUAGGAAAAUUUAUUAUCGUUAGCUUGAUAGUUGGCUUUAUUUAUUUUGGAUGUAGUAAUUAAUUUUAUUUCACAUAAAAGAGGGUAACUAUGCCAAUUUGAUUUCAUGAGGCAUUCCUAGGAUUUUUAAAUGGCAAAAUUUAUUUUCACAAAAAAAAAAUGUCUUUUCUUGAUAAAAAAUAGAAUCUUAAGCCACUAGUAGAUUUAAGGAAUUUUAUAUCUUCAAAGCUAUCUUCCAAUAAUCUAUUUAAUAUGAUGCGGCUUAAUUUUUUCUUACUUUUACUUAUUUUAUAAAAUUGAUAAAGGAAGGGCAAAAGGUUGUUUUUAUAAAAUGUGCAACUUUCAUAACGUGACUAAUCUUUCGUUUAAACUAUUAGUUAGGAACCUUUGUAAAUCUUUUUUUUCUAAAAGAUGAUUUGAAAUAACUCCCUCUCUCACCAAUUUUAAAUAAAAUAUAGUACCUUUUUCAAUUUGAUUCCAUGAAGUCUUUUCUUAAGAUUUCAAAUGGCAAUGAUAUUAGUUUAAAACAUAAGCUAAAAAAAAAUUCCCGAGUCUAUAUGGAUCUAAGUAUUUAUUUUAGUUAUCCUCAACGAUUCAUUUAGUAUAGGAUAAUUAACUAUCUUAUUUACUUCUAUUUUGUGAAAUUUGAGCAAACAAAAAAAUAGCAAAACAGUAAUUUAUUUAUUUUUAAAAUGUAAAAUGUGAAGUUAUUAACAUAAUUAACCUUAUCAAUUAUUAAUUAAAAGCUUUUGUAGAGAAUUGACUUAAAAUAAUUAUUUUGUUAUUAUUAUCAUUAUUAUUAUUUUAUUUAUUUAUUUAUUUAUUUAUUUUGACAACAAUAAGGUUGCAUAUUUUUAGGAGUUAUCUUUUUUAUAAUUUUCAAAAGUGGGUGAGCCUUACUAAAAAUUUUCUAACCUUUUCUUAUAAAUAAUUAACUUGUUUUGUUUCAAUAAGACAAAUAUAUUUUAACACCUUAUUUAUAUCAUUUUUAACGUAGCUUUUGAUUUCUUUAUCUGACCUAAGUUUGGCCGGUUAAUCAUAGUUAGCGGAUCCUUUAGGAUGCCUAAUCCCUUCCCUUUAUGAUAAUUAGAAUCCUUACCUAGAAUGUUAAGUUGCGUAGACCUUAAAAUGAAGUCUUUUAAUUUCCUUAAUCACAAAGGUUAUAAUAGGUGUCCUAAUUCACCGUAGAACUGAAUAGGUGGCGACUUCCUUAAUUCAAUUACAAGUUUUCCAAUAUGUUGUACACCAGUUUGACCCGUGUUAAAAUGGGGUAUAACAGCUUGGCGACUUUACUGGGGACUUAUUAGGUUCUUAACCAUAACAAACUUAGUUAAUAAUUAAGUCUUUAUAUUUUGUUAUUUGUUUCACCCUAUUUGUCUUGUUUUAUUAUGUUUAUAUGGCAUAAAUUAUUUAUUUGCUAUUGUUUUGUAUAAAUUGAUUACUUGUUUAUCGCUUUAUAAAUUGGCAUUCCGUUAAACUUCCUCCACUUCGAAAAAUUGACACUCACACACGUUGUACACGCGGAUUGUACAUUUUACUUUUCUAAAAUUCUUUCAAAUCACCAAUUUUAGAGAGUCGACGUAUAUGUGGGGUGAGCGGGAGUUUUACUGUCGCGAGACCACGUGCCUUCUCAUAUAAGAAAUCUAAGUUUGUGUCCUCCCAAAUCUUAGAAAACUUAAGAUAGAGCGUUGCCACGCUUGAUUUAGGCCAUACAUGCAUAAGCCCUGGGUGGUUUGACCCAUGUCAAAAGGGUUCACAACCCGAUGACGACCUUCAUAUUAUAUGCAGAGAUAACGAUAAAUUGAUCCAAGUCCAAUUUUGACCAAAUUGAGUUUGGAAAAUUGUAAAUCCAAGCUCAAGUAGUGUCAUUAAUUAAAUCUUGAAUCAAUUUAUCGAAAUCUCAAUUAUUUGACGCUUAGGCCUACCUCCUGCAUAAAGGAUUCACCGGCAUAUUAGGACGUGUAAUUUAACAUAUUUGUGUUAUUUGUCCUGCAAAUUUGCUUGUUACAUGUUAUUUGACCUACAUGAAUUUAUUUGCAAUUUGAUUUAAUAUUUAUUUGUUAUUUUCACCUUUGUUUUGUCCUUAUUUUUAGAUAAGAAAAUAAAAAAUUCCACUUAUAUAUCUCUUUAUUAUCUAUCAUAUUUUCACAUAUUUUAUAUCAUGAAAUUUCUUUAAAAUUCUUAUUGUAACACUUCUAUGCUUAACACAUUUUAAUGAUUCUAGAGCGCUAUUUACGAAAUUAUCUUCAGCCCGUCGAAUUCUUAGUAUUUCUGUAACGCCCCAAUUUUCUAUAAUCGGAAUGCCACACGGUGCUCAUGAUCUCGAAGGACCACAAGCUAACCCUCUAUUGAUAUCUGUACCGGAGCACUGCAUAAUAUAAUAUGACAAAUAUAGAAAACUGGCGGAAACGUACCAUAAGGUUCAAAACAUCUAAAAUAUUGAAAAAUGAGAUCAUAAUAUUGAUACAUCUAUCCAAAAAAACUCUAAACUGUCUGAACUGUGGAGUUGAUGGGACAUGUCCCCAACUAACUCAUCUACUGAAAAUAAACUGAGUCUAAUGCAAUAAUAAGAUAAGGAUCAUUCUCGAAUAAUGAGGACUCAUUGCUAAGUCUACCGUUGCUGACUGAAUCUGGACUGCUAAGGAUGCUCUGGAUCUUGCGCUUCGGAACCUAUGGUAUAAGACACCAUAGCGCAAGAAAGUAUGCGUCAGUACUUUAAAUGUACUGGUAUGCUAGAUGAGGUAAGGCUGAAUGCAAGAGCUUAUGCAUGAACAAUACUGACUGAAUAAUCUGAAUAUGCUGAAUGAGGAUACAUGCAUGAUUGCAUAAAUCAUAGCUAAAAUCAUGGCAACACUGAAUACUAACUUCUAAACACUUGAACUUCUGACAACUGAGCUUAUUAUUACUGACAUCUGAAUUCACUAGCACUGGGAGACUGAAUAUCUGAGUCUUACUAAUAACUGAGUUCUGAACUUGCUACUAUCGACUGACUAAAUCUGAGAUCAAACCCCUUUAACGGAUGAUCUCUGAAUCUACUAAUAAUGAUAAAAAAUAAUUGUAUCUGAGAUCAGACCUAUCUAAUGGAAGAUCUUUGAAUAUUUUAAUGAUAAAAAUGCUGGGCUGAGUUUGAGAUCAGGCAUAUCUAUCGGGUGAUCUCUGGAUCUUCUGAUAGUGAUAAGGAUAAUAAUAAUAAUUGACUGAGUUUGAGAUCAAGCCUAUCUAAUGGGUGAUCUAUGAAUCUGUGGAACUAUCUAAGUUCCUUACUGAGCUGUGUGACCGUAUCUGACGAUCCUAAAUUUGAAGAACUAUCUAAGAUCUUGACUAAGACUGAAUCUGAAGCUGAAACUAUAACUGUGGGAGUUCUCACUUAACCGACAUGCCUCAAAUCUGAUCUAGUGGGGGUCUAACCUGUAACCCUAGCUGAAAGGGUGUCAAGACCGUGCCACGGGUAAAGACCUCUGCUAUGGUCAAGCCUCUCUAACGGGUAACCCUAGAUAGAAAGUCAAGCCUAAGGCAGUAUGAUAGUCAAGCCUUAAUCUAACCGGUGACUCCUAGUCCUACGCCGGCUACGCAGUUCUGGAGUUCAGGGAUUGCUCUUAACGACUCUGCCUCUCUAACAGGGAAGCUGUCAUCCCUGCACUCGCUCGGUGCUAGUUCCUACUCCCAAAUGAAAGACACUGAACUAAUUGUUAACUGAACUUAGACUGAGCUGAAUCUGUUACUGAUUAUGCUACUUGACUGAUCUGACUGAGUUUACUUAAUUUCGUUGUCUAAUGAAAUACUUCUAAAUUCUACUUUCUGUCUGAAUACGACUGAGUUCUGUAACUUACGGAGUUUUACUAAAAUUUGAACUGAAUACAGAAUACUAUUGAGGUCUGAACUGAGUACUGAGCUGGAUUAGACUAAAUACUGAGAUUUACUGAGUUUUCUUAACUUCUGUCACUAACUGAAAUCUACUGAUCAUAGCACGACUGAUAUUAUCUUGAGACUGACUCGGCUCUACAUAAGCAACUAAGUUUUCGGGUAUAAAUACACCCAGGACUCAAUUGCAUAAAUAAAUAAAACAUCAACUCUUGUGUAACAACAUGACAAUAGACUAUCAUUCGCAACAUGAUCAAGGAAGUAUCACUUCAAGCACUUGGGAAUCUUAAACAUGUAAUUAUAUAUGGAGGCAUGCUAUUGUCUCAUAACUUAUUCAACAAGGAACCCACAUGAAUAGAGAGUACAUGCAACGUAUCAUACUUCACUCAUCUUGACAUUACAACAAACACUGACAUGCAUUACUUGUCACAAAAUUGGAGAUUUUAUACUUAACAUGCUACAGUGGUACUAUUUUCUUCAUAUAAGCAAUUUAUCAAACAUGUAGGAGGCACACUUUGAUCAUACAACAUUCAAGACCCCAAAUUAACACGAUUACAUAAUUCAACAUGCUUCUUAAAGGGCUUUUAUCAUGAACAUCACAUAAUCACACAUACUAAGGUCAAAGCUUGAAUAUUUAUAAUCAAAACAUAUCUACAACAUAAACUUUAACUUAUAUUCACAUAAAUCAUGGGAACUCAUAAAAAUAAAAUCUUUGAAACUUUAAAGAGGAUUCUUGAACUUCUUGGGUGGAAGGAACCCAAGAAUCAACAUCAAACAUACCUUAGUAUAUGAUCCUUGAACUUUUAACGGAGGAAUCUUGAUGACUUGGGUCUUGAAUUAUGAACCCUAAUAUUUGUUCUUGAAGGAAAUUGAGAGAAAACUAGUAUUUUUUGGAUGAAAUCAAUGAGAAAUCUCGUGUUAAAGAGUAUAUAAAGGGGUUGGAAAUUAACUAUUUUACUCUUGGAAACACGGAAGCUGAAGGCUGAAAUGUUGGCCCAAGGCUAUAGCCUGUGCAUCCCUCUGCUAUUUACAAGGGAGAACCUGGGCGACGCCUUGCUACAGAGGGAGGGGGCCAAGGCUCAGAGCUGGGCGGCGCCCCUCUGUAGCCUUCAACUACUGUUUUGCCAACCCAAACACGACCUUAGGCUCAUCCCAAAAUUCUGAAACUCACUCGGGAUGUACUCUUGACUUUCCCCAUCACAACACAACAAGAAAAUUAAGAAACGGAGGUCGGGAAGGUCACAAAAUAAUUCGUCAAAUUUUCGAAGGCUUAUGGAAUGGAAAAGUUUCAACACUUAGCCAAAUUUUCUGAGUGUUAAGCUUUUCUUGUCAUGCUUUAGAAGCUCUAUUGACUCGGAAAUUUUACGGGGUGUUACAAUUUCAAUUAAGGUUUUCUCCCAUUUUAUUUCUUACGAUCUCCUAUAAGGUUCACAUUCUUUCUUCAAAAUAGUAAUGAGCUUAGUUCGACAUUAUUUUAAUUUUUUUCCUAGAGAUUUCAAUACUUAUGUCAGCCACUUGUUACAAAAAAACCUACUCUGUUAACAUUGGCAUAAUUCUUUGCAAAUAUUUCUACUAAAAUAUUCAUUUCAAAUUUUGUCAGAUUCGUGCUUAAUCAAAUUUUGCCAAACUCGUGCUAAAUUCGAAUGUUUGAAUCCUUUAUCUUUUCAUGCUCUUCCAAGUCCAUAUUUUACUGGCGUAAUCUUCUGUUUGUAACGACGGAACAUUCAGCACUCCGUAGUAUCUAUUUAGUGCCGAUCUAUGUCAUAAAAUUUUUGCAUGUGCUCUUCAAUAUUUUCAUCCUUUCGUUGGCCUUCAGUUUAUUCAUUGCUUCUUAAAUUGGUAGAUAACCAAAAAAUUUACUCAAGCUAACAAGUCGCACUUGACUUUAGUGGUUUAAUUUUCUCCCUUAAAUUGUUUUAGAGUAGAGACCCUAAAUUUGAUACUUUUCUAAAGUUUCAGUCAUUCAAAGGGCAUGUGUCGUUCCUAUCUUGAGAUUAUUGGUAUUGAUCUUCCACAUUUUUUUUAAAACUCAAGCUUUAGCGCAUAGAUCAAGAAAAUUCUAUUAUUUUUUCUUCGUCUUUGAUAUUCUUUUUUUUUAUCCAACAAUAUUAAGUUAGAAUUUUGAGUCAUUCACAAUCCUUGGUCUUAUCGAAGUUUAAUCUCCGUGCGUUCUAUUUUUCUUAUUAAUUAUCAUCUCGUGCUUAUACCCCUUAUAGGACUCAACCUCUUAGGUUUUUUUUAAUCACAUUUCUAAAUGCUUCAUUUCUAAUAGCCUUUAACAACUAUUCAACACUUACCAAAUAUUUCUUUCUCCUUUCAAAGGUUGACUUAAGUAAAGCACCAAAGGUAACUCAAGGAAGUUAUGGCCGAUCAAAUUAUUGUGAUUGACCUUGUUGAGGAUGAGUUCGACUUUGAAUAAUUAGAGUCAUAUCGAGAUAAAGUUGCUAAGCUUGAGACAAAGGUGUCACAAAUGGAGCAAGAAAUUGAUAGCAUGAAAGAAAUGAUAGUAGACCUUAAGAACUCAUUCACUGGAGGCUCAGAAGUAUACUCACCCUUCGGCACUUCCACACCUCCCACCUUUGAAGGCUUAGAAGCAUACUCGCCCUUUGGAACUACUGCACCCACUUUUGAUUAUAAUGCCCAACUUUUCUCUAACGUGCACUCAUCCUUACCAAAAGAGUCAUUUAAUAACUUGGCAGAGACGAGCAAAAGUAGUGCAAAGGGUGGAAGGCAUUUUGACAUUAAAACUAAUCAGAUUUCCUUUACAAAUGAGUCUGCUUUGCCUUGUGAGACGGAUUAUGGCAAUAUUCUGAUGUACACCGGAGUUGGUUGUUCUAUAGACUACCUGAAGGCAUAUGUUUAUUGGGUGAGAAAUAUUGGACAAGACAAUGAAUUAAAGAUGAGACUCCUUGUUAGGACCUUUCUAGCUUUGAUGUGGUACGCAACGCAAGGUAUGUGGAAAUGGUCUUCUUAGGACAACCUUGUCAAUGAUUUUGUCAAGCAACACGAGUCUUCUAAUAGUUUUUCUAGAGGAGUUGGCUUGUCUAAAAGAAAAUCUGCAGAGUUUCCUAGGGGUCCGAAAGGAAAAGAACCAAGCUCAUCCUUUCCUGCAAUUUUUGCAAGCACCUACAAUCGAACCUGGCAGAACUCUAGCAAUGGUUUCCUCGAGCAUAACGAUUAAAGUAUAACAGGAUCCUAUUUUUAAAAAUAUGUCAUCUAGGACUUAUGAAGUAGGAUGGUCAGUUUUUUGGGUAGUAUCUUUUUGGGAACAAUUAUGUAUUGUUGUGAACUUAAUGAUCAAUUCUUUGUAAAUUUUUAAAUUUUCUUUUAUGUAAGGUGAACUACAGUUGAACUGAUUUCCUUGGUGGAUAUGUAGGUGGCCCACAUAGGGACUCAGUCAUAUUAUUAUAGAAUUUCUACUUUCCUUUUGCAUGUAAUUGAAACUAUGUUCGACCUGAUUUCCUGACGGACACAGGAUACGUAGGUAGCCUACAUAAGGCUCGGUCUCUUUUUUAUGUUCUUAUUUCCCCCCCAAAAAUAUGAGAGAAGACCACUGGGGCAGAACCUCGGCAUGCAAUUAAUGUAUUGUCAUCAAAAUGUCUUAAAUAUUGGGACAGGAUUUUGGCAUGCAAGAUGAUGCAUCAUCGUUAUAAUUGUCUUUAGACGGAGGCAAAUUUUGGGAUACGUCAGAGUUAGCAAGUAUAAGGAUCAAGCUAGAGCCAAGCUUUGGUGUUCGACAUAAGUCAACCUUUCUUUUGAUCACUACUCCAAAUCAAUCGUUACUUUUUUUUUUACAUCUCAAGCAUUAGAGCCUACUAGCUAAGAAGUUCCUUAAUCCACUCGUUCCGCAACUAAGAUCAUCUCUUCUAGUCUAGACCUCUUACUUAGUCUCAUCACGGAUUAAUUUUUUCCUCAAAAUUAUUAUUAUUAUUAUUAUUAUAUCCAUUGCACAUGUAUUGACACUUCAUUUUAUGUUUAAAAUUUCAUUUUUAUUUAGAGAUUGCCUGGCAUUGAACAUUGCUUUGAUUGUGAAUUUGCAUUGAGGACGAUACGGUAAUGGCAGAUAGGUGUGAAUCAUUCAAUACCGGUGUGGAUUUAGUGGAAGUAGAAAAUGAUGAUGGCAAAAAGAAUGUGGUUCGAAGAAAUAUUUUGGUCAAUCUACCAAGUAUUUUUAGCCUUCUUUCAACCACUGCCACGACUUUCAACUCAACCAAAAAUAUUUGUUUAACCAUAUCACCUCGCUUAACUCCUGCUUAUACGAUCUCUCUGCAAAUACCAUCAAUAUACACUAGCCAUCUCAAAAUUUUCUAGCUUACUAUGGUGCUAAAUAUCUAUUCUCCCACAGUUGUGUUUCCUUUAAAGGAAAAAAAGCACGAGAAGCUACCAGUCUGUCAAAAUGCAAAAUGUGAAAAGGAGAUUCAGUCAAUCCACCAUGAAAAUUUGGGCAAAGAGAUCUACAAUCUGAGAAAAACACUUGAUGAAGAGUUGUGUUUAAGAAAUUGCCAAAGUCUAAGGUAUGAAGACUUGUGUAUACACCCAAAUGUUGAUCUUCCACCAGGAUAUAAGCUACCAAAAUUUAACACCUUCAGCGGUUCCGUUGCUCACUUAAAGGACUACUGCAGCAGGUUAAUUGGAAUUGGACAUAAUGAAGCCAUACUAAUGAGAUUAUUCAUUCAAAGUUUAUCAGGAUUGGCACUCGCUUGGCAUACCAAGCAAGAGUUUAACAAAUGGUGCACAUGGAAAAAUCUAGCUCGUGACUUUGUAAGUAAAUUUGAGUUUAACAUUGGAGGAGAUUUGCACAAGACCGAUUUUCUCAAAGUGAAGAAGAUGUCGUAUUAAUCCUUUCAAGAAUAUGCCAUGCGAUAGAGGUUAGAAGCUUAAAAAAUACAUCCUUCACUUUCUGAGGAUGAAUUGAUCUCAACUUUCAUCUAAAUUCAAGAAAGCCUAUAUUUUGAUAAGUUAUUUGGAGCUUGUGCAUGCAACUUCUCCGAUUUGAUUCGAAUUGGAAAAGAGAUAGAAAAUGGUAUUCAAGAAGGAAAAUAUUUAGAAGAAAUACAAGUUGUUCACCCUGUUUUCCAGCCGAAGACAUUGAAAAAUCCACAAAGUCUAACCAAUUCAGCUUUUGUGUGUCAAUUUCAAUGCCAUCAAAGUCACAAAUUUUCACAAUCUCUUGCUUUUUCUAACCUUUGAAAUGUUCAUCUACAACCUCUUUGUCAGCAAAAUUUUUAGAAUAGCUCCCGGCAACAGCUUAUUCCAAUCCAGUCUACCUCACUACCACAGAAGAAGAUAAAAUCUUUCUCUUUCACUCCUCUGGAUGAGCAAUUGACGAAUAUAUUUGAGAGAUUGAGAAAUAAGGGACCUCUAUAACAUAAAAAGGGAUUCAUACCUAAGUAUCCAUCUCCAAGCUUCGACUUAUUCAAAAGCUGUGUCAAUCAUUCAAACAUUCAAGGACAUGAAACUGAAGAUUGUCCAGCACUAAAAUUCAAGAUUCAAAGCAUGAUUAAAAGUGACAAGAUAAAGCUGCAGCAAGAGCCUCUAAUCGGCCACGGUAAUGUUGCAAACAAGGGCAUAAUUUUUGUUAAAGGUGAUCCAUCGAAAUUGGCAUCAAGGCACUUGAAGAGAAAGUGUGCAACAAAUCUGGAAGACUGGUAAGGGCAUUAUUUUGCAACUUGAUAAUAUCAUUUUCCUCCUCCAUCUUUUAUGAGUGGCUCUACAAUCGAACCUAGCAGAACUCUCGAAUUGGUUUCCUCGAGCAUAACGAUUAAAGUAUAACAGGAUCCUAUUUUUAAAAAUAUGUCAUCUAGGACUUAUGAAGUAGGAUGGUCAGUUUUUUGGGUAGUAUCUUUUUGGGAACAAUUAUGUAUUGUUGUGAACUUAAUGAUCAAUUCUUUGUAAAUUUUUAAAUUUUCUUUUAUGUAAGGUGAACUACAGUUGAACUGAUUUCCUUGGUGGAUAUGUAGGUGGCCCACAUAGGGACUCAGUCAUAUUAUUAUAGAAUUUCUACUUUCCUUUUGCAUGUAAUUGAAACUAUGUUCGACCUGAUUUCCUGACGGACACAGGAUACGUAGGUAGCCUACAUAAGGCUCGGUCUCUUUUUUAUGUUCUUAUUUCCCCCCCAAAAAUAUGAGAGAAGACAACUGGGGCAGAACCUUGGCAUGCAAUUAAUGUAUUGUCAUCAAAAUGUCUUAAAUAUUGGGACAGGAUUUUGGCAUGCAAGAUGAUGCAUCAUCGUUAUAAUUGUCUUUAGACGGAGGCAAAUUUUGGGAUACGUCAGAGUUAGCAAGUAUAAGGAUCAAGCUAGAGCCAAGCUUUGGUGUUCGACAUAAGUCAACCUUUCUUUUGAUCACUACUCCAAAUCAAUCGUUACUUUUUUUUUUACAUCUCAAGCAUUAGAGCCUACUAGCUAAGAAGUUCCUUAAUCCACUCGUUCCGCAACUAAGAUCAUCUCUUCUAGUCUAGACCUCUUACUUAGUCUCAUCACGGAUUAAUUUUUUCCUCAAAAUUAUUAUUAUUAUUAUUAUUAUAUCCAUUGCACAUGUAUUGACACUUCAUUUUAUGUUUAAAAUUUCAUUUUUAUUUAGAGAUUGCCUGGCAUUGAACAUUGCUUUGAUUGUGAAUUUGCAUUGAGGACGAUACGGUAAUGGCAGAUAGGUGUGAAUCAUUCAAUACCGGUGUGGAUUUAGUGGAAGUAGAAAAUGAUGAUGGCAAAAAGAAUGUGAUUCGAAGAAAUAUUUUGGUCAAUCUACCAAGUAUUUUUAGCCUUUUGUCUACCACUACCACGACUUUUAACUCAACCAAAAAUAUUUAUUUAACCAUAUCAUCUCACCCAACUCCUGCCUAUACGACCUCUCCGGAAAUGCCAUCAAUAUAUACUAGCAAUCUCAAAAAUUUACAGCUUACUAUGGUGCCAAAUAUCCAUUCUCCCACGGUUGUGCUUCCUUUCAAGGAAAAUAAGCAGGAGAAGCUAUCAGUCUGUCAAAAUGCAAAAUGUGGAAAGGAGAUUCAGUUAAUCCGCCACGAAAAUCUGGCCAAAGAGCUCUACAAUCUAAGAAAAGCACUUGAUGAAGAGUUACGUUUAAGAAAUUGGCAGAGUCUAAGGUAUGAAGACAUGUGUUUGCACCCGAAUGUUGAUCUUCCACUAGGGUAUAAGCUACCCAAAUUUAACACUUUCAGCGGGAAAGGAGAUCCUGUUGCACACUUAAAGGACUACUGUACUAGGUUAAUCAGAAUUAGGCAUGAUGAAGCCAUACGAAUGAGGCUAUUCAUUCAAAGUUUAUCAGGAUUGGCGCUAAAUUGUUAUACCAAGCAAGACUUUAGCAAAUGACGCACAUGGGAAGAUAUGGCUCGUGACUUUAUAAGGCAAUACGAAUUUAAUAAUAGAGGUGAUCUGCACAUGCUCAAAGUGAAGAAGAUGCCGCAUGAAUCCUUUCAAGAAUAUGCCAUGCGAUAGAGAUUAGAAGCUUCACAAAUACAACCUCCACUUCCUGAGGAUGAAUUGAUCUUAGCCUUCAUCCAAAUUCAAGAAGGCCUAUAUUAUGAUAAGUUGAUUGGAACUUGUGCACACAACUUCUUCAACUUGAUUCGGAUUGGCAAAGAGAUAGAAAGUGGCAUUCAAGAAGGAAAAUUUGUACAAGCAAUACAAGUUGUUCAUCAUAUUUUCCAACCGAAGACAUCGAAAAAUCUACAAGGCAUAACCAAUUCAGCUUUUGUACAUCAAUCGCAAUGCUAUCAAAGUCACCAAUUUUCACAAUCUCAUGCUUCUUCUGACCUUCACAACGUGUAUCUCCAGCCUCUUCGUCAACGAAAUCUUUAGAAUAGCUCCCAACAACAGUUUAUUCAUGUGCAAACCACCUUACAACCAUGGAAGAAGAUGAAACCUUUCUCUUUUGCUCCUUUAGAUGAGCCAUUGACAGAUAUAUUUGAGAGAUUGAGAAAUAAUGGACUUCUGUAACCCAAAAAGGGAUUCAUACCUAAGUAUCCAUCUUCAGAUUGAAUUUAUCUAAAAAUUCUGCUUAUCAUUCAAAUAUUCAAAGACAUGACACUGAAGAUUGUCUAGCACUAAGAUUCAAGAUUCAAAGUCUUAUUGAGAGUGACAAGAUAAAGUUGCAGCAAAAGCCUUCAAACAUCAAUGAUAAUGUUGCAAACAUGGAUAUAAUUUUUGUUAAGGGUGAUCCAUCGAAAUUGGCACCAAGACACUUGAAAAGAAAGCGUGCAACACGUCUAGAAGACUAACAAGGGCAUCAUUUUGCAACUUGAUAAUAUUAUUUUCCCUUUUCCUCCUUUAUGAGUAGCUACUAUUCUGUAAUUUGAGAAUAUCAAUCUCCCAUUUUGUUCCUUUAUGAGUAGCUACUAUUUUUGUAACUUAGUACCACGCUUCUUUUCUUCCUAUAUAAGAAGCUACUCUUUCACAAUCCUUUUCAGACUUUUAUAUGAACUAUGUUUGACCUGAUUCCUAUUAGCAACGGGAUACGUAGGCGCCUAUUCUGGGUUCGGUCAUAAUAUUAUAAAAAAAAAUCAUUUUCCCCCAUAACCAAAACUGGUACAAUUCUGCAUAUAACCUAUCACAAUUUUAGCAAAGCAGAUGUUUGAGAUCAUAGGCCACAUUCACAUCAUCAAAUAAUAGCACUGCCAUAACUAUAAGAAAUGCAAAUUCAAACUCAAAACUUUAUGGUUCAAUGCAAGGCGAUCAUUUUCUUUUAUACUAAUAAUUUUUCGUUGAGUAAUACAGAUGUUGAUUUUUGAGUAUCCUUGAAGGAUAAUACAUGUUAGCAAAGCAUGAAAGGUAAUGCAAACAUGAUGCAAAGUUAAUGUGAUUUAAAUUUCAGAACUUACAAUUCUCUUGGAGUGCAGGAACCCUCUUUGCAGCUAAGUUUGCCAAAGAGGACAAUCCUAAAUCAUGGGUAUCACGUUAUGAAUAUUCACUGAUGUGGCAUUGUAGCAUUAAUGUUUGCUAUAUCAAAAGCACUGCACGUAAAUUUUCACUACUGCAAAGGCACUACAUAGAGUUUCCACUAGAAAAAUGUAUUAGGCUCUCUGCACUGCAGUAGUAUUUGAAAGUUUGCAGUGCAUAUCGUGUUUGUCUGCCCUAAAAUAGGACAUAUGGGUUAGUCCAUCAUAAAAGGGACACAGUGGGUUUGUCCACCUUAAAAUAAGAUAUGUUGGGUCCAUCUACCCUAAAAUAGGAUAUAGUGGGUUAGUCUGCCCUCAAAUAAGACCUUUUUCAUGUUUGCCUUCAAUUUUACAUUUAUUCUUGAAUAAAUCGCAAUGCCUUAAUCAUUUAUUUACUUUUACCCUUAUUAUUGUUAUUAAUUAGUUAAGCAUUGAUGCUAUCCUUUAAAUUGUCUCAAAUUAUUAGAGAAAAUCGCACCGAGCUCUCUGCAUUGGAUUGAUAUUUUAAAGUUUGCAAUAUACUUUGGGUUCAUCCGCCCUAAAAUAGGACAUGUUGGGUUGGUCCACCCUAAAAUAGGACACGUUGGGUUCGUCCACCCUAAAAUAGGACACGUUGGGUUCAUCCAUCCUAAAAUAAGAUAUGUUGUGUUCGUCCACUCUAAAAUAGGAUAUAAUUGGGUUAGUCUGCCCUCCAAUAAGACAUUAUGCCUGUUUGCCUUUAAUUGAAUAUUUAUGUUCACAUGCCUUUGAUUGAAAAAAUCGCAAUGCAUUUAUCAUUUAUUUAUUUUAGUUAGAUAUGCACUCUAUGCUAUCUUUAGAAUCCCUUGAAAAAUCAAGUUUAAUUACUCAUUUGUCCUUUAUCAAGCAUUGUUUUUCAUUUCAAUUGGGUCCAUCCACCCUAAAAUAGGACAUAUUGGCAAUUUGGAUUCGUCCAUCCUAAAACAGGACAUAUUAGGACAAUAUGCCCUCUAAUAAGGAUUUUUAUGCAUACAUGUUUUCAAUUGAAUAUGUAUACUUACUUGCAUCUAAUUGAAUAUCUAGCAAUGCCUUAAUUAUUUAUUUGUUCAUUAUUAAGCAUUGAUUUUGCAAAUAUUUCUACUUAUAUUGAUGAAUUUUGCAAUCAUAGAAUUUGAAGUUGUUACUUCUAAAAAUACUACACGCUCGACCAAGCGCAUCUAGAGAACCGAUGGAUGUAUUUAUCUUAUGAUCUCUUUGCAAGAAUUUUAUUUAUAUAUUUUCUUGUUUUACAUUGUUUGCUAAAUUUUCUAUCAAGAUUUGGUAGGAAGUAGAAUUAUAUGCAGAAAGAGGAGACACAGCACAAUGUGGAACUUUAUCUUAGCAAUGAACUGGGGGAAUUUGUUGGAGAGUCAAGCUCACCAACAAUGGUCAAGGAUCUACUCUUGAAUCUUACUCAACCUACGUCUCACAUUUGGGACGCGUAGAAAUUUUACAUCAGCCUUUCAUUUUUUAAUUAACAAAAUCUUAAAUCCCGCAUGUUUUCCAUCUCUAGCCCCUCUUUUUUGUUUUCUUUAUCAACCUUGAUACCCAGUUUUACCGUAACUCGAUACUGGGAUAGUUUUUAAAAAAAGGGUAUCGCUCUUUAGCUAUGAAUUUACUUCAUUUCAUCCAAUCCCUCUAUUUUAUUAAUCCAUAGUUUCAAUUUCACUCUAAUCCCUUCACUCUUUAUCCUCCUAAAACUUUCAUUUUUACUUCACUUUAUUUUUUUAAUUUUAUUUUCUUACUUGUUCAAGCCUAACCUUUUGCCCAGCCGCCACUGUCAUUUUUAAAGACUUUGUGAGUGUUGUUUUAAAACCCACUAUAUUCUCCCUUUAUCAUAAUUCUUGAACUACCUAUGGCCUGAUUCUCAUGCAACUCGAGAUAUGUAGGCAACUUGGAGAUCGGAGUUUGACCACAAUCCUCCCCAACAUUCUUUACGUGUAUCCUUCUAGAUCCUGUAGACUAGGACAAAAUUAGGUUACUAGUCAACUUCUUUGUUCAGAAACUCCUUCAUCCUUUCCAACCAAAGAGGGACAACUAUUGACACCCAAUUUUGUCCCGCCUUUCUUUCAAGUCAUCUUUUUGUGCUUCUAAAUAAUUUUGAUAUAUUAAAAUUAAAAUAAUGAUAUAUAUGUGUAUGAUAUUCCUAUAAUUAGGAGUUCAUAAAAGUCUUGUAACUAUUUGUUUUUAAAACUAAGAAUCAACGAUAUUAUUAUUAUUAUUAUUAUUAUUAUUAUUAUUAUUAUUAUUAUUAUUAUUAUUAUCAGCUACUACCAUUUUGGUUAUAUUUUAGAUUAUCGUCGCAUUUUCUAAACUUUCACAAAAAAAGAAUUUUUUUUUGUUUAUCGAAUAAGUAUUUUGCAACUUUUUUUUCAUUAUAAAUUUCAUCGUUUUAUCGUGCAACUUUGUUUAAGUUAUUUAUAUUUUUUUUAGCAUAAAAUAAUUUUUGUCAUUUAUUCAGAUAUUUAUAAUAUGUUCUUGUUAAAAUUGUUAUUUAAUUUAAUUUAGAAAUCCCAAAGAAUAUAAGAAAGGAGGUAUUUUUAAAAUCAGCCCAUUUAUAACAUUCUUGAAAUUUGGCGCCCAAUUUCAAGAUUGACCCAUAAAGCCCAUCUUUCUCUUUCCUUUUCCAUCUCAUUGCCAUGUAGACGCCAUGUUUGCACCACACAAGGCACCAAAUAGUCAUAGCACACGCCAAAUACACGCUUGUUACACUCUCCCACACCCUUGCACACGCCUAGCAACCCCACCACGUGCCUUUUUCCUAUUGGCUAGUCAAACUCAAUUAAUUCUCAAGUAUAGCAUACUACCUAUUUUGUCCUCAAUUAUUAUGCUUAAGAUACCCAUAAUACCCUCAAGACCCCAAAAUUAGGCCUAAAUUUCCUCUCUCUUAUAUGCAAAAUACGGUUUUCCCUUUCUAAACAUAUCUCAACAUUUUUUUUUCUUCUUCUAGUAAAGUUGCAGACUCUUUUCUCCAUGGACAGAGCUUGCUUCUCUACUCUUAUAUGAUGGCCAUAUCAGCCACGUGAGGGACUAAAUCCAUCAAACUUCAUAGCUUCCAACUCCAAACAUGGUGGUUGAUUGGAAUUUGAAAUUGAAAACUCAAAGAUCCCGCCUAAACUUGAAGCCCUAAUGUUUCUAUAUAAAUAUUGGCGUUUGGGAUCCACAAGGGUUGUUUCUUUUUUUUGCCGCACCCCCCUGCAUAAAGUUAUUUUUUUGGCCACUUAUUCCCUCUUGAACCUCACUGCAUUAUAUUUUAUUAUCUCUCUCUUUGUCUCGGCCUUUCGGAUUUCGGCCUCAACGAAGUUUUUCACCAUCGAGCGCGUUCUGAGUUUGCCUGUCGCUUGAGUUCGAGCCUAGAUCAGUGGCCAAAGCACCCUAGUUCACUGCCCCGCAAAAGUUCGGAGCAAAUGGAGUUUUAAUUCAAGACUCUAGCUAAUCAAGUCUCAAAAUGAGACGACCUUACCUCUCCUCCGCAAAGACAUCAUAUUCUAUACUCUCAAGUCAAAUCCGCUAGCAAUUUAAAGCCUCUUUCUUUCUUUCAAUCUCUAUUUCCUUUGUAUACAUAUAUCUUAUUAUCUUCAUUACUUUAUUUUUGCACAUUGUUGUUUAGAAUUGGUGUUUUUGUUUGCUUAUGUUUGAAUUAGUAUAAGCUUAUUAAAAUGGAUGAUAAAUUUAUCUAUUAUCCUCCCCACCCUUGGAUUAGAUUGUAAUUUUAAACUAAUUACUUGGCUUAGGCGUAUGACUAGUAUAGUUGAAGAUUAAAAUUUGAUAGGAAAAAAUAUAUCUUUUAGAGUUUGAUGGCCUAAUUAUUAAAAAAUCUUUUUCCUUUAGAGUCAAAUUAGUUUUGACUAAUUAGUAACUUUGAUUUAAUCAAAUAUCGGUUUUGGUGGUAGGAAAAUUUAUUAUUGUUAGCUCGAUAGUCGGCUUUAUUUAUUUUGGAUGUAGUAAUUAAUUUUGUUUCACAUAAAAGAGGUCAACUAUGCCAAUUUGAUUUCAUGAGGCAUUCCUAGGAUUUUUAAAUGGCAAAAUUUAUUGUCACAAAAAAUAUGUCUUUUCUUGAUAAAAAAUAGAAUCUUAAGCCACUAGUAGAUUUAAGCAAUUAUAUAUCUUCAAAGCUAUCUUCCAAUAAUCUAUUUAGAAUGGUGUGUCUUAUUUUUUUCUUACUUGCACUUAUUUUAUAAAAUUGAUAAAGGAAGGGCAAAGGUUAUUUUUUUUAUAAAAUGUGCAACUUUUAUAACGUGACUAAUCUUUCGUUUAAACUAUUAGUUAGGAACCUUUGUAAAUCUCUUUUUCUAAAAAAUGAUUUGAAAUAACUUUCUUUUCUCACCAUCAAAUAAAAUAUAGUACCUUUUUCAAUUUGAUUCCAUGAAGUCUUUUCUUAAGAUUUCAAAUGGCAAAGAUAUUAGUUUAAAACAUAAUGAUUCAUUUAGUAUACGAUACUUAACCAUCUUAUUUACUUCUAUUUUGUGAAAGUUGAGCAAAAAUAAGUAAAUAGCAAAACAGUAAUUUUUUUUUUAAAUGUAAAAUGUGAAGUUAUUAAUAUAAUUAACCUUAUCAAUUAUUAAUUGAAAGCUUUUGUAGAGAAUUGACUUGAAAUAAUUAUUUUGUUAUUAUUAUCAUUAUUAUUAUUUUAUUUAUUUAUUUAUUUAUUUUGACAACACUAAGGUUGAAUAACUUUAGGAAUUAUUUUUUUUAUAAUUUUCAAAAGUGGGUAAGGAUAUAAAACUAUUUCUCUCUCUUCUGUUCCUCUCUAACUAACGUCUCCUUCAACGUCUCCUUUGACAUGACCGCGCCAUCUCCGGCAAAACAGAUGUCGGCGUAGUAAUAUCGCCGACGACAGGUAAGUAGACUACUCUCUCUCUCCCCCUGGUCUCUUUCUUCCCUCUUCUUCUUGCUCUACUGCUGGUUUGGUCUAUCACCGAUGUGUGGAUUUUUAUUGUUUCCACUCCGGUAAUGGAUAGAUAGGAAGAAGUGGCACCGACGACGGGAGAGAAUCAGAAAAAAAGAGUUAUAGACGAGGAAAAAGCAGAUCGGUCUGGGGUUGGUUCAGGCGAACUAAAUUGAUUACCGUCGGUGACCCUCCGAUGAAGUUUCAACGGCCAUUUUCUAUCUCAAAUUGCCAGAAUCCAGCAUAGUAAGUAGGAUUUGAGCUCUUGCUUUACGUAUCCCGGUGACUUCUAACCUCUGCACUUUAUUUUAUCGCACUUUACUGUAUAAUGCUUUAUCUGAUAUCUUCACUAUUUUUCUUUUGUGUGGGCUAAUUUGUUGCGGGCUGUCUGUUGCUAAUUGUGAUUGUUUUUUGUUCUUUGAGUGUGCCUUCUAUAGUUAUUGUUGUUUUAGCCUUCGCUAUGCUUUUGUUGAGUAGUGGCUUGGGUGACAUAUAAUGGAAUAGGGUUAUGUCUUGAGGGGAUAGGGGUGGGGUGGGGGGCUAGUACUGGGUUAGGUCGGAGAUGCCGAGUGUGAAGUAUUAGGAGAAAGGAUAUGCAAUUUUAUAGGUUGAGGGUAGGGUCGUGGAACAUAGGGACCCUUUAAGGAAAGUCGAUAGAACUGGUAAAGAUACUUAGGAAGAGAAAGAUUAAUAUUGCGUCUGUCUAGGAGACCAAGUGGGUAGGUUCUAAGGCUAGGAUGUAGAUGGGUACAAGUUGUGGUACUCAGGUAGUGAGAGGUGUAGGAAUAACGUAGGUAUCUUAGUGGACGAGGAGCUUAUGGAGCAGGUAGUGAAGGUUAAAAGGGUUAGUGAUAGGGUGAUGACUAUUAAGUUGGUCCUUGGGGAGUAUACUUUGAUUAUCUGUAGUGUGUAUGCACCACAAGUGGGCCUGGACGAGGAGAAGAAGAAGAGUUUUUAGGAGGUUUUAGAUGAGGUGGUUAGAGGCGUGCCUAGUUCGGAGAAGAUUUUCUUAGGAGGAGAUUUUAAUGGUCACAUCGGGUCAUUGCCGUUAGGGUAUGAUGAUAUGCAUGGAAGCUUUUGGUUUGGGGUUAGAAAUGAUGAGGGAGCUGUUUUUUUGGAUUUUGCAAGGGCCUUUGGGUUGGUGGUGGCGAAUUCCUACUUUCCGAAAAAAGAGAAGCAUCUGAUUACUUUCCGUAAUAGGUUAACCAAGACUCAGAUUGACUUUUUCCUGCUUAGAAAGGGGGAUAGAGCUUUGUGUAAGGAUUGUAAGGUAAUUCCGAGUAAGAAUCUGGUGACCCAGUAUAGACUCCUGGUGAUGGACUUGGUUAUCAAGAAGGGCAAGAAGAGGCGGGGUGGAAGGGGUCGACCUAGAGUUAGAUGGGGUGACCUGACUCUGAUUAGUGCUUUGAAAUAAGGGUAAAGUUGGAGGGGAUGGGGGUUUGAAAGUGUAGUGGGGACGUGGAUAAUAUGUGGGAUGGGGCUGCUGAUGCAUCAUAGAGUAUGCUGGAGAGGUGUUGGGUGUCUCGAGGGGCUGAUCUGGCUGGUAUUAGGGGGAUUGGUGGUGGAAUAAAGAUGUUAAGAAGAAGGUAGAGAUAAAGAAGAUGGCUUAUGCUAAGUAAAUUGAGAGUCAGGUUGAAGAGGAGAAGCGGGUGAGCAGGGAGAAGUACAAAUUAGCUAACAAGGAGGCUAAGUUAGCAGUUACGACUGCUAAAAUAGCACCUUUUGAGAGUCUGUAUAAGGGGUUAGAGGAGAACGGCGAGAAAAAAAGAUUAUUUAGGCUUGCCAAGGUUAGGGAGCGGAAGGGUAGGGAUCUGGACCAAGUGAAGUGUAUUAAGGGGGAGCAUGGCAGAGUAUUGGUGGAAGAUGCCCUCAUUAAGAAAAGAUGGCAGUCGUAUUUUCAAAGGCUCUUAAAUGAUAAGGGGUACAAAAGUGUUGAGUUAGGGGAGUUGGAGCACUCCGGGGAGUGUCGUAAUUUCAGCUAUUAUCAGCGUUUUAAGGUAAAGGAGGUCAGUGAGGCUAUUCGCAAGAUGCAAAAAGGUAGGAAAAUGAGGCUCGACGAGAUCCCAAUAGAUUUUUGGAAGUUUUCUGGCGGGGCAGGAUUGAGGUGGCUGCUCAACUUGUUUAACAAUAUUUUCAAGUCCGCAAAGAUGCCCCAGGCAUUUAGAUGGAACACGAUGAUCCCUUUAUAUAAGAAUAAGGGUGACAUUCAGAGUUGCAACAACUACUGGGUUAUAAAGUUGCUGAGACACAUGAUAAAGAUUUUGGAGAGGGUGUUGGAGCGAAGGUUGAGGAAGAUUGUGUCUAUUUUGGAGAAUUCAUUUGGUUUUAUGCCUGGUCACUCUACGACUGAGGCAACUCACCUGGUGCAGAGACUAGUUGAGCAAUAUAGAGAGAGGACGAGGGAUUUUCACAUAGUAUUUAUUGACUUGGAAAAGACGUAUGACAAGGUCUCUAGGGAGGUUCUUUGGAGAUGCUUGGAGACGAGGAGGGUUCCGGUGGCGUACAUCAGAGCGAUGAAAGACAUGUAUGAGGGGGCGAAGACGCAGGUAAGAACAGUGGGAAGAGAUUCUGAGCAUUUUCUGGUCUUGACAGGGUUGCACUAGGGAUCAACUCUUAGUCAAUUUUUAUUCGCCUUGGUGAUGGAUGUGUUGACGCAAAGUAUACAAGGCGAGGUGCCAUGGUAUGUGCUUUUUGCGGAUGAUGUAGUUUUGAUUAAUGAGUCGCGUCAAGGUGUUAAUGAUAAGUUGGAUAUUUGGAGACAAACCCUGGAGUCUAAAAGGUUCCGGUUGAGUAAAACCAAGAUAGAGUACUUGGAGGUGCAAGUUUAGUGACUCAAAGCAGGAGGAGGAGGUGGUAGUGAAGUUGGAUUCCCAGGCAGUUUGCAAGAGGGAAAGUUUUGAGUACCUUGGGUCUACGAUUCAGGGGAAUAGAGAGAUAGAUGAGGAUGUAUCUCAUCGUAUUGGGCAGGUUGGAUGCAAUGAAGGCUAGCUUCAGGAAUCUUAUGCGAUAAGAAGGUGCCCCAUAAGCUGAAAGACAAAUUCUAUAGAGUUGCAGUCCGUCCAGCUAUGCUUUAUGGAUAGGAGUGUUGGCCGGUUAAGAAUUCUCAUAUCCAAAAGUUGAAGGUGGCAGAAAUGAGGAUGUUCCAUUGGAUGUGCGGAUUUACUAGGGCUGACAGAGUUAGGAAUGAGAUUAUUCGAGAGAAGGUGGGAGUGGUGUCGGUGGAGGAUAAAAUGCAAAAAGUGAGGUUAAGAUGGUUUGGUCAUGUGAUGAGGAGGGGCACAUAUGCCCCGGUUCGUAGGUGUGAGGGGUUGGCCUUGGAUGGUUUCAAGCGGGGCAAGGGUAGACCGAAGAGAUACUAGAGGGAAGUGAUUAAACGUGACUUAGAGCGAUUAUAACUAACUGAGGACAUGACCCUGGAUAGGAAGGUAUGGAGGAAUAACAUUAGGGUAGAGGGCUAAGGUGGGUGGAUGAGUUGUAGUUAGUAGGUAGGAGGGCCUUGGUGUCCUUUGUUUGGCAAUGUACAAUUUUGUGUGGAUAUCGUACCUAUGUUAUUUUUAUCGUGUUCCAUGCUUUUGAUGUUUUAUAUACUGUCAUUUGUCUUGAGCCGGGUGUUUAUCAGAAAUAGCCUCUCUACCUCUUUAGAGGUAGUGGUAUGGAUUGAGUACAUUCUACCCUCCUCGGAUCCCACGAUGUGGGAAUUUACUAGGUUUCUUGUUGUUAUUGUUGUUCAAAAGUGGGUGAGCCUUUCUGAAGUUUUUCUAACCUUUUCUUUUAAAUAAUUAACUUGUUUUGUUCUAAUAAGACAAAUAUAUUUUUAACACUUUAUUUAUAUCUUUUUUAACGUAGCUUUUGAUUUCUUUAUUUGACCUAAGUUUGGCUGGUUAACCAUAGUUAGCGGAUCCUUUAGGAUGCCUAAUCCCUUCCCUUUAGGAUAAUUAGAAUCCUUACCUAGAAUGUUAAGUUGCGUAGACCUUAAAAUAAAGUCUUUUAAUUUCCUUAAUCACAAAGGUUUAUAAUAGGUCUCCUAAUUCACCAUAGAAUUAAUUAGGUGGCGACUUUCUUAAUUCAAUCAGAAGUUUUCCAAUAUGUUGUACACCAGUUUGAACCGUGUUAAAAUGGGGUAUAACAGAGCUGCUCUGUUGGAUUUUGCGAGGGCCUUUGGGAUAGUAGUAGAGAAUUCGAGCUUUCCAAAAAAAGAGGAUCACCUGAUUACCUUUUGAAACUUGAUAACUAAGACUUAAAUUGACUUUUUACUGCUUAGGAAAGGGGAUAAGGUGUUGUGUAAGGGUUGUAAGGUCAUUCCGAGUGAAAAUCUUUCAACCCAGCAUGAGCUUCUGGUGUUGGACUUGGGUAUAAAGAAGGAUAAGAAGAGAAGGGGUAGGGAGGGUCGAUUCAGAAUAAAGUAGGGUAGUUUAACGCUAGUAAAUGCACUAGAGAUAGGGGAAAAAGUGGCAAUAAUGGGGGUAUGGAAGUGUAGGGAGGACGUGGAUAGUCUAUGGGAUAGGGCUGCUAGUUAUAUCAAAGAAACUGCUAAAGAGGUAUUGGGUGUCUCGAGGGUCCAGGCUGGAAAACAUCGGUGGGACUGGUGGUGUAAUGAAGAAGUGAAGAAGAAAGUGAAAACUAAGAAGGGGGCAUAUUCUAAGUUGGUUGAGAGUAAAGAUGAAAUGGAGAAAUAGGUGAAUAGGGAAGAGUGUAAGUUAACUAGGAAAGAGGCUAAGUUAGCAGUUACGACUGCUAAGAUGGCAAUAUUUGAGAGCUUGUAUCCGGGGUUAGAGGAGAGAGAGGGGAAAAGAGGUUGUAUAGACUUGCUAAGGCUAGGAAGCGGAAAGGUUGUGACCUCGAUCAAGUGAAGUGCAUUAAGGGAGGAUGGUUGAGUAUUGGUGAGGACUUUCACAUUAAGAGAAAAUGAUAGUCAUAUUUUCAUAGACUCUUGAAUGAUGGGGGGAGAGGAGAGGGACAUAGACAUUAUGUUAGGAGAGCUGGAGCACUCAAAGGAGGGUCGUGAUUUCAGUUAUUAUAGAAGUUUUAAGGUGGAUGAGGUCAGAAAGGCUAUUCGAAGGAUGCGAAGGGGUAGGGCGACGAGGACUAAUGAGAUUCCAGUGGAUUUUUGGAAGUUUACUGACGGGUCUGGUUUAAUAUGGUUGAUUGAAUUAUUUAAUGAUAUUUUCAACACUGCAAAAAUACCCGAGGUGUGGAAUGGAGUAUGAUGAUUUCUUUAUAUAAGAAUAAGGGUGACAUCUAGAGUUGCAACAAUUAUAGGGGUAUUAAGUUAUUGAGUCACACUAUGAAGAUUUAGGAGAGAGUGGUCGAGCAGAGGUUGAGGAGGAUAAUGUCUAUUUCAGAGAAUCAGUUUGGAUUUAUGCUCGAUCGUUCGAUGAUGGAGGCAAUUCACCUGGUGCGGAGACUGGUGGAGCAGUAUAAGGAAAGGAAGAAGGACUUACAUAUGGUGUUCAUCGACUUGGAGAAAGCGUACGACAAAGUUUAUAAGGAGGUUCUUUGGAGAUACUUGGAGGUGAGUAGGGUCUCGAUGGCGUACAUCAAAUAGAUUAAGGACAUGUAUGAUGGAGCAAAGACUCGGGUGAGGAUGGCGGGAGGAGACUCACAACAUUUCUCGAUCUUGAUAGGGUUACAUCAGGGAUCGACUCUUAGCUCAUUUUUGUUUGUGUUGGUGAUAGAUGUGUUGACCCGGUAUAUUCAAGGAGAGGUACCUUGCUGUAUGCUUUUUGCAUAUGAUGUUGUUUUGAUUUAUGAGAUGGGGGUAGGGGUGAUAAAUUAGAGGUUUGGAGAUAAACCCUUAAGUCUAAAGGGUUCAAGUUGAGUAAGAUCAAGACAGAGUAUAUGGAAUGCAAGUUUAAUAACUUGAGGCAGGAGAAUAAGGAGGUAGUAAGAUUGGAUUCCCAGGUUGUUUGUAAGAGGAAUAGUUUUAAGUAUCUCGGGUCCAUGAUUUAAGGGAAUGGAGAGAUUGAAGAAGAUGUAUCCCACCGUAUUGGGGCAAGAUGGAUGAAGUGAAGGUUAGCCUCAGGAGUGUUGUUCGAUAAUAAGGUACCGCUCAAGCUUAAAGGCAAAUUCUACAAAGUGGCAGUCCAUCCGGCCAUGCUGUAUGAAGCGGAGUAUUGUCCAGUCAAGAACUCCCACGACUAUGGUUAUGGCAUUUUUUGAUUUAAGAUAGAGAGAGAAGAGGAGGAUGAGAAGGAGAAGGGAGGGGUGGAUCAUUGUUGUUGUCUUGGGAAGGGGGAAAAGACCGCUCAAUGGAGCUACUGAAGAGACGUGAGAAAAAGUUUUUUCUUUUUUGGGGAAAAAACAUGUCUUCAUACUAACAUUGUUGGACUAAGACAAGGAAUCAUCUCAAAUAUAAAAGAAAUAAAUAAACAUAUAAAUAUACAUAUAUAAAUAUGAUGAAAUAUGGUCUUUUGGAUUAAAAAUAUUUAAAGGCUGAGAUAAUUUGGUAUUUGUUGGGUGAUUUUUGUGUUUCUUUGUUGAUGUGGCAGCACAAUUGGUGGAUAUGGGGUGGAGUGGAUUGAUGAAGUGGAUGUGGAUAUUGGAUCAGGUUUUGGGCCAAUUUUUUGCUGGCUGAAAUUUUAUGGGUAAGAGUAAAUGAAAAUUGCAUUUGAGUUAUUGUUGGCCUAAAUACUCUUUUUCAACCGAAAUUAAUUUUAUCGAUGCUUCUUACUAUCGUAAAAAUUAUUUUUAGGUACACACGUAUAUAAAUUAUAGAUAUAAUUUUGUAUACGCAUCCGAUUUAAUAAUUUUAUAAUUUUAUAUUUGUAAUAUUAACAAAAUAUGUACACACACGCAUAUAUCUAUAUAAUAAGAAUUAAAUAAAAAUAUAUGUAUAUAUACAUACAAUAAGAAUAAGCAUAUUAUAUUAAUAAGCAUGUAUAUAUGUCAUAAUAUAAUAAUAAUAAUAAUAAUAAUAAUAAUAAUAAUAAUAAUAAAAACAACAACAACAACAACAACAACAACAACAACAACAAGAAUAAUAAUAAUAAUAAUAAUAAUAUAUAUAAGGAUUUUAUUACAAGAAUAUAUAUGUAGUCACAAAGUAUCAUUUGAAAAAUAGAUAUACUAAAAUGAAAUUAGGAAAAAAGAAUACGAAUGCGAUUAUCAAAAUAUAUUAUGUGAUUUUGAUGUUAAUCAUUUGAAAAAUAGAUAUACUAAAAUGAAAUUAGGAAAAAAAGAAUACGAAUGCGAUUAUCAAAAUAUAUUAUGUGAUUUUGAUGUUAAAAUAAUUUUUUAUUUUAAGUUAAAAUAUUUAAAAUAUGAUAGGAAAAAGUGAAUCCUUUGUUUUUUUUAAUCUUUCAAAAUUCAUAGGAAUUAAGAUACAAAUUUAUUUUUAAGAAAUUAUAUAGGGCAAGAAGCAUAAAAAAUACAAUUAAAGAAAAAAGAGUGAGCUAAAAUUGGGUGUCAACAGUUGUCCCGGAUUGAACGAAGAUUAGUGUGACAAUCUAUGGGUAAUCAUGUUGACGUAACCAAUUUUGUCUCGGGCGAAAUAUAAAUUUUGAAAUAUUAUGGCCGGACUCUCUGAUUUAGAUAAAUUUUGAAAGAUUAUGGCUGGACUCUGAUUUUUGAGCUGCCUGCAUAUCUCGUGUUUCAUGAGAAAUCAUGCUCUUUGUAGUUCGAAUUAUAACAAAUUUUGUUUAAUCUCAAAAUUUGCCAUAGUGUAGGAUUGUGGUGACACUGGGUUCCUUUGAGGGUGACUGAGAAAGUUUUAACACGAAUAGAAUUAUGGCUACGCUUAUCCCUGAGUUUGUUGCUUGGAAUAACUGGGAAUGAGAAAACGUUAGAUAGCAAUAUAUGCUGAGAAUUUUGAGAGAAAAGGGAUUACAAAUUUUUAAAAACUGACCCAAUGUCGAAUUAAGACGGUACUGAACUGUGACAUUUAGAGAAAAUGGGCUGAUUGAGUCGAGUUGAGUUGAGUUUCUUUGCCGGAAUCCUUGAUGUAGCUAGGGAUACUUGACAUUUCGCUAGCUUGCCCCAGUUUACUACUAAGAGGGUAGUUCCACGUUGUAGUGCAUUGUUUUGCAAAAACAGGUAAAAAGAGUGAAAAGUACCUGUUGUUGUUCAAAAAUUGUAAAAAUUGAAAUUAUAAUGUAAAGAGUAGAGUGUAGAUAUUCAAACUAGUAUUGUAGUCUCCAUCUGUGGAAGCCUCCAAUAGGCGGGGCAAUUACUGAAAUAUUAAAAGCCUUUGUCGGUAGAGUAGAUAUUAUAGAAUAAAGCCAUUCGACUGGAGAGCAAUUAUAGAAUAAGCCAUCCCAUUGGAGAAAAAUUGUGAAGAAUUAAAGCCAUCCAACUAGUGGGUAGUUGUUGAGAAAUAAAUGUCAUACGACUGUCAGACAGUAGUUGAAGAGUACAACCUCUGACUGGCGGGGUAGUUGCUUAAAAGUAGAAGCCUCGUUCUAGCAUAGUGAUCUUUAAUCCAAACUUGAUGAUGAUAUUGCUAUAGGAUUCUAUGCUACUGUGAUUAUGAUUUUUGUUGCCACGGUAGUGGAUUUGGAUGCAUUUGCUGUGAUAGUGUACUUUCUGGCAUUCUUAUUAUAGUGUGAAUCUCUGAUUGGUAGCCUGUGCUCUAUUUGCUGAAAUGCGAUUCAUCGAUAUGGCAGAAAGUUUCUUUACUUAUAUGCAUUCUUCGAUUUGUAGUGGGGUGUCCCCCUUGCUGGUACACAACUUUCGAUAUGGAGGAGAGUCUAUUGCUCAUUCGCAUCCUCUGAUAUGGCAGAGGAUCGCUUUGUUUGCUUAUGUACUGUUGACACCUAAAUUUUGCCCUCCAUGACUAAAUUUAAUCCUGGAUUUUUUCAACUUUAAAUAAAAGUGAAAUAUUUAUUUCGUCCGGAUAAAUGUGCUCUAAAAUAUUUAUUUAAGUUAAUUUUGCCAUUUAAGUGACGAUUAUACAUUUUUCAUAUUCAUAUAUGCGAGAUUGUAUAAAUUAUGUUACUUGAAUGAAUAUUUUUAUCAAAGUUUGAGCUUUUACGGAGAUAAGUUUGAAAAUUAAUUCGAAUGGAUAAAAUUCUUGAUUUAAAUAUAAUUUACUCUCAAAAAUAAUUUAUUUGAAUGAAUAUAUGUUUGAUUUUAUUAAAUAAAGAAGCUCAGGAUUAAAAUAAAGUAUUAAUUCGUAUCGACUUUCAAUUUAAUUUAGCUAAUCUAUUAGAUUUGGCCAUAAUUGAAAUCAAAUUGGCCAUAAUUGUAAUGCAAUCCGUCAAUUGAUUUUUAAUUUGGUCAAAAUUAAAUAACUAUGACUAAAUUUUAAAUCCCAAUUGGGAUUAUAUUUUAAAUAACCCCAAAAUUUCCAAAAACUCUCAUAACUUCUACACAAUUCCCACCAAAAAUAACUUCAAAUCUCAAAAUUCAAAUUUGAAAUUCAAAAUUUGUACUAGAUUGUACAAUUCCCCCUCAAAGUUUUUUUUUUAAUUUUUAAAAUUAAAAAAUUGUACUACAUUAUACAAUUUCCCCCACCUUAUCUUCCACCUCAGCUUAUCUUAAAUUUUAAAAUUUUGAAAACACUCUUAAAUAUUUUUCUCCCACAUUAGUGGAUAAAAAAAAGAGAAUCACCAUCCUUUCUUAUAAAUACUACCACUAUUUUGGUAGAAAACCAAGUCUUAAGGUUGGAAAAAAAAAACUUUGAGCAAAGAAGUUUUUUUUUUUCUUUUAGUAAUUUUUUUUUUGUGAAAUUCUGGGCUAAUUGAAGUUCUCAAGUUGAACGCUUUCCGGUGGUGAUAAAGAUUCCGAAGAAAGCUUGUAGUUCCGUUUUGAUGCCCCAAAAAAGAUAAACUCACCUUUCUCCCUUUUUUUAUCAUUUUAUUUUUUUCAUUUUUUCUUCUUCGUAGUUCGUAGUUGUAAUUUUUUAGUUUCAUUAUCAUUUUCUUCUUCAUCUUUUUUUAUUCUUCGUAGUUUGUAGUUGUAAUUUUUAUUAGCUUUAUUAUUAUUUUCUUCUUCAUAGUUCGUAGUUGUAUUUUUAUUUGAUGGGAUUAUUUUUUGUAGACGGCCUUGAAGGCCAUAGGAUGUUAUGGUAUCGAUAUUAUGGCUAUUUUAAUAUUCAUGGUAUAAAAAAUGAACUAGCAGUAGUUGAACGUAUUAUUACUUUUAUUCUUUGAUUAAUAUGGGUAAAGUUUUGAUCUUUGCUUAAAAUGCAUGCUCAUACUUUGUUUAAAUUCGUUAUUGGUGGAUAUGUUUGCUUGUAGUAUGUAAAGUUGUUUCCUUUAUCUCGAAAAGAAAUGGUUUUUAUUAUUAAAUGUCUGUGAAAUUGUUUCUCAAUUUGAAGUAGUGAGUUACUCAUUUUCGUGGUCAAAAUAGUCUUUGAUUUUCUCUUGUUUAGAUUGAAAAGUUAUUAGGUGAUAGUUUUUGUUGAAAUGGUGUAGAACUAAAAUAGGAGUUGUCACACUUUUUCUUAGAAUUAAUCUUUUACUAUUUCUCCCAUCCUAUCUUCGAAUAUUAUCUCUCAAAUAUGUUUAAUAUAUGUUAUUUACUUCACUUCGAUUAUUGGUUUACUUCUUAAAGUGUUUUUAUUCAUUUAGACGUCUCAUUGUUAUUCACAUGCUAUAGUGAUUUUUUUUCUAAGUUAUAGAUAUGUUGAUUGAUCCACUUUAUAUUAAAAAGUGUUGUUGCAUUAGUAUGUCUUUUAUUUAAUAUUUGAAGUGCUAUUUCCUCAUCUCUUGGUCAUUCUCCUCUUUUCUUUGUUUAAUGAAAACAUGCCUUAAACUUCCUCAUAGUAUUUGGAGCAAAUAUGUGUUAAUCUAUUUGUCCAAAUUUUAAGCAACUAUGUUUGUGGAUUCAUGUCUUUCUUUCAAGAGCUAGUUAAUUAUAUUGUGCUAGAUUCAAUUUUUUGUAAGAUUGUUUACGAGAUGAAAUAAUUUUAUUUUCGUUGGAUAAUUUGGUUUGCUUUGAUAUCAUAGCCUGCUAUUCUUUUUUUUUUUCAUCUCAUCAUUUAUCUAUUAAUUUUAGAAUUUUCCAACAUAUAUUAAUUAUUUUUCUUUUAUCUUUUCCUUUGCAUGAAUCUGUUUGGGAGUCCAAAUGGACUCCUUUCCUCUUGCAUUCGUAAUGGUCCAAUGAGGCUCAUCUCUCCGAAUCAAGUUCGAAGUUUUAAACCCAAAGUCGAUUAUAUGGCGUGCGUGUGCAAGAAGAUGAAAGAAGAAAGAAAAUGGGUGAAAACCCAUUGAUGAGGUUACUAAGAGAUUUGAAAAGUCUCGAUUUUUAUUAUUGCUUUAUUUUUAUUUAUUCAUUUAGUGAUUUAUCUGUUCGUUCAUUUGGGCCUCAAAGCCAAAGUUGUAAUUCAAUACAGGUGAAACAGAUUUUGAGUCUCAGAGGUCCGAAAACUAGCUUAGGACAGGUUAUGAGCCAAAAGUCCAAGUAUUUAGAUUAAGACAGGUGAAGAUUAGUCAAAGGCCCCAAUUAGCUUAGGACAGGUUUAUGAUUUGGACCUAAUGACCUAAGUCCUUUAGUCUCCCCCUUUCCCCUUUAUAUGCUAAUUUUUCUUAGUUUUCUUAGGCUUAGUUAAAAUCCCCGCUAAGUCGUCAAAAAUUGUUUUGCACAAAUCUUGAAGACAAUUUUCCUUAAUCAUUUUCUUUUCAAAAAUCAAUUUUCUUUUUUAAAGUUAGUCAAAAAGUUAUUUUCAAAUAGCCCGGAUAACCGCAAGUUAGCAGGAUACUCUUGAUGCCUUAACAACCUUUCAAGAGUAUUAAUAGGAACCACUUACUCAGAAUUUCUAAACUUAAAAAUUUUUCUGUUUUGAAUCUUUUAAGUAACAUUUUUAGUUUUUCUUGAUAUCUUCUCAAAAAUAAAGUGGCGACUCUGUAGUUUUCUAAGUUAUUUCAAACUUUUCUUUUAAGGUUUCAAAAUAGUUUAAAAAUUCAAAAUUAAGAUUUUUCAAACCCUUUUGAAUCGAAAAGGGACCAAAACAGAAAUGAUGACUCUGCUGGGGAUUCUAACUAGGUUCGAACCAAAUAUUUGAAUUAGCUUCUUUUGGCUAAUUGUCAUAUUGUUUAAACUUUUUAUGUGUUUUAAUUCUGCGAAAAUUAAACUGUUGCAUUUCAUGACAUGCUUCCCAUUUGAAAUAUGUAAAUUGUUUGGGGUUCGUGGAUGUCACGACCUCUAUUGUUCAAUUCCAAAUUAACUGUUGGGAAUAUGAUGGUUUAUUAGCACGUGAGGUGUCUGAUGGUUAUUCGUAUUUUUAAACUCAAGUCGUUCGCUUGGGAACCUAGUUCAAACCCACUCUAGACACUCAGGAUAAAGCUAAAUCAAAACCCUAAUUUAGGCAUGAGCCUAGGAUGACUCAACACCCGAAGGGGUAUUGGGCCCAUUAGAAAAUCUGUCUUACGUCUAUUUGACCAUGAAUUAUAACAGACAAUAAUUCUUUAUGUGUUAAAUUGAAGGAUAUAAUAUCGGAUUAUACAAACCAUUGUCCCUUGGGUUUGAGGGUUUUAUUCAGAUAGUUUUGUUUAAAAGAAGGUCUUCACCGGAAGGAUAUGCAGACGUUUCAAGAAGUUCAAAGAUAGAGGGUCUUCCAAGGAGGCUUAGUUUAGAUUUUCUCCCCCGCGUGGGAUUGAUAUCAUGUAUUCUCCCUUUCCCUCAUUUUGUAUCCCCAUUUGAUUUAUUUAUGAAAUUUAUAUAAUAUUUUGGGGACAAUGGAACAUCUUACAAACGGCAUAUAUAUCCUUCAAACGUUAGGCUUAUCUUUGGCUUGAAAGGUCCUAAGUAUGUCAGGAUGCGUUAAAAAUUAUUUAUGUGCUUUGACUAUGUUUGUUUGAUUUGUAUCAUUACUUUGGUUAAUUAUCACAAUUUAUGAACUAACACUUUACUUUGUGAGUAUUUUUUCUUUUUUAGAGAGAGACUGAUUUGUGCUGGUAAUCAAACUUGCUUGCUUCACGAAGACUAAAAUCAAAGUAAUCAUUGGCGCCAUCAGUCGCAAAGAAGAAUGGAAAUUCCUAAAUGGCUCAAUCUUACAUUUUGGAGUUAUUGUUUUAUUUUCUUGUAGUUACACUUUGUCAUUUCCUUGUAAUCAUACUUUUUAGUUAUAAUGAACUACGUUCAACCUGAUUUACCUAAUGGAAUACGUAGGCAACCUGUGUUGGCUUCGGUCACAUUAUAAAAAAUAUUAAAUCUAUCUUUUUAUUUUAUACGAACUACGUUUGACCUGAAUUUCUAAGAAUGGAAUACUUAGGCGGCCUAUGUGGGCUUCGGUCAAUCUCUUAGAAAAAUUAUUUUUUUGUAGAACUACGUUUGGUAUGAUUUCUACCUCAAUAGAAUAUGUGAGCACCACACUAGCUCGAUCAUAUUCUCCACAAGAUUUUGUUUAAGAGAAUUUUUUUCUAGUUACAUGAAGAUGACGUUGAAGCGUGUAACUGGGGCAGAAAUUUUUUAGAAGAUCUAAAAAAUUUCACAAGAACUUGACAUUUGCUACAAAGUUAAACAUCAGACGUUGCUGAAGCUGAAUCAGUGCAUAAUUUUGAGAAGUUGUAAAAUUUCAAGUUAUACUACACCAGAAAGGACUCGAGUAUUUUGCAUUCUAGAUUGGGGCAGAAUUUUUGAGAAGAUCUCAAAAAUUCUAUACUAAAUGAUGUCAUAAGUUACAAAGAAGUUUGAGAGUUUCUAAACUGGGGCAUAAUUUUUGAGGGAUAUCCUAAAAAAUUCCUCAAAGACUGCACUUACCCUUCAAAUCGAUGAUGAACAAGGAGCAUCAGAAGAGCAAGGAAAAACCAACACAAUCAGUCUCUCAAAACUAAGAAUUUUUCUUUGGAUGCAGGAACAAUGAAUUCAUAGCAUCGACAAUGUUAAGCUUGAUAAAAGGGUAUUUUCAGAUUCACUAUAGCCUUGCCAUAAUAAUCCAAACAACUUUUCUUCUCCCUUUUCAUCUUGAUUUAUGUUUCUAUUACUUCACUAUCUUUAACACUUUCUCUAAUUUUGUAGGGNNNNNNNNNNUAGGGAAAUGACCGAGCAAAAUGAUUAAGAUAUGGGGAUAUCACUCAAAACACUAUCUCCACAUCAUCAUGAGUCAAACGACUUUAUCUCUAAACUCUAUCUUUUAUUACAUUCCUGGAUUAGUUACAACAAAUUAUUGUGUUACUAAUGAGUGUUGUUUGAGUUAUGCGGGUGACAUUAUGUAACACCACCUCGAAUUGUCACCCCACUCGAGGUGAUGUAUCUCAUUAUAUCUGGGCCAUCCACCCUUUCAAGAGGACGUAAUGGAUUAUCACCCUAACUUAUCAUAUUUUGGGUCAUCCACCAUUUCAAGAGGACAUUCCCAAUCAUCAUUUUUUUUAGGUGACACAUCUUAUUAUAUUUGGGACAUCCCUCUUUCAAAAGGAAGCAUCUUAUUAUAUUUGAAUCUUCCACCCUUUAAGAGGUGCAUCAGAUCAUCUCUUUAUAUGAGACAACAUGUUAUUAAGUUUGAAUUGUCAUCUCCUUUAGAGCGACAUGUUAUUAUGUUAUGGAUGGUCACCUCCAUCGACAUGACACACUAUCACGUUUGGAUCGUCACCUCCUUCAGAGUGACAUGUUAUUAUGUUAUGGACCGUCAUCUCCUUCAGUGUGACAUGUUAUUAUGUUAUGGAUCAUCACCUCUUUCAGAGUGAGAUUUAAUUAUUUUAUAGAUCAUCACCUUCCUCAGAGUGACAUGUUAUUAUGCUAUGAAUUGUCAUCUCUUUUAGCAUGACAUAUCAUUAUGUUAUAGGUCGUCACCUCUUUCAGCGUGACAUCUUAUUAAGUUAUGGACCGACACCUCUUCAGCUUGACAUGUUAUCAUGUUAUGAAAUGUUACCUCCUUCAGAGUGGCAUAUUAUUAUGGACUGUCACCUCCUUCAGCAUAAUAUGUUAUCAUGUUAUGGAAUGUUACCUCCUUCAGAGUAACAUGUUAUUAUGUAAUAAACUGUCACCUCCCUCAGAAUGACAUAUUAUUAUGUUAUUAAUCGUCACCUCCUUUAGAGUGACAUAUUAUUAUGUUUUUAGAUUGUCACUUUCUCUAGGGUGACACGUAAUUAUAUGGAUUGGAAUCUCCUUCAACAUAAUAUGUUACUACAUUAUGAAUUUUCACCUCCUUCAGUAUGGCAGACUAAAGCAAGGUAUGCAUGAUUUCCCUCAUGUUGCAUUUGAUACUAAUAAGUUUAGUGCAGGUGAUUAAUAGAUAGGUUGGAUUGUCACUCCAUUCAAAGUGGCAUGUUAUAUUUAAAUUAGGUCGUCCGCCCUUCAAUGAGACACGUUGGACCGUCACUCGUUCAAAGGGGAAUGUUACAUUUAAAUUGGGUCAUCCGCCCUUCAAUAAGACAUGUUGGAUCGUCUCUCCAUUUAAAGUGGCAGGUUAUAUUUAAAUUGGACCGUCCUCUCUUCAAUGAGACACGUUGGACCGUCACUUCGUUCAAAGUGGCAUAUUGUAUUUAAAUUGGGUCGUCCGCCCUUCAAUGAGACACGUUGGAUCGUCACUCCGUUCAAAGUGGCACGUUACAUUUGAAUUGGGUCGUCCUCCUUUUAAUGAGAUACGCCGGACUGUCACGCUGUUCAAAGUGGCACGUUACAUUUAAAUUGGGUCAUUCGCCCUUCAAUAAGACACAUUGGAUCUUCACGCCAUUCAAAGUGACAUGUUACAUUUAAAUUGGGUCGUUCGCUCUUCAAUUAGACAUAUUGGACCGUCACUCCAUUCAAAGUGGCACAAUAUUUUUAGAAUAGGUUGUGCAACUUGGUUCAUUAACUAUCUCAGCAUAGCAUAAUCAAACAGGUUUUCACUAAUUUAGGUUUUCACUAAUUUACAUUUGUGUAAUGCUAUAUUUACAACUAAUCAUUUGUGUGAGUUGUUGUCGAGAGCAUCCAAAAGGAUGAAAUUCUCAAAUCAAAACCACAGGUGUGGAGGACUUCAGAAAGGAUGCAACACAACGUGGAACUUUUUCUUACCAGCAAAAUAGGACGUAGUCUAGAGAGGGAUGUCAAACUCUUUAGACGGGAGCUAAAGGAUGAUUGUUACCACCCUCAAACUACACCCCUGUCAGAAGGCAUGUGGGUACCUUGGGAUAUUCUGGUUUCAGCUUAACCUUCAGGAUAUUUCUACACUCAUACCGAGGGUAACCUUCUCUUUUAGAAAAACAAGAAAAGAAAGAGACAAAGCACUGAAUAAGAAAACGUUAAAGCAUUAUAAAGAACAAGUGUACAUAGUGAGAAGGACCAGUAGGUUAGGGUCCAGGAGAUGGCUUCUGGUGCCGGUAGUUUGAUACGAGCCAUGGAUGAAAAGAGGGAUAGUGACACUAGAGCUGUGGAAAUUAUGCUCAAAUAAAUUCUUAUCAAUGGAUGCGAAGGAUCUUACAUUCAUGGUUAAGAGGUUACAAGCCCAUUUUUCAUAACUCGAACGACUUGACACUCAUUUUGAGCCAAAGAUUAUCUAAAAUAAAAGACUAUCUUUUCUACCAAUCGAGUCAAACUACAAGCAGUCUGAUUCUCUGAGUAUCAGGGAUAUGUAGGCUGGACUCUUUGUUGAAAACUCGACUGCAUUCCAACCUUCCCCCCUAUUUUGCUUAUUCCUUAGCUUUUUGAUUUUACUAAAACUCGAAAACCAACCUCUCUUAAAAUGAAUUUGUGGUCGGACAUAAAUUAAGAACGUCAAACUCCCAUUACCCAGGGUUACUUGCAUCCACCCUACCCAAAGGGAGAGGGCAGUUGGAUGCACUGGGGACAUUUCAUGGGAUUUUGUUGGGGGCGGAGGUAUACCAUAAUCACCAUGAGUUAUGGUUGCCCUAUUUCAAAACCCGUUGGCCACAGUAUGAAUGAUGAAUUGGCAUAUGUAUGUGUGUUUGACUGCUUUAAAUAAAAGUGAAAUAUCUAUUUCAACCAAAUAAAUGCGCUCUAAAAUAUUUAUUUAGGUUAAAUUUGUCAUUUAAGUGGCGAUUAUACAUUUUUUAGUAUUCACAUCUAUGAGAUUGUAUAAAUUUUGUUACUUGAAUAAAUAUUUUUAUCAAAGUUUAAACUUUUAUGGAGAUAAACUUGAAAAUUAAUUUCGCAUGGAUAAAGUUCUUGGUUUAAAUAUAAUUUACUCUAAAAAACAAUUUAUUUGGAUGAAUAUAUGUUUGAAUUUAUUAAAUCAAGAAGCUCAUAAUUAAAGAAAGUAUUAAUUCGUAUCGAAUUUCAAUUUAAUGUAGCCAAUCUAUUAGAUUUGGUAAUAAUUGAAAUCAAAUUGACCAUAGUUACAAUGCAAUCCGUCAAUUGAUUUUUAAUUUGGUCAAAAUUAAAUAAAUAUGGCUAAAUUUUAAAUCGCAAUUAGGAUUAUAUUUUAAAUAACCACCAAAUUCCCAAAAACUCUCAUAACUUCUACACAAUUCCCACAAAAAAUAACUUCAAAUCCCAAAAUUCAAAUUUAAAAUUUAAAAUUUAUACUAGAUUGUACAAAUCCUCCUCAAAGUCUAAUUUUCAAUUUUUGAAAUUAAAAAAUUGUAUUACAUUGUACAAUUUCCCCCACCUAUCUUUCACCUCACCUUAUCUUUAAUUUUAAAAUUUCAAAAACACCCCUAAAUACUUUUCUCUCACAUUGGAGGAUAAAAAGAAGGAAAUUACCAUCCUUUCUUAUAAAUGCUACCACUAUUUUGGUAGAAAGACAAGUCUCGAGCUUGAAAAAAAAGCUUUGAGUAAAGAAGUUUUUUUUUUCUUUUAGUAAUUUAUUUUUCGUGAAAUUCACAGUCUAAUUGAAGUUCUCGAGUUGAACACAUUCCGGUGGUGAUAAAGACUCCGAAAAAAGCUUGUAGUUCCGUUUUGAUGUCCAAAAAAAAAAAGGUAACCACACCUUUCCCCCAUUUUUUAUCGUUUUCUUUUUUCAUCUUUUUCUUCUUCGUAGUUCGUAGUUAUAAUUUGUUAGUUUCAUUAUUGUUUUCUUCUUCAUCUUUUUCUUCUUCAUAGUUCGUAGUUGUAUUUUUUUUUAGUUUUAUUAUUGUUUUGUGCUUCGUAGUUAUAAUUUUAUUUGCUGUAGACGGCCUUGAAGGCCAUAGGAUGUUAUGGUAUCGAUAUUAUGACUAUUUUAAUAUUCAUGGUAUAACAAAAUGAACUAGCAAUAGUUAAACGUAUUAUUUGUUUUAUUCUUAGAUUAUUAUGGGUAAAGUUUGAUCUUUGUUUAAAAUAUGUACUCAUGCUUUGUUUAAAUUUAUAGUUGGAGUAUAUGUUUGUUUUUAGCAUGUAAAGUUGUUUUCUUAAUGUUGAAAAAAAACUUAAUAUUGAUUGUUUUGCCUUUUGACUUUGUUCUUUGAUUAUUAUGGGUAAAGUUUUGAUCUUAGCUUCAAAUAUGUAUUCAUGCUUUGUUUAAAUUCAUCGUUGGCGUAUAUGUUUGUUUUUAACAUGUAAAGUUGUUUCCUUUAUGUUGAAAAGAAUAGUUAAUAUUGAUUGUUUCGCCUUUUGACUUUAUUCUUUGAUUAUUACGGGUAAACUUUUGAUCUUUGCUUAAAAUGCAUGCUCAUGCUUUGUUUAAAUUCGUUAUUGGUGGAUAUGUUUGCUUGUAGUAUGUAAAGUUGUUUUCUUUGUGUUGAAAAGGAAUGGUUACUAUUUUAAGGGUUUGUGAGAUUGUUUCUCAAUUUUAAAGCAGUGAGUUACUCAUUUUCAUGGUCAAAAUUGUCUUUGAUUUUCUCUUGUUUAGAUUGAAAAGUUGUUGGGGUUAUAAUUUUUGUUGAAAUGGCGUAGAACUAAAAUAGGAGUUGCCAUAAUUGCACACUUUUUCUUAGAAUUAAUCUUUUACUGUUUUUCCUAUCUUAUCUUCGAAUAUUAUCUCUCAAAUAUGUUUAAUAUAUGUUAUUUACUUCACUUCGCUUAUUGGUUUACUUCUUAAAGCAUUUUUAUUCAUUUAGACGUCCCAUUAUUAUUCACACGCUAUAGUGAUUUUUUUUCUAUGUUAUAGAUAUGUUGAUUGAUCCACUUUGUAUUAAAAAGUGUUGUUGCUUUAGGAUGUCUUGUAUUUCAUAUUUGAAGUGCUAUUUCCUUAUCUCUUGCUCAUUCUCCUCUUUUCUUUGUUUAAUGAAAACAUGCCUUAGACUUCAUCAUAAUAUUUGGAGCAAAUAUGUGUUAAUCUAUUUGUCCAAAUUUUAAGCAACUAUGCUUAUGGAUUCAUGUCUUCUUUUCAAGGGCUAGUUAAUUGUAUUGUGCUAGAUUCAAUUUUUGUAAGAUUGUUUUUGAGAUGGGUUAAUUUUAUUUGUGUUGGAUAAUUUGGUUUUCUUUGAUAUCAUAGGCUGUUAUUCUUUUUUUUUCAUCUCAUCAUUUAUCUAUUAAGUGUAGAAUUUUCCAACACAUGUUAAUUAUUUUUCUUUUGUCUUUUCCCUUGCAUGAAUCUGUUUUGGAGUCCAAAUGGACUCCUUUCCUCUUGCAUCCGUAAUGGGCCAAUGAGGCCCAUCUCUCUGAGUUACGUUCGAAGUUUUAAACCCAAAGUUGAUUAUAUGACGUGCGUGUGCAAGAAGAUGAAAGAAGAAAGAAAAUGGGUGAAAACCCAUUGAUGAGGUUACUAAGAGAUUUGAAAAGUCUCGAUUUUUUUAUUACCUUAUUUUUAUUUAUUCACUUAGUCAUUUAUUUAUUCAUUCAUUUGGGCCUCGAAGCUAAAGUUGUAAUUCAAUAAAGGUGAAGCGGAUUUUGAGUCUCAAAGGUACAAAAACUAGCUUAGGGCAGGUUAUGGGCCAAAAACCCAAGUAUUUAGAUUAGGACAGGUGAAGAUGGGUCAAAAGCCCAAAUUAGCGUAGGACAAGGUUUAUGAUUUGGGCCUAAUGACCUAAGUCCUUUAAUCUCCCCCUAUCCCCUUUAUAUGCUAAUUGUUCUUAGUUUUCUUAGGCUUAGUUAAUAUCCCCGCUAAGUCGUCAAAAUUUAUUUUGCACAAAUCUUGAAGACAAUUUUUCUUAAUCAUUUUCUUUUCAAAAAUCAAUUUUCUUUUUUAAAGUUUGUCAAAAAAGUUAUUUUCAAAUAGCCCGGAUAACUGCUAGUUAGCAGAUACUCUUGGUGCCUUUACAACCUUCCAAGAGUAUUAAUAGGAACCACUUACCCAAAAUUUCUAAACUUAAUAUUUUUUUCUGUUUUGAAUCUUUUAAGUAAUAUUUUUAGUUUUUCUUGGUAUUUUCUCAAAAAUCAAGUGGCGACUCUAUAAUUUUCUAAAUUGUUUCAAACUUUUCUUUUAAGAUUUUGAAAUAGUUUAAAAAGUCGAAAACAAUAUUUUUCAAACCCUUUCAAAUCAAAAAGGUACCAAAACAUGUACAUUCUUCAAAAAAUGGAAUUUUACUUUAUUUGCUUUUGUACAGUCCUUGAAAUUUGAGAGCUCGAUUUUGUUUGCUUAUGUACAGUCCUCGAAAUGCGGAAGCUUGCCUUUAUUUGCUUAUGUGCAUUCCUCGAAAUACGGGUACUUGACUUUGUUGAAGUUAGACGAAACUUUUCGAUCGUAGAGUCAUUUGAUGCAAUUAGAUGGUAAUUCUUCAAUUGGUGAAGUAAUUCGACGUUGUCAGGUGGCAAGCUCCGAUCGACGGUGUUUAUUGGAAUAAGUGAAAUAGCCAAAUUUUUUUUACAAGGGGCCCUUUUCUUUGUUGCCUUGACUCGAGUCUUCAACAUACCUGCAAAAGAAUUCAAACAAAAUUCUUAGAACUUGUGAGGAUAAAUGUAUGUGAAAAACAAAGUAAGGGAAGAGUAUUUUACCUUAUGUUGUAGUGAUAAGCUGCAUAAUAUCUCUGAUCCCAUUCAAAAUCUUAACUCUAUUCAUCUCUUCCAAUUCCUGUUUUCCUGCAUUCAAAGAAAAACUUUUAGUUGGGAGGAGGGUGUUGAUUUGUGUUGACUUGUGGAUACUGUCUUUGUCUGCGGAAUCCUCCAACACUUCCUCGACUGCUCGGUCAUUCCUAAAUAUGGAGUCUUGGUGGGUGGGAGAGUAGGAAAGUAUUUUAAAAUAUAUAUAUAUAUAUAUAUAUAUAUAUAUAUAUAUAUGUUGCAAUUAUAUUACAUAUAUAUUAAGUAUAUAUAGUAAUUCUCUAUCAUUUUUAGAUUAUGACAUGUUUCGAAAUUCGUUAAGCCUCCAUUUGUCGAUCGUGACUCAUAUAGUUUUAUCCUUCGGGUGGAGCUCGUUUGACUUUUUUCAAUGCUACGAAGAUUCUGACAGCGAGAUUGCUUAUAUUUUGGGGCUAUACUAUGAGCAAAAGGAGAUUUUCCUAAAGGAAAGAGAGAACCCUUUAUGUUGCCUACAUAUCCUUGAAAUAGGAAUUAGGUCUGUACAUAGUUCUAGGGUAGAGAAAGAAAUAUGAAAUGCAAUGACCGAGUCUAACUCAGACUGCCUACGUAUCCAAGUGGAAUUAGGUCAUGACGUAGUUCGAAUAUAAAGAAAAAAUAAAAAUAUGAAAUGCAAUGACCGAGACUGACUCAGACUGCCUAUGUAUCCUAAAAAUAGGAAUCAGUUCAUAACAUAGUUAAUACAAUUAAAGAGUAAAAUAUAAAGGGACUGAAUUUGAUGAGGAUUGCCUACGUAUCCCAUUAAGGGAACUUAGGUCGAGCGUAGUUCUGAAUACCUGAAAGGAUGAUGUUUUGUUUUUUCUUAGGAAAAUCGAACCCGAUGUGGGUUACCUACAUAUCCCAUCGUGGGAAGUCAGGCUAAUACAUAGUUCUAUUACAUUAGAGAAAAUGUAAAAGUAGAAAGAAAUAACAACUAGUCUUAAUGUCUCCAAGUGUAGUACUUCUUGAUAGUGUCUGAAUUGAUCGGCUUUGUGCUUACUGUGCUAUCCAUCUCUGUAAAGAUUACUGCUCCUCUGAGAGUAAUCGGUGAACUAUAUAAGAACCUUGCCAAUAUGGCGCAUAUUUCCCCUUAGCUUUAUCUUGGUGAUAAAAUAUCUUUUUCAAUAUCAAUUAUCCUAGUGUGAAUCGCCAAGGCUUAACCUUCUUGAUGAACGCCUUGAUAAUUCUAUCCCGAUAGAGUUGACCAUGAUAGAAUGCAUCCAAUCUCUUUUCAUCAAUAAGUAUCAAUUUUUUGAUCUUGCUAUGAAUCCAUUCAGUGUCAUCUAAACCAACCAAUUGGAUGAUUUUGAAGGUAUCUCUAUUUCUGUAGGUAUCACUAUUUCUGAACCGUAAACCAAUAUGUAAGGAGUCUCCCCAAUGGAUGUUCUAAUCAUGGUGCGAUAACCGAGAAAAACAUAUGGUAGCUUCUCAUGCCAUUCCAUGUUACCGUCCACUAUUUUCCUUAAGAUUCUCUUGAUAUUCAUGUUUGCUGCCUCUACUGCUCCAUUCAUCUAUGGUCGAUAUACUGUGGAAUUUUGAUGAGAGAUAUUAAACCUCUUGUAAACCUCUCUUAUGAGUUCUCUAUUAAGAUUGGGCCCAUUAUCUGUUAUGAUUGACUCUGGAAUCCUAAACUGACAAACGAAGUUAUUGCGGACGAAAUCUACUACCACCUUCUUGGUUACUACCUUAUAUGUUGAGGCUUCAACCCAUUUUGUGAAAUAGUCGAUACAUACCAAGAUAAAACGGUUUCCAUUGGAUGUAGAAGGAUUUAUAAGCCCAAUAACAUCCAUGCCCCAAGCAGCAAAUUGCCAAGGAGAACCCAUCACAUUGAGCUCAUUCGGCAAAACUCAUAUAAAAUCCCCGUGAACUUGACAAUGGUGACAUUUCUGCAUGUACCGGAUUCUAUCCUUCUCCAUGGUCAUCUAAAAGUAUCUGACUUUCAAAAGUUUCUUCACAAGUGUAAAACCAUUCAUGUGGGGCCGCAAGUUCCUGCGUGUAUUUUCUCUAAUAAUCUUGUGGCUUCUGUGGCAUCGACACAUUGUAACAAUCUUAAGUCCGGAGUCCUUCUAUACGGGAUUUUCUUAUUGAGGAAAAAGUCAUUGACCAUCCUUUUUAAAGUCCUCUCCUGCUUACUAGUAGCAUUUUCUGGAUUUUCCCCUGCGUCGAACAACCUUUUGAUGUCGUAGUACCACGACUUUCCAUCUGGUUCUUCAUCCACAUGGAAACAGUAUGCAUGUUGAUUGUGUGUAUCCACCUUAAUGGGAUCGAUGUAAUUCUUAUCUGAAUACUGGAUCAUUGAAGAUAGUGUCGCCAAGGCAUCAACAAACUCAUUUUGAAUUCGAGGGACAUGUUUGAACUCAAUCUUCAUGAAUAUUUUACUCAACUCCUUAAAACAUUGCAGAAGGAUUUUGACAUUCUUGGUGGUUCAUUCUCCCUGUACCUGAUGGAUCAACAAAUCUGAAUCUCCUAUUACCAAGAGCUCUUUGAUGUUCUAUCUAAUUCCAUCCCAAUUUCGAAAAUGUAAGACUCAUAUUCUACCAUGUUAUUCGUGCAAGAAACCUAAUCUUGCCGAGAUCGAAUAAUGUUAACCUGUUUCUGAAACUAGAAUUGCUCCUAUUCUGGCUCCUUUGAAGUUUGAUGCUCCAUCAAAGAACACUCUCCAUCCAUCAUAUGGAUCUGAGAUAUCUUCUUCUGCGAACAACACCUCUUCAUCAGGAAAUUAGGUCUUUAGUGUCUUAUCCACUAGAUAUUCUGUGAGGUGAUCAGCUAAAGCUUGUCUUUUAACCACAUUUUGUGUCACGUACAUAAUAUGAAACUCGCUCAGCAAAAUCUGCCAUUUUGUUAAUUUUCUAGUAGGCAUCGAUUUCUGAAAGAUGUACUUGAGUAGAUCCAUUCUUAAAAUCAAGUAUGUUGUAUACGCGGAAAGGUAGUGCCUUAAAUUUUGCACAACCCAAGUAAAUGUGCAACAGGUCCACUCCAACAAUGUAUACCUUACUGCAUAUGGUGUAAACUUCUUACUCAUAUAGUAAAUGUCUUAUUCUUUCUUUCCUGUUUCAUCAUGCUGCCCUAACACAUAUCCAAAUGCAUUAUCCAUAACAGAUAGAUACAAGAGCAAUGGAUUCCCAGGCUCUGGUGGACCCAAUACCUAUGGAUUAGACAAGUACGCCUUGAUUUUGUCAAAAACCUUCUGACACUCUUCGGUCCAUCCAGUGGCAACAUCUUUCUUCAAUAACUUCAAAUUAUCAUGGACUGAUCUGUGAACCAACUGAUGUAAUUGAGUCUUCCCAAGAAACUUAUUACAUUCUUUUUGGUCUUAGGGGGUGGUAAGUCUUGGAUUGCCUUUAUCUUGGAUUAAUCCAACUCUAUACCUCUCCUACUAAAAAUGAAUCCUAAUGACUUUACUGCGGGAACUCCAAUGACGUAUUUGGUUGGAUUCAAAUUUAGGUCGUACCUUCGCAGCCUUUCAAAGAAUUUUCGUAAAUCAUCCAGGUAGUCCAAACUCUUUUUAGACUCAAUAACAAAAUCAUCCAUAUAAACCUCGAUCUCUUUGUGAAUCAUAUAGUGAAAAAGGGUAGUCAUGGCCCUCAACUACGUUAUACUAGCUAUUUUUAGUCUAAAUGGCAUUACCCUAUAACAGUGUACUCCCCAUAGAGUGAUAAAGGCUAUCUUCUUUGCGUCAUCUUUAUUCAUCAAUAUUUGAUGAUAUCCUGCAAAACAAUCAUUAAAUGACAACAACUCGUGUUUUGCAUAAUUAUCAACAAGAAUGUAAAUGUUUAGGAAGGAAAAUUAUUUUUUGGACUAGCUUUGUUGAGAUCCCGAUAAUCCACAUAUAUUCUUAUCUUCCUGUCCUUCUUUGGUAUUGGUCAACCAUAUAGGGUAAUUUAUGACCCUCACAAUGUUAGCUUCUAUCUGCUUGGUCACCUCUUCCUUGAUUUUCAAACUCAAAUUGGGUUUGAAUUUUCACAUCAUUUGCUUCACAGGCGAAUAUGUAGGGUUAAUUAGCAGCCGACGUGAGAUGAUAUCAGUUCUCAAACCAGGCAUGUCUUUGUAAGACCAAACAAACACAUCGAUGUAUUGCUUGAGUAAGCUUAUCAAUUCUUGUUUCCUUUCAACCUCUAAGUGUAUGCUGACUCGCGUUUCCUUUACCCUUUCUUCAUCACCCAAAUUGAUGACUUUAGUUUCGUUCAUAUUAGGUUUCCUUUUACUCUUAAGUUGAUCUAUUUCUUGUGAUAGGUUUUCAGGCAUCAUGCUUUUAUCGUACUUCUCAUAAUCUUGCUCAUCGCUCGUAUUUUGCUUAAUGGUUUCGUUAUAUAUCAUAGUCAUGGAAUGAGGAUUAUUAUUAAUAUUUACACUGAAAAGUAUAAAAGUGGGUAAAGUAAAUAGAUUUAAAAAAGAAAGGAAAAUUGGUUUUGAAAAUAAGGACUUUCAUUAGUAGAAAAGCAUUAGGCUUUGGUAAGAGGCGAGUCGCAAAAAAAGCUUCCCUCACAAUUGAGGUGUCUUGAGAAUAGUUUUACAACAACCCUAAUACAUAUAUUAUGAUACGACAUGACUCAAUCCUUAAUUAAUCAUUCAAAAAUAAUUUUAAAAGCGACUAUAAUUCUAUUCUACCAAGACUCUUGUCAAAAUAGGGAUGGGCUGAUGGUCUAAUUCUACAAGACUCCUCCAGGAUCAACAUUACGGAUGGUAAGCUUCUUAAAAUCCAUAUCUAGUUGUUCUUUAAUCAAGACCAUAAAUAGAUUUUCGAUCCCUCUAAGAUUUCCUUAUCAACCACUUGGUUUGAAACUGGGACUUGGGCCAGCACAAACAUUGUCACUCCUGAUCCUUCACUGCAGACUCCUCAAGAAGCAGGCUUAUAUCCAAGACCAGCAGUACCUCUUUGAUAUUUCAACUGGAUUGCCUCAAUUAUACCAUUGGUUUUUGGUCCUAGUCCUGUCUUGGGCCGAUAUCCAUAUUUCAACAUCUCCGACGCAACCAUCUUUGUAACACUUGAUAUUCUUACUUUAAUAGGAUCUAUUUUCUCUUCGAUAUUUGCAAGUUGCAUGAUCUCUAGGGUAUGGAAGGUGGCUCCAUCUAACUCCUCAGUGUUUGUACUUGAAUUGAUAGAAUGGGAUGACUGAGCUCUCCAUGGACAGUAAUUUCUGUACGACCCCGCUCAAACUUUACACACUGAUGGAGAGUAUAAGAAACGAAUCUUGCCAUGUGUACCCAGCCACAAGUUGUAACUAGACGAUACAUCCAUCACUUGAAAUAACAUGAAAAAUUCAGAUGGACCUAUAUGCAAUGUUAGUUAUAUUUCUCUUAUGACACUCUAUUAUGAUCCAUCAAAAGCUCAGACCUACACCUGACUCUCCCUUAUAUCUUCUAUGUUUACACCCAAAUCCCUUAGAGUAGAGAAUAGACAGAUGUUGCAACCCGAACCACCAUCGAUGAGAAACCUAUUCAUGAUCUUGUAAUGAUGUUUGACUACGAUAUGAAGUUCUUUAUUGUGUGUGGACCCUUCUGAUGGUAGCUCAUCAUCAUGGAAAAAGACCAUUUUUGCUUCUACCAUUCGUCCGAUUGUUGCAGCCAAAGGCUCACUUGUGGUCUCCUUCAAUAUGCAAACUUCACAUAACACUUCCAUCAAAGCAUUUCUAAGAGGUACAAAGAUCAUACACAAGGAAAUAAUGGAUUUGUGGGCCAGUGUCAUCUUUAGCUGCUUUUCGACAGAAUAGUCCUUGGGUUGCAUCUUCUUCUAAAAUUCUGUAGCCUCAGCAUCAGUAAUAUUCCUCUUUGGGUUCUGCUCUUUCUUGGUAAUUCAUUGAUUCAGAUCUUCUAGAGCAUAAUAAUUUCUCGACUUGGUCAUUCCUUGAGCCAUAACAACGUCUAUCAUUUUGACCUUGGAUUCAACUUGGUAAUCCAUUGGACUGUUUUAGUAUCAUAAUAUGGUUUCCCAGUGGCUAUAGUGGUCACCACUACUCUUGACAGGUAAGUCUAAAUAGUCAAAUAUUCCCUCAACUCAACAAUCCUAUUUAUUCACACAAGAUACAAUUUUCGUAAUCAAAAUUCUACCCGGCGGUGAAAGUCCAGCCAUGGGCUUUGUCCCAAAUCACAGUUUAGUUGAGGGAACCUUUGAAUAUUUAGACUUACCUGUCAAGAGUAGUGGUGACCACUAUAGCCACUGGGAAACCAUAUUAUGACACUAAAACAGUCCUAUGGAUUACCGAGUUGAAUCCAAGGUCAAAAUGAUAGACGUUGUUGUGGCUCAAGGAAUGACCAAGUCAGGAAGGUGUUAUGCUCUAGAAGAUCUGAAUCAAUGAAUUACCAAGAAAGAGCAGAACCCAAAGAGGAAUAUUACUGAUGCUGAGGCCACGGAAUUUUAGAAGAAGAUACAACCCAAUGACUAUUCUGUCGAAGAGCAGUUAAAGAAGUCACCGGUCCACAAAUCCAUUAUUUCCUUGUGUAUGAGCUCUGUACCCCUUAGAAAUACUUUGAUGGAAGUAUUAUGUGGAGUUUAUGAAUACAAAUCCAUUUACUAGUUAGGACCACAUAAAUAUACAAACGAUUAUAGAGAAAGGGAUUGGUAAAGCCACAUUAUUAGAAUUCUAGUUGCCGGAUUCACAGAGAGAUUACCACAUCGAUAAGAACAUAUUAUCAAAACUGCAUUAAGGCAAACAACACUUCUAGAAACCAACUAGCGAGAGGGAUCAAAAGAGGUCAAAAAGGAAAGUAAGGAUUCCACAUAUUCGAACUCAAGAAUUCAUUUUUUACUUGAACGUCCAGUCAUUUGUUUCCUCAUUUAGCCUGAAACAAAACACGACAGAGAAAGGGACCAAAUCUUCAUUUUUUUGCAAAAAUAUAUUAAUGGGCAUACACGUUUGGUGUGAAUUAAAAUAGAGUCAUACUUGGUUUUGAAAUCUGGUUCAGAGAUAUCUUCCCGUAAUCCAAUAAAACACGCCGAUUCACAAUACCAUUUAUUCACACAAGAGACAAAUUUCAUAAUCAAAAUUAUACCCGAUGGUGAAAUUCAAGAGAAACAACUGCACAUGAAUAUUGUAUAUUCACACACAAAAUAAUUUUGAAUCGGGAUUUUAUUUUACAUUAUUUUUUUAUAGAAAUAACUGUUAGGGUUUUUGCCCUGAUUUUCUUACUAUAUUUAAAUUUUACUUUUUCUUAGAAGGAAAAUAAAAGUUACCAUAAUUACUUUUACUUUUUCUGAAAGAAAAAAUAUAAUUCUUUUCUAUAUUUGGAUAACCUCUUUAUUGGAGGAAUGGUUUUGGACAUCUAUAAAUAGAAGAUUCCUCUUCUCAUACCAUAACAUAAGAGCAUCCACAAUGUAGUCUUUAAAGGGUCUUUGUUUAGUGGGAGAUUUCUCCCAAUAGGUUUAAUGUUUUUUGAUAUUAGACUUUCAAUAUGUAGGUCUCUUGACCAAAACAUAUUAAUAAUAUUAUGUUUUUGUUUAGUUUUCUUUGUCGUGUGAUUUAUCAUCUCAUGGUUUGCAAACUUUAAGCUUCUGCAUGACGCUCUCUCGAUUUCGAACCCAACAAGUGGUAUCAAAGCUUACGGUUCAAUGGUCCAAUGGUGUGGUGAGACGAGAUUAAACAGGUUCAAAGCGGUUUCAAAAUCAAGCUGCAACAAUUUGGAUGAUAAUGAAGAUUUUUGUCGAACAACAUGUGGAGAACAAGUUUCAACCAUAUUUUCAACACUCCUGUUGUUGCAUCUUUAAAAUAAAAAUAAAAUAUUACUUUUAAACCAAUUUUUAACCAUGAUAUUUUAAACCUUAUUUUUAACCAUGGCAAGCAGCAGUUAUGAAGAUUAUAUCAAGAACGAAGUUCAUGCACGUAAUAUGAAGAGAAGACGGAUCAAGUGAAGAAAAUCAAGCCAAAAUAGGGAGAUUUGUUUGGGGUUUUGCCCUGAUUUUCUUACUAUAUUUAAGUUUUACUUUUUCUUAGAAAGAAAAUAAAAGUUAUCAUAAUUACUUUUACUUUUCCUGAAAGAAAAAGAAUAUAAUUCUUUUCCGUAUUUGGCUAACCUCUUUUUUGUAGAGAAGGUUUUGGACAUUUAUAAAUAGAAGACUCCUUUUCUCAUACCAUAACAUAAGAGCAUCCUCAAUGUAGUCUUUAAAGGGUCUUUGUUUAGGGGGAGAUUUCUCCCAAUAGGUUUAAUGUUUUUCGAUAUUAGAUUUUCAAUAUGUAGGUCUCUUGACUAAAACAUAUUAAUAAUAUUAUGUUUUGGUUUAGUUUUCUUUAUCGUCUGAUUUAUCAUCUCAAGGUUUGCAAACUUUAAGCUUCCGCAUGACGCCCUCUCGAUUUCGAACCCAACAAUAACAACAACAUAAACUCAAAACUCGAUAUAAAUCACAUAUUCUUGAAAUCAAAUAGAUGCAGCGAAAGGGAUGAAAAUGAAGAUAAAAGGAGUUAGGUUCCCACCUUGUUUGGUGCAGCAAAACUGAAGCUCCAAUGUCAAGAUUUCGACGAUUAACUCGAACCCGAGAAACUCAAUUUAGAACUGAAUCAAAGAAAUGAAUGGCCUUAACUUUAAACUCCUUUUUUUAGUCAUUUUUUCACUGUUUCUUUACCCUCAAAAUUAUAUUUUCCUCCCCUUCCUGACCCAUUCCAAACCCUCAAAUUUUCACCUUUCCUUAAACUUUACCUUGCUUUUUACUCUUAUUUUUUACCUCUAUUUUUUAUUCCUUUUCGAUGGGAUGAAAACACCAUAUUUAUAAGUGCAAAUCCGGACUUGAAAAUCCGGAUUUAAAACCAAAAAUUCUCAAAACAUAUGAAAUGGUGAUUCAGAAUUUGAAAUUUGAACCCCCUAGACAAAUUCUUUUCGAAUCUUCAGCCUUUUCAGGUCAUUGAUGGGUUGUAGCACAAUUUUAAGAAUUACUUUCUUUGUUUUUUUUGGAUUCAACAGGUUGCUAAAUCUUGCAGGCUAGCGACUAGGGGACAGUGGUGGCGCAGUGACUAAGGUUAUGACAUUUUUCGAUUUAGGAUGGAGAGAGAGGAGGAAGGAGGAGAAAGGAAAGAGAGGGGCAGAUCGUUAUUGUUGUUUUGGGAAAGGGGAAAAGACCGCUCAAUGGAGCUAUUGAAGAGGGUUGAGAAAAAGGUUUUUCUUCUUUUCUUGGGGAAAAAACACUUUUUNNNNNNNNNNNNNNNNNNNNNNNNNNNNNNNNNNNNNNCGAUCGUUUGAUUAGACGGUUAUAAAUCAUCUCUAGUAUAAAAGAAUUAAAUAAAUAUAUAAAUAUACAUAUAUAAAGCUGAUGCAAUAUGGUCCUUUAGAUUAAAAAUAUCUAAAGGCUGAGACAAGUUGGUAUUUGUUGGGUGGUUUUUAUGUUUCUUCGCUGACAUGACAACACACAAUUGGUAGAUAUAGGGUGGAGUGGAUUGAUGAAGUGGAUGUGGAUAUUGGAUCAAGUUUUGGGUCAAUUUUUUUAGGCUUCUUUGGCUGAAAUUUUAUGGGUGAGAGUAUAUGAAAUUUGAAAUUGAGUUAUUGUUGGUUGAAAUACUCUUUUUCUAUCGAAAUUAAUUUUAUCAAUGCUUCUUACUACCCUAAAAAUUACUUUUAGGUACAUACAUAUAUAAAUUAUAGACAUAAUUUUGUAUACAAUUUUAAUAAUUUUGUAAUUUAAUAUUUUUAAUAUUAACAAAUAUGUACACAUGCGCGCGCGCACGCGCACACACACACACACACAUAUAUAUAUAUAUGUAGUCACAAGUAUAUAUAUAUAUGUAGUCACAAAGUAUAUAUAUAUGUAGUCACAAAGUAUAUAUAUAUGUAGUCACAAAGUAUCGUUUCAAAUAUAUAUAUAUAUAUAUAUAUAUAUAUAUAUAGAUGUAGUCACAAAGUGUCGUUUCAAAAAUAAAUAUACUAAAACAAAAUUACGAAAAAAGAAUACGAAUGCGAUUAUCAAAAUAUUUUAUGUGAUUUUGAUGUUAAAAUAAUUAAUUAUAUUUAGUUAAAAUAUUUAAAAUAUGAUAGGGAAAAGUGAAUCGUCUCUUUUUCUAUAUUUCAAAAUUCAUAGAAAUUAAGAUACAAAUUUAUUUUUAUGAAAUUAUUUAGGGCCAACAAGCACCGAAAAAAUAAUUAAAGGAAAAAGAGUGUCACGACCUGAGACGAGGUCCUGGCCGCGACUAGCAUCCUGAACUAUGAAGGCCCAAGAGACCCCUUAGUAUGUAAUCAUAAGCAUAAUCCAUACAUAAAUCAAAGUGCGAGAUAUAACUGUGUUCAUUGGAAACUUAUAAUCUGAAAUGUGUCAACAAGACAAGACAAUACAACACUUUAACUAUUGUCUACAAAGCCUCUACUAAAUACUAACUGUCUAGGCCGGGACAAAGCCCACGGCUGGACCAUAUACUGAAAGACUCAACAUAUAAAUAAAUGCCUUCCGAAAGAUAAAUUGCUCACCAAUUCUGUCAAAUCUCAAAUGUUCUACUGAUAUGAUGGACCAUGGGACUAUACCACAUAACCUAAAAUAUAGGGGGUCAAUACACAAAGGUACUGGUAUGUAGAACAAUCCAAAAACAAAAUAUAUUUUAUACAACAUAGGCGAGAGCAUUUCAUAACUUUUAUUUUUUUACACUUCUAUUUCUCUUUUUUUUUUUUCACUUCUCUUUUUUUCAUUUUUUUUCUUUUUAUAUUUUUUUCCCUUUUGUUACUCUUCUAACUUUUAUUUUGAAAAGACAAAUAUGUAUAUCACGUAUACAUAUUAAAAAAACAUACAAAAUAUAUAGCCAUACAGAUCUGGAUAUGUAUUUACGAUACAAAAUAUACAUAUGUAUUUACGAAAUACAUAUCAUAUUCAUAUUAAACAGUAACAAACAUAACUAUACUAUGUAUUUUCAUAUGUAUUUGCGAAAUACAAAUGUGACUCAUAUAAAAUAAGAAUUUACGUAUGAAUCAGGUAUAUAUUCUGUAAAUACAUAUGCAGAGCUAUAUGUAUUUUAUACGGUGUUGGAUUUGUCCUUGAACUGUACAUACUAUGUCAUUUUAGAGGGUAACAUGUGUACUUGUUUAUUUUCUUUUACUGUUUAAGAUAUGUAUCAGAUAUUUUUUAUUACCUAUAUGUAUAUGUAUAUAAUUGUCACUUUUUUAUAGAGAUUUUGUGUCCUAUAUAUUUAUAUAUAAAUGUGAGUCAGAUAUGUAUUUUUGUAAAUAUAUAUGCAGAUAAUAUGUAUGUUUUUUACCGUAAAUACAUAUGCAGAUCUGUAUGUCUAUUUAUUUUGUAUAUAUUUUGAAUAUGUAUAUAUGAUAUAGAUAUUUGUAUUUUAAAAAUAAAAAUAGAGAUAGAAGAGUAAAAGAAAAAAUAAAAAACAAAAAAAAUAGAAAAAAAAUCAAAAACAAAAAAUAAAAAUAAUAAUAAAAAAGAAGUGAAAAGGGACAAAAAAGAAGAAAGAGAAAUAGAAACUAGAAAUAGAAGUGUAAAAACAAAAGCGAAAAACAAAAUUAAAAAAAGAAGAAGAAUAAGAAAAAAAAUAUGAGAUAAGGAAAAAAAGAAAACGAAAAAAGAAAAAAAUAAAUAAAAGAUGAAAAAGGAAAAAAAAAAGAGAAGUAGAAGAGAGAAAAUAAAGCGGAAAGAAAAAUGAAAAAAAAAAAGAAAUUAAAUAUAAAAAAAAUGAAAAAACUAACAAGAAAAAGUAGUUAGAGAUAUAAUAGAAUGAUAUUUUGAAAUUUUGAAGAUCAUAGAAAUAAUAAUCUUCAUAUUUGAGUUUGAUUUGGAAAAUGAAUCGAGUUUGAUUUGGAAAAGGAAUCUACUAAUAUAAAGAAGAGUAAUUUAUGGAAAUUUAAUUAGAUGGUAUAAUUAUUUCUCAUUUAACUCAACUAAUUUGAGCAAAACAAGGGCAGUAAAUCUUGUUGUAUAUGUAUUUGUAUAGCAACAAUUUACUUAAAUACAAAAUACAAAAUACAAUUUGCUAUUUUUCGUAAUUAUAAAACUGUUUUUAUAAAAGUUGCAAUUAAUACUCUAUAAUUGCUAUUUCUGAAAUUUUUUCUUUUAAAAUCAUUUUAUUUCGUCAAGCUUUUAGGCUAAAGAAAUUUUAAACAAAAGCCCAUUUUUUAACAAUAUAAUUUUAAAGAAAAUAAUAGUUUAUUUCGUUUUAAGGGAGGUUAUAAUUUUUAAGGAAAAAAUCUAUUUUUUAUGGUCAAUGCAAAUUUAAAAUCUCGAUUUUAACAAUGAUAGAUUUUGAGAGGAAUCAUUAAGUAAGAAAUAAUCAAUUAUGGAAGAGUUUAAACUUUUCAAUUUAAGAAAAUCCGUUUCUUUUAUUGCUCGAGAAAAUUCACUUUAACCUAAAUGAGAUUAAUCAUUACUUGAACAAACAAAAGUCAUUUUAAUGUGAAAAAGUUUGUGUUCAAAAAGAUUAACAUAAAGUCCAUUUUGCUUCAUAAAAAUAACAAAUAAUAAUUAAAAAAAAAAAGCAAAAGAAAAUUCAGAUAAGUAACGAAAGGGAAAAAUAAAGAUAAACUAAAAAUGGCGAUACCUUGAGGAGUUUAUCUAGAUUAAUUAACUAAAGAUUAGUGUUAAUAUGAAAACAAACACAAAUAAUUAAUUGCACACAAAUAAAAGGGUUGAGAAGAUAAAUUGGGCUUGUGGCCCACUGCUGAAAGUUGUCCAGAAAGAGGAAUUGGGCUUGUGGCCCACUGAUGUAAGCUGUCCAGAUUGGACUAGUCCCUUUUUUCCAAGCACAUUUUCUUAGAACCAAGCAUGAUAUAAGACAUGAAUUCUCCGAGACAUGAAUACAAGUGUUUUAUCCCUUUUCAGAUUUUAUCAAAGGAAAGACAAAUUAUUUGUGAGAAAAUAUUUUUCGACUUCUUAAAUUAUUUCAAAACUUAAAAAAAUAUCAAAAUAAUUUUAGAAAAAAUACAGAGUCACCACUUAAUUUUUAUAGAAAAAUCAAGAAAACUUGAAUGAAUUCUAAAGGUUCGAAAACAGAAAUAAAUCAUUAAAAUUAGAGAAAAUGGGUACAGGGUUCAAUUAACGUCCUAAGAAGGGUUUUAAGGCACUUAGGAACCUCCAUUCUAAAAUGGUUAAACAAGAUAUUUCGACUAACUUAAAAGACUAACUUUGCGAAAAUGUCACUUUUUGUAUAAAACAUCAAAGUUGAAUCAAGCGAUUUUGAAAAGAAAAAAUUACAGAAAGUGGCAUACUUAAGACCAUAAUUAUAAUAAAUAACAACACUUUUGUAAAAUUACAGUUUAUAGCAAGAGUAGCAUUAUUUUACUCAUUAACUAGGCAAAUCCAUAUUUUACUCUCACUACUUUAAAUUUUUCUAUUUUCACUCCACUAUUUCACAUCCCCCAAAUAUAGCCAUAUCUUUUUACCCUUUUUUUCAUCUUACUUUUCUUAAUAUUUUAUUUUUUUAUUUUAUUUUAUUUUUAUUUUUUAAUUUUUACUUUAUUUUCUCUUUUCUAUUUCUCUUCUUUUUUUCAUUUUUCAUUUUUUUUUCCUUUUUCAUAUUUAAAGAUAAUUAUCUCGAUGAUCUUCAAGAUUUCAAAAUAAAAUAUCAUUACUGUCUUUCACUCUCUUAUAUCUCUACCUUGUUUUUCUUGUUAGUUUUUUUUUUCAUCUUAUUUUUUUUUAUCAUUUUAUUAUUUUAUUUUGAUUUCUUUUUUAUUUUUAUCUUUUCACUUUAUUUUCUCUCUUCUAUUUCUUUUUUUUUUUCCUUUUUCACUUUUUUUUUCGUUUCUCAUAUCUUUUUUUCUUUUUCUAUUUUUUGUUUUCUUCUUCUAUUUUCCAUUUUAUUUUGUUUUUUUUUGUUUUAUUUUAUUUUUACACUUCUAUUUCUCUUUCUUUUCUUUUCUUUUUUCACUUCUCUUUUUUUCAUUUUUUUCUUUUUAUAUUUUUGUUUUUUUCCUUUUUUUUUUUUUAACUCUUCUAACUUUUAUUUUGAAAAGACAAAUAUGCAUAUCACAUAUACAUAUUAAAAAAACAUACAAAAUACAUAGCCAUACAGAUCUGGAUAUGUAUUUACGAUACAAAAUAUACAUAUGAAUUUACGAAAUACAUAUCAUAUUCAUAUUAAACAAUAACAAACAUAACUAUACUAUGUAUCUUCAUAUGUAUUUGUGAAAUACAAAGGUGACUCAUAUAAAAUAAAAAUAUACGUAUGAAUCAGGUAUAUAUUUUGUAAAUAUAUAUGCAGAGCUAUAUGUAUUUUAUAUGGUGUUGGAUUUGUCUUUGAACUGUACAUACUACGUCAUUUUAGAGGGUCACAUAUGUACUUAAUUAUUUUCUUGUACUGUUUAAGAUAUGUAUCAUAUAUUUUUUAUUACCUAUAUAUGUAUAUGUAUAUAAUUGCCAUUUUUGUUAUAGAGAUUUUGUGUCCUAUAUAUUUAUAUAUACAUGCAAGUCAGAUAUGUAUUUUUGUAAAUAUAAAUGCAGAUAUAUAUGUAUGGUUUUUACCAUAAAUACAUAUGAAGAUCUGUAUGUCUAUUUAUUUUGUAUAUAUUUUGAAUAUGUAUAUAUGAUAUAGAUAUUUGUCUUUUAAAAAUAAAAAUAGAGAUAGAAUAGUAAAAGAAAAAAUAAAAAACAAAAAAAUAGAAAAAAAAUCAAAAACAAAAAAUAAAAAUAAUAAUAAAAAAGAAGUGAAAAGGGACAAAAAAGAAGAAAGAGAACUAGAAACUAGAAAUAGAAGUGUAAAAACAAAAGCGAAAUUCUUUUUAAAAAAAGAAGAAGAUAAAGAAAAAAAAUAUGAGAUAAGGAAAAAAAAAGAAAACGGAAAAAGAAAAAAAAAAUAAAAAACGAAAAAGUAAAAAAAAAAGAGAAGUAGAAGAGAGAAAAUAAAGCGGAAAGAAAAAAAUGGAAAAGAAAACGAAAUUAAAUAUAAAAAAAAUGAAAAAACUAACAAGGAUAAGUAGUUAGAGAUACAAGAGAAUGAUAUUUUGAAGAUCAUGAAAAUAAUAAUAUUCAUAUUUGAGUUUGAUUUGAAAAAGGAAUCGAGUUUGAUUUGGAAAAAGAAUCUACUAAUAUAAAUAAAAGUAAUUUAUGAAAAUUUAAUUAGAUUGUAUAAUUAUUCCUUAUUUAACUCAACUAAUUUGAGCAAAACAAGAACAGUAAAUCUUGUUGUAUAUGUAUUUGUAUAACAACAAUUUACUUAAAUACAAAAUACAAUUUGCUAUUUUUCGUAAUUAUAAAACUGUUGUUAUAAAAAUUGCAAUUAAUGCUCUAUAAUUGCUAUUUCUGAAUUUUUCCUUUUAAAAAUCAUUUUAUUUCGUCAAGCUUUUAGGCUAAAGAAAUUUUAAACAAAAGCCCAAUUUUUAACAAUAUAAUUUUAAAGAAAAUAAUAGUUUAUUUCAUUUUAAGGGAGGUUAUAUUUUUUAAGGAAAAAAUCUAUUUUUUUAUUGUCAAUGCAAAUUUAAAAUCUCGAUUUUAACAAUGAUAGAUUUUGAGAGGAAUCAUUAAGUAAGAAAUAUUUAAUCAAUUAUGGAAGAGUUUAAACUUUUCAAUUUAAGAAAAUCCGUUUCUUUUAUUGCUCGAGAAAAUUCACUUUAACCUAAAUGAGAUUAAUCAUUACUUGAACAAACGAAAGUCAUUUUAAUGUGAAAAGGUUUGUGUUCAAAAAGAUUAACAUAAAGUCCAUUUUGCUUCAUAAAAAUAACAAAUAAUAAUUAAAAAAAAAAAGCAAAAGAAAAUUCAGAUAAGUAACGAAAGGGAAAAAUAAAGAUAAACUAAAAAUGGCGAUACCUUGAGGAGUUUAUCUAGAUUAAUUAACUAAAGAUUAGUGUUAAUAUGAAAACAACCACAAAUAAUUAAUUGCACACAAAUAAAAGGGUUGGGAAGAUGAAUUGGGCUUGUGGCCCACUGCUGCAAGUUGUCCAGAAAGAGGAAUUGGGCUUGUGGCCCACUGAUGUAAGCUGUCCAGAUUGGACUAGUCCCUUUUUUCCAUGUAUACAAGCUGUAUAUCAGCAACUCCUUUUUCUUUCGUUUUCUGUAUAUAGCUGCGUAUACAGUGUAUAUCAACAUAAAAACCUGCUUAUUUCAACUUCCUUACUAUUAUAAACCUUAUAAUAUGUGUGCACCUGCUGCGUCCAAGUGUAUAUCAGCUGUAUACAAUUGUAUACCGGUGUCGUCCUGCAUAUAUCAGUCCAUUUCUUGGACUUUGAUAAGGUUUGACUCAAUGGGGGUUGGUUUUAACCCAACGGAAUGCGAUAGAUGGGAGUCUGAUGGACUCGAUGAGGAGGUUCAUGCAUAAAAGGAAUAGAAAAGGAUUAGUACGUGAGUUUCGAUGAAGAAAGAACAUGAUUAAACACGAUAAACGAAAAUGCUACCUACGAAAGAUUUAAAUAUUCCCACAUAAAAUAAAUAUAUGCAAAUGUAUUUUCAAGGUGUAAGGGUUUUGGAGGAUAAAACAAUUUUACUACAAAAAUGUCAUAGCAACAGUGUAAACAUAUGUGCUACUAAUUCAAAAAUAUAGCCAAUGAAGAAAACACUGGCAUAACUGUUUGGAUAUCUACACCUUCUAUCCUAAUAUCCGAUCUUCACAUCCUCUUAUCUACCCUAAGCUCUAUUGCCUCUCAUUGUAAGCAGUGAGUGGAAAUAUAUAAUCUUGGAAAAAACACCAAUAACCACUUAGAGAUAUAUUGAUCAUGAAUAUUUUUGUUUACAUUGAACAACAGUCAAUUAGAGAACAAUUUAUUCACAGAAAACAUGAACCAUAAUUUUUGUACUUAAAUUGCAAGUAGUACAUAUCACAAACAAAUGAAUGCAUUCAUUAAGUAGCUCAUAGAAAGCAGAUAUGGGUGAAACUUAUCAAACAAGGAACAAGGCUAAAAAGAAUAUAACAGCCUAAUAAAAUAUAUUAAACAUUUAUUUAUUUAUUUAUUUUUUACCACACCCCUGAAUAUGUCUAAAGUGGGAUAAAUCUUUGUUGGUCCUAACUCCUAACAACCUAUCAUUAAGAAGAAAUGCUCUUUCCAUACACAAAUGUUUUUGGCCUAGUUACAGGUAAUGGUGAACGAUAACAUACAUCCAGAGAAGAUCGGGAUCAUAUCUACUUAAAAUCCGGGCAGCAACAUAUAAAAUGUCAUACUCAUGCUCAAACAACCGUUUCAAGAGGAAAGAGGCUCAACUUUGACAAAUCUAACUUACGGAAAGGAUUUCUUGGUUAAGUUUAUGAAGAAACACAUUUUCAGAACUUCAUUGAUUCAAGCUUUAUUAAAAGAGGUCAAGCACGGAUGUCAUAAACGAUUGAGUUAAAUUCUGAAAAGUUGUUGCAUCUUACUGUUUUAAUAAAUAUUUAAGGCAUCCCAAUGGUAAAAGAAAAAAAUUUCAAAACAUAAAAACAGGAAAUUAGUGCAUUUUCAAGGCCACGAUCUCUCUUAAAGCUAAAUUUUUCAACAUACGGAAAACUUCAGACAAAUGGGACUAUAAACAUCACAACUACGGAAUAAUCAACAUGAAACAUAAGUAAACUAAGAUACACAUUAGCUUGAGUUAUGUCUAGCAGGAUGCAUCACGAGGGUGAGGAAAAUUUGUAAAAAUUUCAGUCACAAGGGUUGCUUUAGGGUGUUGUCUCAAAUAGAAUGAAAAACCACAUUAAACUAUUUCGGGAAUAAAUAGGAAGUCCAAUUAUGUGAAAUAUGACGACGAAAAUCAGCCGGGAUAUUCUCUGUGAAUUACCUAAGAAUAAGAGGGUGAAAUCAUAUCCAAUAAUCCUAAUACAGUCUUUGGAUGCUACUCCCGAACAGCCCAAUCAAUUCAUCGAUAAAACGACAACAAACACAACCAAUUUUCACAAUAUAGUUUUCAGUCAUACGAAGGAGAUUAGGGAGAAAGUUCUCACCUUUUUUGGGGCAGCGAACCAGGAAGCCAAGUCAAAGAGCGAUUCCACCACUGACUCCGACUCCGAGUUUGAACGACGAAAGGAAAUAAUGAGAACGACGUGAGAAAAUCAAAGAAAAAAAUAUAGAGAAAAUAGUGAAUGAAAGAGUAUGUGAAAACUCAAAGUAUUCCCCAAUUUCUCUAUCCCUUCCUCCACUAAAAGGGGUGGGAAAACCCCCCUUUUAUAUACCAAAAUCUGGGCUGCAGCAACUUCUCUCUGAAGCUUUAAGAAAUUUCAAAUUAAAUGACGGUUUUGAGUAUUGAGAAAAGAAAUUACCUUUUCAGAAAGGAUUUGAAAGAUUUUGAAAAUUUAGGUUCUUCAAGGUGAGCAAUUGUUUGCCCACUGAAUCAAAGAAACAAUACCCCAAAAACCAUUGAAUUCCCAUAUACCUCUCUUUUCAGAGCUCUGCAAUGGAGAAAAAAAAAUCCCUUUUGGACUGAUUUUUUUCAGAAAAGAUAGGAAGAGAAAGAGAAUUUGAGGUGAUGUUAAAAGAGGCGUUGAUGGAAACGUGGGGGACGAGAGAGGACCGACGAGGGGAGAGGUGGAAAACCAUCGAAUUUUCCAUUAUCCAGUGGUUUGAGCAUUGUUUGGCAUCGAUGUUGUCGUUGUUUGCUGUUGCUGUGUUGUACUAUACGUUGCUGUGUUGAAGAAGCUGUUAUUUGAGGUAUCGGGUAUAGAAGAAAAAGAAAUGGUCCGGGUCAAUUUGGCAUAUCUUGGACUGCUGAUGCGGGCCGGGUAUUGUUGUUUUUGGGCUGGCUGAAGUUGUUGUUAUUAAAAUUAGAAAGGGGAUGGAUAGAUUAAAGGGUUUUUGCGGUUAUUUUAAAAGGGAAAAUUUCAGAAAUAGCAACUCUUUAGCCUUAAUUAUAAUUUUUAUAGCAACAAUUUCAUAAUUACGAAAAGUAGCAAAUUGUAUUUUGUAUUUAAGUAAAAUGUUGCUAUAUAAAUACAUAUACAAAUAUAUAUGUAUUACUCAUAAAUACAUAUGCACAACUGAAAAAUACAUAUUCUUCCAUUACUAUGAAGUGGGUAAAAUAUUGCUACUUUUGAUAUAAGCUGUAAUUUUUAAAAAGUAUUGCUAUUUAUUAUAAUUAUAGUUUUAAUGAUGCUAGUUUCUGUAAUUUUUAAAAUUAAAUAAUCCCAAUUAGAUUGGGAUUUAGGAAUUAGGCCAUUUAUUAAAUAGCCAAAAUGAGGAUUUAGAUAAUUAUAUUUAAAUUUUAGCCUAAUUAAAAUUCCAUUAACCAAUUUGCAGUGCAAUUAUCCUCAAUUUAAUUUUAAAUUAAGUUUUAAUUAAUAAAUCAACUAAAUUGUAGCAAUAUUUGAAAUGAUUUAAUAACCAAUUCAAUCCCGAGCUUCUUGAUUCAAUCAAAAAAAAUUUUCCAAAUAAUUUUUUUUAGAUCAAAAUUUUAUCCAUUUGAACCCAUAUUCUAGAUAGCUCUUGAUUAAAAUUUAAUUUUUUUUCAUAAAAUUAUGAUCUCGUAUAUGCAACUACAAAAACAUAUAAUAGUUACUUAAACUUACUAAAAUUACCUAAAUAAAUACUUAGGAAAGCUUUUAUUUGGAUAAAAUAAAUAUUGUCAUUUUAUUAAAAAUUGAGAAACUCAGAAUUGAACUCAGUCGUGGAGAGCAAAAAUUAGGUGUCAACAAUAAGCAUCAUAAGCAUAAGUCUCGAAUACAUGAAAGACUGAAUUUACUGAGACACAUUGAUUCUAGUUUGGAGGUCGGACAUGACAUGACUUGCAUAGAGAACUCAAGCCUUAGACAUAGGUAGGACUUAAAUACAUAAGACAUUGAUAGGAUGACCUUUUAAAUUGAAGUAGGAGGAGUUUGCUUGAAUAGGAAUAGGUUUAUCGUGACUCUUCCCUGCAACUUGUCAUAAUGAGAAAAUUGGGAACUACCUUAACUCUUUAGCUCCUCUUUAGAGCAAAGUCACACUCCUGAACUUGAAGAUAUAAUCUCCCAUCAAAUCUAUACCCACAACUCUCAAUACAAAGGGGUAUCACCAUGCACAUAAAUGCUAAACUUUCCUCAAUAAUUUUUAAUGUAAGGACACUAAAUUCUUUCUAGGACAUCCCUCUCCAGGGACACUAAUCAUAACUUCCUCCAAACUCCAAAGUCAUCGACUUGUGACUAACAUUAUCAUGGGCAUGGACAUACAUGCUUCUAAACACUUAACACUCCAUCUUCAACUCCUUAGAUUACUAGCAUUACACCUCUAAUCACAAAAUUUACAACUUAACAAAAAUUUUAAAACUAUAGCAAAGGCGCAUAUUGCUUACCUAUAUUUUCUCAAUUCAACUAUAAAGAACACCAUACAAUAACUCCCCAGACUUCUUCAUACUACAAAACUCAAGAAUGUGAGCUAGGUACACAUGGCACUUAUACAUAUCAAACCUUAUCUAACAACGUGCUACCUGGGGGUUUCAACUUAUUCUUAUAUAUCUAACACUCUUACGCACUUAAUGACAACCAUAUUUCAUUGUUUUAACACUAGCUCUCAUGCAUAUAAUAUACAUACAUAUAUAUAUAUACAUAUACAAUUAUUCACUCAUUUUUCCAUAAGUUGCCAACCUAGGCUAUUUCAUACCUCACAUCAAGACUACUAGUUCAUUCCCAUAAAACAUGCAUCAUUAGUCUUAAGCUACUAUGCUUAUCACCACAAUCAACAUCUAAAGUCCAAGCCUAUUUUAUAGCCCCAAUCAUGUAACAUCGAUGACGCAUGUCACAUACUAUACUACUCCAUCAAAUCGGAAAAUCAACCCAACUAUGUUAUUUAAUUUAACUAUCACUCGUAAGUUCAUUCUCUCCAUAAUAUUUCUACCACACCUUAGAAUCUACGACACACCUUCUCACAUGCAGUACUAGUUUACAGCUGCUAAAGAAAAGAAAGUCAAGGGGGUAAAGUCAUAUAAUAGAGAUAGUCGAUCUUAAUCUUAUAAUAUAAUCCAUUAUGAUCUUAUCAACAUAUUCAACUUUAUCACAUCAUAAUUACUUACCCAUACAUACAUUUCCACUGCCUUCAAAUUCCAUAUACACUAAUGAGUCUCUACCCAUAACUUAUUGUCUAAUCUACCCUUUUCCAUUCAUAACUUAUAAAUGAUUUCUACAACCACCAUAACUACCCACUUUUGGCUCUUUCCCCAAUUUUGAAUAAAUAACAAUCAUAGACAAUCACUUCCUCCACAGACUACCAUACAAUCUAUAAAUCUUACUACAAUAUCAGUCAAUCACCAUAGAAGGGCAAACCACCCCUCAAUCAAGGGUUAUACCACUAAAACUAUCUUCUUUACUCAAAAGUUACCUUCACUCUGACUUUUAAACUUAUGACUUCGUAUCACUAAAUUCUGGAUCACCUUACUAUCAAUAGGUUAUGACACCUUAACAUACACUAUUACUCGGGCGGAAAUACUAUUCCAACAUUCUGCUAUAUCUCUACCCUUAAGCAUGACAUCUGCAACAAGGAUUUUUAAAGGGGAUUAAAUACACUUCAUACCUCAAGCUCAAAUGCAUGAUUGAUAUAGAUAGGGUUAUAAGAUUAAAUCAAUAAACUUUGAAGCACUAACGGAUUCCACUCAAGUCCUCGUGCAACUUCAUAACCUUUUUGAGGACUCAACUAGAAAGGACCAUAUCACUUAGACACUAAGCUUUUGUACUUGAAUUUCCUCGACAAUGAGACAUUGUCAAUAAAAUUUGAGCAAGGAAUGAAUUAGGAUAACCUUUAUAUGGACAACAUAAUAGCACGAUCUAGAGUAUGAAAGAAUGGGAAACAUCUUCUAAAUGCCUUGUAGCUUUCUCUUUAUAAGUGAGGCGCGCUACAAUACCCCGCAUUAGUCUUGGCUUAGUUUAACUUAUAGUGCAUGCAUAAGAGGCUUAGAACUUGUAAAUUUAGCUAAGUGUUUGGGACUUAGUUUUAUUUUUGGACUCUUAUCUUUGAUGAUUUUUAAAGUGACCUUUUUGACCUCGAGAUAUAAGUUUUUUAGUUAAUGCAUACUCAGGAGUAUAAAAAGCAUGUCUCGGAGAAGUUUUGGAUUUUUCGGAUGAGGUUUGAGUCGUGUUUGGAUUUCAAUUCCAGCAUCUCAACGUGAUUGCAUUUCAUCGCGCCAUGUAUAACAAUGGGCAUAUCAUUGCAUCAUGCUAGGCCUCCAAUUGGUGUUCCAGUUAUGAAUUUAAAUUCUAGAGGGACAGUCUUGUCUUUUUCCAUCGCCCCAAUUCGUAAAACCAUGGGAUUUACCUUCAGUUAAGGCAUUAUAUGCCCAAAUUCCUCAAUUUUUCUCUAAAUUAAACCCUAAUCCCUCCCCAAGUUCAUAAAGUGCAAGCAUCUUCUCUUCAACAAAACCAAAAAAUUAUGCUUCCCAAUCCAAGAACGUUCAAGAAAAGUUAAUUCUCUUUCAAGAUUAAAGCUUUAAGGUAUGCGUGAUGUUUAUCCAUGGGCCCUUUUCACCCAAGUAGUCUAAGAACCUAUUUUCAUGUUUUAAUUCAUGAAUUUACAAUGAGUUAUCUUCAAGUGUUGUUUUAUGAAUUUCGAUUAUACGUGAUGUUUACAAGUGUUUCUUGUUGAAAGUAGCCCUUUACACGUUUGAAUGAAGAAAAUUCCAUGUUAAAUCCCCAAUUUAUGGUUUUAGUGUUAUAAUUAUGUUAUUACCACAUGUUUCAAUCAUUCCCAUGCUUAAGUUCAUGAAUUUCAAGUGUUUGAUGAGAUGUCUAAGAGAUGAAUUUUGAACUAUGAUUCCCUAUUAUGUUCUUCAAAGCUUUCAUGUGUCCAUAUUGUUAAUUCCAUUCAGUGCUGGGGAUUAUGAAUAACCGAAACUUAGUUGUUUAUAUAGUUUACAAUAUUUUUAGAAUGGUUUCAGAUAAACCAUGAGCCUUGUCAUUCAGUUAGUAUCAUAUUCAGUUGUUGGCUCAGUUAAGCUCAGUUUAGUCCAUUAGUCAGUGUUAUUUAGUUAGGAGUAGGGUUUAGCAUUGAGCGAACCCAAGGAUGGGGGCUCACAUUCCAGUUAAGGGUGUGACACUUAGUAGCAAUCCCUGCAUUCCAAAACUACAUAGCCAGCAUAGGUUUGAGACGUCAACCUGCCAAUUGAGGGUUACUCUUUAGUCCUUCGGGACUUUACUUUAGUGGAUUCACACAACCUGUAUUAGUACCUGUGGCACAAUACUGACACUCUUCCAACUGGGGUUACAGGUUGGACUCCAAUUAGCUCAGCUUGGGGCAUGUCGGUUAGAUGAUACCGCCCACAGUUUCAGUCCAGUAUUCAGUGUAGAAUCUAGUAUUCAGGUUUGUUUGACCAUAGCAUUCAGUUAUUAGUAUUUCAGUACUUCAUGCUUACAGACUAUUUCAGAACAUGUUUUAUGCUUGGUUAUGUAUUCUUAAAUUUUAUAGUUUUUAUGUGAUUAUAUUUAGACAUUCCAUACUACUCAUUUAGUCAGUUAUUAUUCUUGCACAUGAACCCAUGCAUAUCAGCCUAACCUCAUCUCUCAUACCAGUACAUUCAAAGUACUGAUCGCUUACUUUUUUCUUGCACUAUAAUGUUUAAUAUCAUAGGUUUAGAGGCUUAGGCUCCUGACCGUGCGUAGAUAAUUCAACCUUUACAGCAAUAGUAGUCAUAGUGAGUCCUCAUCUAUUGAGGACAUGAUAGUUUAUUUCAGUUUACUUUAGUAUUUCAGUAUUUUCUUUUAGUUGUCAGUUGGAGUUAGUGGGGCGUGUCCCAUCAAAUCUUUCCAGUCAGUUUAGAGGCUCUCAGACAUUCAAUAGUUAGCCAUUUUAUCAACUGUUUAUCAGUCUUUUCAGUGUGUUUUUAGACAUCCAAAAUUAUAAUUCAGUUUUAUUAUUUCAGUACUUAAAACCUUUGGUAUUUUUCAGUUAAUUCUGCACAUGUGUAUUUUAUUGCCAUAUUAUUUAGCACCCACAUCAGGUACCAGCUUAUGGGUUAGCUUAUGGUCUUUCGAAAGCGUAAGCACCAUUGUAGUGACUACAUGUAGCCUCGGGUCGUGACAAAACUUGGUAUUAUCGCCUAAGGUUUUAAAGUAUCCUAGAGAGUCUGAAAGCCGCAUUGAGUAGAGUCUUAUGCAUAGGUGUGAAACGCGCCAUACUUAUGGACAAGAGGCUACAAGAUAUUUUAGGAAAAAUUUCCCUUCUUUCAGUAUUCAUGUCAUGCGAAUGAGCAUGAGCUAAAUUUAAAAUAUCUGUAUAAUUUAAUCUUCCUUCCAUUUACAGAACAUACCUUCCAGAAAGAAUAACAGAAGAAGAAACGAGAGUUAGUUCACACCUUCGCCUGUUCAGGAGGAUCCCCUGAAUGGGCAUGUCUCUCACGCCGAGUUCAGGGCCACCUUCACUACUUUAGCUCACUCAGUAGCAACUUAAAAUAAUUAGCAGGAUGCUAUCCCAGUCAAUCCAGUGGCUAAUACCACCACAACUAGGAUUCAGGACUUCAUUCGAAUGAACCCUACCCUGUUCACGGGAUCCAAGUUUGAUGAGGAUCCGUAGAAAUUUCUUAACAUAGUUUAGAAGGUGACUGACAUUAUGGGUGUCACAUCUAGUGAGAGUGCAGAGUUGGAUACACCUGGUUUAAAUAGUGGAAGGGGAAUAAAGGCGCAAAUACAGGGUCUGUGGAGUGGGAGGAGUCUGCCACAACCUUUUUAGAUAGGUUCUUUUCUUUAGAAUUGAGAAAAGCUAAGGUGCAAGAGUUCAUAAAUUUGAAACAGGGUAACAUGAGUGUGAGGGAGUAUUCGCUUAAGUUACCCAGUUAGCUAGGUGUGUUCCUUUGAUGGUGGCAGAUAACAGGUCUAGGAUGAGUAAGUUUGUCUUUAGUGUAGCUGAUAGUGCGGUCAAGGAGUGUAGGACCGCAAUGUUGAUUAAGGAAAUAGAUUUGUCUAGGCUUAUGAUCCAUGAUCAGUAGAUUAAGGAUGAGAAGGUUAAGAGAAAUAAAGAGAGAAUAAGAGGGCUAAGAAAUAUAGCUUUAACUUUGCUCAGUUGAGGUUGGAGAGUGGUAAUCGUCCUCAAUUCUGUCAAAAAUCUUCAGCCUAGAGCACUAGGCUUUAAGUCCCAGAGCAGUGUAAAUAGUGGUCAUACUAAUCCUCUUUGCCAGAAAUAUGGUAGAAAUCAUCAGGGUGUGUGUAGAGCUGGCAGUAAUGUGUUCUUUGGGUAUGGCAAGCCAGGCCACAAAGUUAGGGAUUACCUAAAGGUUGGUUAGAAGGUUCAGUCCAGCCAUCCCCAGUUCCAUUCGAUCGCCCAACUCAGCAGGGUGUCACUUUCAGUGUAACCAGUGGUCAGUGCCUAAUAGCUUGUAUACACUUUAGUCCCAAAGAGAUCAGGAAAGUUCUUCUGUUGUGGUUACAGUUAUGUUACAAGUUUUUCAUUUACAUGUUUAUGCUUUGUUAGAUUCUGGAGCUUCACUUUCUUUUGUAACCUUUUACCUAGCUAUUAAUUUUGAUGUCUGUCCCAAAAUUUUAGUAGAUCCUUUCUCAGUGUCUACCUCAGUGGGUAAAUCUAUUCUAUCAAGGUGGGUAUACAGGAACUGCUCGAUUACAGUAUCUCAGAAAGUUACUUCAGUAGACCUUAUGGAGUUAGAGAUGACUGAUUUUGAUGUCAUUCUCGAUAUGGAUUAUCUCAACUCAUGCUAUGCUUCAGUUGAUUGUACAAAUAGAGUUAUUUAUUUUUAGUUUCUAAGUGAACCAGUCCUUAAAUGGAGGGGUAGUACUUCAGCCCUUUGGGGUCAUCUUGUUUCAUACCUUAGAGCGAGAAAAAUAAUAACGAAAGAGGGUGUUUCCCAUCUUGUUCGAGUCAAAGACUCUAAUUCUGAGACUUUCAAUCCCGAGUUUGUUUCAGUAGUAAGAAAAUUUCCAGAUGUUUUCCCUAAAGAUCUUCCCAGAGUUCAUCCAGAAAGGGAAAUUGACUUCGAAAUAGACCCCCUUCUAGAUACCCAACCUAUCUUUAUUCUGCCCUACAGAAUGGCUCCAAUUGAGCUUAGGGAAUUGAAAGAAUAGUUGAAAGAUCUCUUAGAUAAGGAAUUUAUCAGGCCCAGUCUUUUUCCUGUGAAAGAAAGAUAGUUCUCUUAUAAUGUGUAUUGAUUACCACCAGUUGAACAAAGUCACAGUCAAGAAUAAGUACCCACUUUCCAGAAUUAAUGACUUGUUCGACCAACUUUAGGGUGCCAAUUAUUUCUCUAAUACAGACCUCAGAUCCGGCUAUCAUCAGCUCAGAGUCAGAGAAUGUUACAUUCCAAAAACAUCUUUCAGAACUUAAUAUGGUCACUUCAAAUUUCUAGUUAUGUUUUUUGGACCAACAAAUGUCUCAACAACUUUCAUGGACUUGAUGAAUAAUGUGUUCAAGCAAUACUUGUACAUGUUCGUCAUAGUCUUCAUUAAUGAUAUUCUUGUCUACUUUCAUAGUGAAAAUGAUCAUGCAGACUAUCUCAUAAUUAUAUUGCAGACUCUUACAGCCCAUUAGUUAUUUGUCAAAUUCAGUAAGUGCGAAUUUUAGCUUAGAUCAGUAGCUUUUCUUGGCCAUAUUAUUUUUGGUGAUAGAAUUAGAGUUGACCCUCAAAAGACCGAAGUAGUGAGAAACUGGCUCAUACCUAUCUCUCUGUCAGAUAUCAUAAGUUUCUUGGUGUUGGAUGGCUAUUAUCGAUGGUUUAUUAAAGGGUUUUAGUCUAUUGCAUCCCCCAUGUAUAGAUUAACUUAAAAAAAGUCAACUUUCAGUGAUCAAAUUCUUGUGAGAAGAGUUUUCAGGAGUGGAAGACUCGACUCACCUCAGCCUCAGUUUUAACCUUGCCAGAUGGUUCAAAUAGACUUAUUGUUUAUUAUGAUGCUUUUAGAGUUGUCCUUGGUUGUGUGUUAAUGUAGAUAUUUAAGGUCAUAGCCUACGCCUCUAGGGAACUUAAGGUUGAUAAAAAGAAUUAAUCUACCCAUGAUAUUGAGUUGGCAGGUGUUGUGUUUGCCUUAAAAUUUGGAGGCAUUAUCUUUAUGAGGUUCAUGUUGAUGUGUCCAAUGAUUACAAAAGUUUUCAAUAUGUGUUUUCGUAAAAAGAUUUGAAUCUCUAUCAAAUAAGGUAGUUAGAAUUAUUGAAAGAUUAUGAUAUGAGUAUUUUGUAUCAUCCGAGCAAGGCCAAUAUAGUGACAGAUGCCCUUAGUAAAUUAUCUAUGGGUAGUGUUGCUCAUAUAGAUGAUAGUAAGAAGCAGUUGGUCAGGGAGGUUCAUCAUCUUACUAGAUUAGGUUUGCAGUUGGUGGAUUUAGCUGAGAGUAGUGUAUGGGUUAAGAAUAGUUUGGAAUCUUCUUUUAUUGUCGAAGUAAAAGAGAAGAAACAUUCUGGUUAAGUUGAAGGAAUUAGUUAGAGAUCAGAAGGUGAAGAUUUUCUCUUAAGAGGGAGAUGGUUAAAGAUCAGAAGGUGGAGGUUUUCUCCCAAGGGGGAGAUAAUGUGUUACGAUGUCAGGGUUGGCUGUGUGUAUCGGAUGUAGAUGGUUUGAGAUAGCGAAUCCUUACAGAAGUGCAUGGUGCACAUUAUUCUAUUCAUCCAGGAGCCACUAAGAUGUACCGUGAUUUGUGAGAAAUCUAUCAAUAGAGUGGUAUGAAGAGGGAUAUUACAGAGUUUAUAGCCAAGUGUCCUAAUUUUCAGCAGGUUAAGGUUGAGCACCAGAGGCCUUGUGGCAUAAGUAGGAGUUCAGCAUUCCCACUUGGAAGUGGGAAGAGGUUAACAUAGAGUUUGUGAUAGGGUUUCCUCGUUUGUGUUGUUAGCAUGAUUCGAUAUGGGUUAUUGUAGAUAGGAUGACCAAAUCAGUCUAUUUUUUGCUAGUUCAUACUUUCUAUACAACCGAGGACUAUGCCAAGCUCUAUAUUAGAGUGUUGGUUAGAUUGCAUGGAGUCCCAUUGUCUAUCAUUUCAGAUAGAGGUACUCAGUUUACCUCUCACUUUUGGAAAGCUUUUCAGAAGGGUCUUGGUACCCAAGUUCGUCUCAGUUCAGUCUUUCACUCUCAGAUAGAUGGUCGGGCAUAGAGGACCAUUCAAACCCUAGAGAAUAUGUUGAGAAUAUGUGUUAUUGACUUUAAGGGUAGUUGGGAUGAUCACUUUCCUUUGAUUGAGUUUGCCUACAAUAACAAUUAUCAUUCCAGUAUUCAGAUGGAUCCAUUUGAGGCUCUUUAUGGGAGAGGAUGUAUAUCUCUUAUUUGUUGGUUUGAGGUAGGUAAAACUGCAUUGAUGAGGCCAGAUUCAGUAUUUGAUGCGAUGAAGAAAGUUCAGUUAAUUAGAGAGAGGCUUAAGACAACCCAAAGUCGACAAAAAUCCUAUGCAGAUGUGAGAAGAAGAGACCUUGAGUUUGAAGUUAGGGAUUUGGUGUAUUUGAAAAUCUCGCCUUUGAAGGGAGUGAAGAUAUUUGAAAAGAAGGAGAAACUCAAUCCUCGAUAUACUGGACCUUAUAGGAUCUUGAGCUGCUUUUAAAAAGUAGCUUAUGAGUUUGAGUUGCUUACAGAUUUGGCAUCAGUGCAUCAAGUGUUCCAUGUUUCUUUAUUAAAAAAGUGUAGUAGCGACCUAGCUAUAGUAGUCCCUUUAGAAAUUACAAAUGUUUAGGACAACCUUUCUUACGAAGAGAUCCCAGUUGAGAUCCUUGAUCAUCAGAUUUGUAGACUGAGGAACAAAGAAGUUCCCUUGGUCAAAGUUCUUUGGUGGAAUCAGUCCGUUGAGGGAGCCACUUGGGAAGCACAAGAAGACAUGAGUACCAAGUACCCUUAUCUUUGCAAAAUCAGACUCAGCUUAAGGUAACAGUUUUCCUUAGAUUAUCUCAUUUCCAUUCUCAGUUCCAGCUAUAUAAUCAUCUUUCUGCCAUUGUAUGCAUUCGCUAAUCAGUUCAAUUAUGUACCAUGUUUCAGACUUAGUCAUGUAACCAUGUUUUUAGUUAUGCAUAUUCAGUAUGUGAUUUCAGUUCCCUCAGUAUUCUCAGCUUUACUAGUCUCAUUUGAGGACGAAUGUUCCCAAGAAGGAGAUAUUGUAAUACCCCAUAUUAGUCUUGGCUUAGUUCAACUCAUAGUGCAUGCAUAAGAGGCUUAGAACCUGAAAAUUUAGCUAAGUGUUGGGGACUUAGUUUUAUUUUUGGCCUCUUAACUUUGCUAAUUUUUAAAGUGACCUUCCUAACCCCGAGACGUAAGUUUUUGAGUUAAUUCAUAUUCAGGGGGUGUAAAGAGCA